rnacentral:lncRNA from 1 species
CAAUCUUUAAUUUGCAAAGAGCUGGAAGACUCGAAAUUGAAACUGACAAUUCUUCACAUCCUUUAAUAACAAGCUUCUCCAAUGCAGGAAGGUGCUCUGGAAAUGUUCCUUUCAGUUUAGAACAUCUUAAAAUGUGAAGCUCUCUCAAUUUAGGAAACCCUUCAACUCUUUGACUGGAUCCAUGAGGAAUCCAGUCUUCCCAUUCUCGCAUGUUUUCAAAACGAAGAGUCUCCAAGCAUGGAAAAGGAAUUGGAGGAUCAUUCCCAUAGAACUCUGAACCCAACCUCUUUACACUAGUCAUUCCACAUACUGCAAGAUGCUUUAGAGAGGGUAGUUGCCCGACUGACGGCAGGGUAGGACACAUGCCACAAUAUUCAAAUUUUAAGGUCACCAACUUUGAGAAUGAGGAAUCUCCGAACCAAGUUGGAAAUUUUGCACCUCUAUAGCCGCUGAUACAAAAUUGUUCCAAAUUUUUAUUGGGUUCUAGCAUGUCAAGCACGUCCUUUUCAAUUUCCGCCUCCCUUGAAGACGAGCCAUCGGUACUGAGUGUCCAUCGAAGCAAUAAUUCUCUAAGAUUCUUCUUUCCAUCCAAUUGAGCCUCCUUUGCAUCACCAACGUCUUUUACAUUCUCCAAUUUUGAAAUGUUAAGUGUCCCAUGAAGGUGCGUCAACAACUUUAGCUCUCGUAACCCGGAACCACUGCCUUUUCCCACAACAAAAUUACACAACGUCUGAAGACUAGUCAACCUACCAAUUCCUACUGGCAUUUCCUCCAACGACUUCGUAUUUGAAUUCUUAAGAUGAUGCAAUUUGGCGAGGUUUCCCAUGUCUGCACACAACUUCUUCAGCCGAUCACAAUCUUCCAACAAAAGACUAUGCAAAUUGUAAAGCUUGUUGACUGAUUCAGGCAGAGUUCUAAUCUCAGUUGUAGACAGGUUAAGGUACCUUAAAUACCUCAAAUCACCAAUUGAAUCAGGCAGCUCAGGGAUGCAGUAUCCACGCAAAGAGAAGACCCUCAAGCGUCGGAGUUUGAGCAACUUAGGAAGAAUGCUAGGAGCCAAGAAGCCAGGCGAACUUUUUGUCAACAUUACUGGUAAAAAAGUUCUCAAAUGCUGGAUAUCAUACAAGUCCCCAAACCUUUUACCGCCAUCAAAAUAUUCAGGAAUGUAUGAUAGAUGACGAAGAUUUUCGGAAAAACUUUGCUGCUUGUAAAUUUCUGAGGUAUACUCCAUUGUGAAGUAUAUCUCCCCCGCAGCCCAACGGGCAAGGUCAUUGAUAAGAUCGUGCAUCACAAAUCGUGAUGUAUUGUUGCUUAAUUGCUGGAAAAAAGAUCUUGAACGUAGCUCUUGAAAGAACUUUCGACCUAGAACUUCGUUAGGAUUCCCACUCUCUUUAUGAACCAAGAAACCCGAAGCACUCCAUAAUAAAAUUAUCUCCUCCUCUUCAAAUUCAUAAUCCUUCGGAAACAACGAGCAGUAUGCAAAGCAUUGUUUCAAAAUUGGAGGAAGAUAAUAAUAGCUCACUGCAAGAGCUGGUAUAAUGGGACAUCUAUCUUCUGGUAAUUCCCAUAUCUUGCUACUGAGCACAUCUUCCCACACACCUCUGUCAUGUUCUCCACAUAAAAGUCCUCCCAGUGUUUUUGCUGCCAAGGGCAAGCCAUUGCAUUUGAUCACUAUCUUCUUACCAAUGUCCUCCAAUGACUUGUGUGAACUGAAAUCUCUUGUCCCCAAAGAGUGCUGAGCAAACACAGACAGACAAUCCUCAGUUGACAAGUUUUUCAAUUCAUAAGCUUGAUCCGGCCUCAUGAUUUUUGCAACCUGUUGAUUGCGAGUAGUGACAACAAUCUUACUUCCCUGUGCGCCAGCUUCAAACGGACGGCUCAUGUCAACCCAGUCAUUGUAAUUCUCAUUCCAAACGUCGUCUAAAACGAGCAAAAAUUUCUUUUGAGAUAACUUCUUCUUCAGCUCCUCUUGAAGCAAAUUUAAAUCACUGUCAUCAAUAGUCUGCUUGGUAAUGGAUCUUAGAAUUGUUUUUGUUAGCCCCUUAACGUCGAAAUCCUCAGAGACACAAGUCCAUGCCUUGAGAUCAAAAUGAUCCUGCACUCGCUUAUCAUUGUAGACAAGCUGAGCAAGAGUGGUUUUGCCCAGGCCGCCCAUACCUAUAAUAGGAAUAACAGAGAAUCCACCAUCGUUGCUUAAAUCAUCCCUCAACAGCAGUUCAACAACAUCCUUCUUUUCUGUUUCCCUGCCAUAUACUUUGGCUUCAGUCACUAAAGAGGUUGUCUCCAGCCUUUGACUGGCUUUGUUGGACCCUCCAGCUGAACUUUCUUUCAAAUCUAGCAAGUUUUUCUGUGUCACAAUUUCUUGAAAUCUGCUGUUGAUCUCUUUGAUUUUGGACAUCAAGCCAUAAUCGAACUGAAUCGAUUGUGGAGUAAAAGUGGUGCAGCAAGCAGGAAUGAGCUUCCGAAACUUACUUGUUCUGGCACGACUGCUACUGGGUUGAUCAUGAGCAGCAGCUGGUUCUCCAUUUCCAAGCAGCAACAUCCUCCGGAAAGCCUCAGUUUGAAACUCAUCCAACAAGUCUUCAACAUCAUAAGCCAAGUUCUGAAGCUUGCCAAGCCACUUCUUCACAGACCGAUUAGUUGUCUUCUUCUCCUCAGCAUCAUCAAGCACCGCCUUGAUCAUCUCCAACAUAUUCUCCCACUUCAUUAGAUAGUCUUGGAUCUUCUCUUGGCGUGCAAAAAACAGAAUCCCCUCUGAAGCUAACUUAUUGACCAGCAAAUCAACAGAUGCCGUAAGGAUUGCCUCUCCGAUGAUCGACAUUUUUUUUCUUUUUUUUGGGCAAAGGAAGAAAGGAGCAGAAUUAUGGGUUAUGGAAAGCAGAAUGAGAAUAUUGAACGGGUGAGAAAAUGGAUAAUUAAGCGGAAUGAGUUUGUGAUUGUGAAGGGUCUGGUACAGCAAGCUUAGUAGAAAUCACGCGUUUGUACUUUAUUGACCAAUGACUAAAUAAUUUGGCAAUGCACCCACCACCACCACUUGGUGAGCAAAAUGAAAAAGUUUAAUAAGUGGAGGGGUCCAGCAAAAUACGACGUAAAAUGUGGCAAGUCUCCCCACUUGUUGUUCGUUGCAGCUAAGAAAAGAAAAAACAGAGCCCACCACCCAUUAAUAAUUUAGCAAAUCACCAAUCAUCACAAAAUUCCAUUAGAUAUUCGUCGAUCAAGUAGUUAAUCCAGUGUCUGCUACGUAGAGCCUUCACUUUACAAAUCUUCAACUCAUAAACCAAGUUAAAUCAAGACGUUUCUCUCUCUGUAUAUAUUUUUUUUAACUCCUAAAACGUUUCUUUUUAGAAAUAUAUUACUUUAUUCAUCUAAUAUGUUAUCUAACAAAUAGACACAGAUGAAAUCACUCUAAAGUGAAGAUGAAAGGGGAAAAAAAAAACAUUCCAACCACCAAUAAUUUAGCAAGCGUCACUUUUAUUCCACCAAAGUGUAAAUAAAGCCAGCCCCCACCACCAUCGAUAAUUUUGCAAGCUUCACACGCUUGUUGUCUUCUCCUUGACGAACUGGACGGGGUGGACCAAGAAUCAAUGAAAGAAUUUUAAAAAUAAUAAUAAAAGAAAAACAUAAACAUUUUGGACUCAGAGUAGAACCGUAAUUAAUGCUAAAAUUUACUCCGCUAACGUUUUCAAAAUAUUGUUCUUUACAAUUGUACAGCAAAUAAGACUAAGUUUUGGACAUUUUCAUAUUCACUUACUUUCAAAAGCAGUAUUUCGAAACAUUUUACAGAAUCAAGUAACAGUUAUAUAACGAGAAAAGUGCAAAGUUGUGUAAUUCUAAUGUUUAUUUUAUCACUGACACUCAGAUCAUUUUUUAUUUGGGUCGCCAACUCGCCAAUGAACCCAUGAUUGAAUAAGUGUUUAGAAAGAAAAUCAAUAAAAAACAGUUUUUUUUUUGUCGUCGAAAUAUAGUAAGUGAGAAAGAUUAUUCUGUUUUUUUUGUUAAUUAGGUUAGUAAUUAUGAUUGAGUGACUCAGAACUAUAUUCUAGAUUGAGAAUCAAUGGUUCUCCCACACUGAGAGGCUGUAAGUUUAAGAUUGUCGUUUGCUAUUUCAUCAACAAGAGAACACUUGAAUUUAUUAAAAAGAGAAGGCCAUAAAAGUUUUCUUUUAUGAGAAAUGUAUCUGAUCAUUCCUUUUUACUUGAAAAUUUCAUAUAUAAAAACUCAUUAAUAAAUGACAGAAUAUACAUAAAUUAUUAAUUCAUUUGAUAGUUGAUUAUCGAAGGACAUGUGACCCAUGGGAGCAUGCAGACUAUAAAAUAAUUCUUUUUUUUAUUAAACAAAAAAUCGGUGAUGUUGAAAAGCAAUAUUAAUUCGACUGAUAAUUGGGGUGAACAUUCAUAAAAAGAAUGCCGUAUGAAACUAAAUUAUUAAUUCGUUUGACAUGUGACCCACAAUAAAUAGUUAAAUUUGGCGGCAACAAUAAUUACAAGACGAACUUAAAGCAGCGCAUAGGUUUUUCUUAAAAAUACAUAAACAAUUCGAUAUUUGAAAUUCUAAUAUCUCAAUAAUCUAGUUAUCCUGUAUUUAGAUCCACAUACAAUUUCUUUUUUUCUUUUUUCUGAUUUCCAAUCGUUACCAAAAGAAAAUAUUUAGUGAUCCCUUUUAUCAACUUGGUUUUAUUGACUUUCUUCCAAUCAUAGAAGUGAAAAGAGAAACAGAGGCCAGCACCAAUAAGUGUUGUGUUACCAGAUUCUGUAAAGACAAAAUCAGUGCCCAGCAAAAAGAAGCAAUGUUUUCGUUAUAUGCUGCUUCCUAUUUAGUACAUGCAUAUAAAGAUAUGCACGUGCACAUGCAGCACAUCUAUCUAAAAUUUAAAAAAAGUAAUUAGAAAUACAGGAAUUAUGGUAGAAAUAUAACAGGAAUAAGAGUGAAAUUACAAUUUUAAAAUUUGGGAGAAAUGAAAUGCGAUAUUUUUUUUAUGAAUAAAAUAAUUUAAUUUUUUUUAAUUCUACCAGCAAAAACCAUUAACUUAUCAAGUUAUUGGUUUCAUUCACAGUUAACAGUCGGUUUCUUAGUUUCAUUCCUUAAUUCUACAAGAAAAAAACAGAAUACUUGACAUUUACUAUUUGACAAUUUUUAAGAAAUGUCAAGCAUAUAUGACAUUUUGUGAAAAACUGAGUAAUUGUGAAAUAUAAAUGACAAUUUAUUUAAACGUCAAAUAAUUGUGACGUUUUAUCAAAUAAAUGAUAAAUAUAUUACAUAUUUAUUAAAUAAUUAUCAUUUACCUUUUCCUUUUAUUGACUUGAGAAAAAAACAAAAACAUUGACUAUACUGCUUUUGUUUUCGUUCUUAGAACAGAUUUUAGUUUCUUUUGAGAAAAUUCAAACUCAUUCCCAUUACUUUCUUUUCAAUAAUCACCUCUCAGUUUUUCAUCAAUCACUCAAUACCGAAUUACAUCUCCAUUCUCUUUCGAAGAAGAACGCACGAAGAAUUUUAGCUUGCUUUCGCUGCUUCUCGAAUAUUGGGUAUUGUUUCCUUUAAUUUAGAUAAUUUUUUUUUUUAUAUCUCUCUUUCUAGUUUGAUAAUUUAUGGUUAUACUUGAAUUAAUUGUAUUUUUAAUCAACCAAGGUUGAUUUAAUUGAUUCCAAGUCUCAAUUUCCUGUUCAACAAACAAGGAACGCACAAAUAAUUUUCAUUUUCAUACUCAAUUUUGAAAGAAUCAAUUUAUUUUAUCUUUGGUUAGUACACUUCUGUUCAAUUUUUGUUUAUUUAACUUAAGAUAUCUUUUUCUUUCUUUUCUUCAAGCAGAUUAUAGAUUAUAUUGAGAACAGAGCUUUCUCCUUAAUUCCGCCAAGAGCAACGUUGAUUUCAGGUGAUAAUUGAAUGUGUAAUAUUUUCAAUUGAAAUUAAUUGAGUCUCGUAAUAAUAAUAGGGAUUUGAGAUUUACAUCCUGUUGAAAUGAUUUUAGAGUGUUUUGCUAUUUGAAUGCGUAUUAAUUGUUCCUCUGUUUCAAAUCCAAAUCCACUGGUCUACUAUUCAUUAUGACAAUGCAUAUGCCGAUAUUGUCUUCCAUCCUUUGUGUACCUUUCAAUUUAGUGAGGUUUAGACAGGGGUUCCAGAUUUGGUAAAUCAACAAUCACCAGAUAUGUAGAGCGGCCGGAAGAGGAAGCAUGGUUCCUAAUCCUAAUCUUGAUUUAGAGCAGAUUAGGUAACAUGUGACAUUCUACAUUCUUGCAAUGCCAUUUCUUGUUAUGGCAGCGGCAUUCUUGGUCAUGGCAUCACAAGCAAAUGCUUUGAUUUGAAGACUUGCUUGGCUAUGAAAAAUAAGGAGAGCAAAGGUAAUUAAUCUUGGUGUGAUCAACAUUUUUAUGGGGGUACUAAGAAAAAUAAAGAUAAUAUAAGGAAUGUUGUUGAGGAGUAUUUUCAUAUUUACACAAGUAUUCAAAGUAAAAAUUGAUUUCUUAAAACCCAUUAGCUAGCGCACAUAAUAAUGGGGAGAAAAUUUUAGACUACGAAUGGUCCCGCCCAUUUAAUAAUAUUCUUCAAUCAAUUAUGUUUACUUCAAAAAAAAAAAAACCUAUCUCUUUAUUACUUUCUAACUAUUCAUAUUAAUGUGUUAAUAAUUAUGAAGAACCGGUGUAAUUUAUAUGAUGUAGGAAGCACUUUAGGCAAAAUCAUUUGAAUCUCAAAAUUUCGUGAUAUUGUGCCAAAUAUCGAAAACAGAGCUUCCUAUCACAGAAAUUAGGAAUCACUGGAGAGUAGAGUUACGUGACUGAAUAGUAUCAUAUCACAGAAACUCAAAACUCAAAAGUGCAAUAACAUUGAACAUUCAGCUGGCUAGCUUAUAUUGAUUAAUUAAUACUACUACUAGUUCUUUAUGAUUAAUUAAAAGAUAAAAUAUUUGACAAUCACGAAACAUUAUUCCAUCACUGAAGAGUAGAGCUUCCUACAUUGUUACCCAAGCUCUUUUAUAUCUCCCAAACAUUAUUAGAGUCCCACAUUUGUGGGCACAUCAUUAAGUAAAAUGUGCCAAUUAGGAAGAACUGGCUUCUUUGUUUUGUUUUCUGGGAUGUGUUGCAAUUUUCAAGUAUCAUUCAAAAUUUUACACCAUCAACACAGGAAAAUUAUAUAUAUUCUGUCAGCACUUGCAUAUGUUGCAAGUGCUGACAGAACUUUUCAUUUGAUUUGAUAAUUGGCUAAGGGUGAUUUCGAUAACGUUUCCAAAGAAGACAUAGAACAAAGAUCAAAAAGAAAAAUAAGUAAUUUGAUCAGUCGAUGCAAAAAAUGAGCGAGCUUCGUAGUCUGACUAACAGGAAAUGGCUUGGAGCAAGGAUCAAUGGACAAGUUUGAGGUUUAUGAAUAAACAGAACAGAGGAAAUAAGUGAUCAAUUUAUUACUUCGUGCAAUGGCCACAGCAACAGCGAAAAUAUGUCUACAUGACUACAUUAUCCGACUGGCAUGGUACUAUAACCGUGCAGCAUUACACUAACAUUUCCUUAUCAAUCAAUUUUGAUGGUAUGAUAUUAAAAACAUAGAUUUCAUAAUUUUAUGUAAUUCAAAGAAAAGAUAUAAUUGAUUUGAGUUAGUUUAACAUAUAAGGAAAGAGUAAUGGGGAAUGAUGUUGAUGUGGCAUGUGAUGAGUAAAGAUAGACAACAAAUAUUGAUCGUGUAAUAAUGAAAUAUGUAUUUAUUGAAAAUAAAUUGACAAUUAAAAUUAAUAGAUAUAUAUCCAAUGCAUCGAGUUUAUUUUAUCACUUCGCUAACCAUUUUGUAACUACAUGUUAAUUAGAAGUUCAAUUAAUUUUGACCAAAGACUCUAGAGAAUGUCGAAAAGAGAUUUGAUUUUUGUCUUAAAAAAAAUUAGAAAUGAAAUAAGUCAAAAUCAAUCACAAGAACAACAACAAGAGCAUAUUUUAUAAAACCACAAAUACAUAAUAUAAAUUUAGUUUCGAAUUAGAUAAUUAUUAAUUUGUAUUGUAAGAGAGUCUUAUAGAAAAAUAGGAAUUUUUUAAAAGGAGAUUUGCUUAAGGAACAACUUUAGUUAAUGGAAGGAAAUACAAGUUUGAUUUUGACAAAGUAAUCACUAAAAUAUUUGACAAGUUUGAGAUGUUAAAAAACUGGAAAAAUAGACAAAUAAUGAAAACCCUACAAGUUGGCAAAGCGAAUAAACAGAGGAAAACAGAGCAAAUAUUUACCGUUAUACAUAUAUUUUUUUAUUUUUUUCCGAAAAAGAAUGUUGCGAUAUUUUUUCCCAAAAAGAAGCACAGUUUGAUAUUACUACCAAAGAACUUUAGCUACCAUAUAUAAGCACGUGUCUAAUUACCAAAUGAAUUCCGCUAUAACAAAGAAUAAAAGCUAAUUUCAUUGAUGGCAUAUGUCGUGCUUUCUUUUCUUUUAUUUUAUUGAAGUUACUUUGUAAACUGCUCCAAGCUAAAUACAAAAUUUACUCUUACACUAGGAUCUUUGCAAUGGUCCAGCAAUUUGUAUUUCCAUUCGGUGAGGUUGGUUUUUUUCUUUAAAGUUGGGAAGUCCAUGUUUGCCAUCAAGAGUACGAUUAAAGAAGAGAUGUUACAAUACACAAAAAGGAAAAAAAAUGCCCAAGGAAGCUUGGGACACUUUUGCAAUGAUUUUUUUUCAAUGAAGAAUAACACACAACUACAACUUUUGGACAAUGAGUUACAGUCAAUUUCACAGCAAAGCAACUUCAAUAACCGCAAAAUUUUUGGGUUAGAUCCUACUGUUGCAAUUUCUGAAUCCAGAAUGAAGAGAAUUAUUAUCCAUAGCUUGGUCAUAUACAAUAUGUGUGUGCGUGUGUGUAUGUGUGUGUAUUGGGAUGUCACAGGCCCUAAAAGAUACAGCUGAACAUCAAUCCUAAAUCUAAAGUGAAAAACAGUAGCUAGAACAUAAUCUUUGUUUUGAUGUCUUUGUUUAUAAGCUCAAACAAUUGACAGUAUAGAAAAUGCAUGAUAGAACAUAGAACUCAUAUUUUAGCAAUAAUCCUAAGCUCACUGGCCCUUAGUUCAAACUGGCAGUUCUUAUUAGUCAAAGAAUCAAAUUGACUUUUAGUUGUAUAUAAGUAGAGCACUAGAUCAACAAAUAAUUGAAGACUUGCUUGGCUGUGGAACCAUAGGAAGGCAAUUCGUGAACAGCCUUGAUAUUUCAUUUGGUUUUAUUUAAUUCUUUGUAAAGUCGUAUUGUAUGUAAAAUUUUUGUUAAAUGAAAUCGGUAUGUGAAGAGAAUUUUUAAAAGCAACCAUCAAAGUCACGAUCAAAGGGACGAAAUCAGUAUAAAUAUUGAUUGUCUCAAGUUAGAUUAUACAAAGAUGAAAUAAUUCUAAUCUAGAAAAUUCGAUCAUUAUAAUUUGAUUUCCAUUAUAUUAAUUAUGUUCAAUCUUGCUAUUUUAAUGAAGAACACUCGAGGAUUUAUAUACACUCAGCUUAUGAAAUUAAUUACAAAACGAUCUUUGACCAAGUCUGAUGAAAAGAUCAUAUUAUAAGUGCAAAGUUACACUUCCCGAUCAUGCAACUAUCCAUCGAAUUGUGUAUUGUGUUAUCGUUGAGCUCUUAGGAAGAUUCAGCUGCUGAGGAGAAGAUGUAAUCUGUUUUUAUGUGACAAGCCAUGUACUCUGCUUUUAUGGUGUUUCUCUUGGUAGUUUUGGACAAAACUGUAAUGUAAAUUUCUAUCUUAAGGGAUUCCUAAUCCUUUUAGUUAGUUUGGGAUUGUUGAUUUAUCUAUGAUGUUUGGUAUCCAAAAUUCAGGUGAUGAUAAUCUUCGCAGUACUUUUGUCAAAUUUUCUUUUAUGUUGGUGUUGUUUUAAUUAAAUAUCACAAAGGUGCAAAAUGCGGUAAAAUUAACAUUGAGCUCAUGAGAUUGCCAUUAGAUAUAUUGAAAAAGAAAUUGAUACAAGAAACUGAAAAUUAGUUGUUAAUUAUGAUGGGAAUAUAAUCUUUGAAUUAUAAUUAUAUCUAUCUAACGCAUGUGCACUAAUCUUAUUUAUCUCUAUCACUGAAAAAGCAGAGUGGCCUGAUUGAAUAGUAUCAUAUUAUGUCACAGCAAUCACAAAAACUCACUCAACAUUAUGCUAAUUUAUACUAAUUAAUUAAUACGACUAACAGGAAAAGUUGGAUCUCGCCUUGCUAAAAAUCAGGUGAUUGUUUUUCAUUUUUGCGGCUACUUGACUCAAUUAUGUUAUUGCAAGAGGAGAUUUCUAUUUUGUCCGGUUUAAGCCAUAAGAUGGGUUUUAAGAUUCAUUCUGAUUGGUUAUCUGUUAGCUUUUUGUUUUAAGAACUUCUUAUUUACGAAAGCCAAAUUCUUCUUUCUAGGUUUAUUCAUAUUCAGAAGUUGCUUUUGUCAUAUCAGAAGAAGAGGCUAAGACUGUUGAAGUACUAGAAGGGACUACUGCGCUGAUUGCCUUUUUCAUGGGCUUCUAAUAUCCAAUGUUGAUUAUCUCUUCCAUUUGAACAUGAGAGUAAAAAGAUAGUUGAUAUUUAUGUUACAAAAGUUGGAAGCGACUUAAGCAAUUCAGUAUCAUGCGAGGACUAUAAUAAUAACCCCGAUUAUUUUGCCUCUUGGAUUUUUUUGUUAAUUCACUUGCUUUAUGCUUAUCCGACCUCUGAUUUUUUCUUAAUAUUUCUUUGUAGUUCACUUCACAGCACUUAUAGCCGCUGCAUUGGCAUUUUCUGCUAUUUGUUAUUGUUCAUUGAAGCUAGUUAGUUUACGAAAUUUCUUUUUGAUAAAUCUUCUUCAGAGGGUUGUGAGAGGCCAAAUCAAUUGAGAUGACCGGGUUUUCUAGAUCAGCCAUCUUUGUCGUCAACAGUGCUAAACUGUCAAUUACUGAGACACCAAACUCUAACCCGAUUCAUAUGGAUGUAGACUAAAGCUUCUUGCCGAUACCAUCCCAGUCAAAGCUGCUAUCUUUGAAAGUUUCGCAAGACAAAACAACGUUGGUUUCCCAGUCGACACAAAUACAGAUUUCAUAUGUGCAGAUUGCUCUCAAUCUCUGUUUAAUAAGCUAGUCCUCUGCUGUAUCCUAGAAGGUGGAACAAUACAUUAUGCUUCCCAGCAGGCUCCAAUGGGAUCUAUAUAUGUUUCUGCUGCCAAAUUUUUGAAAGCGAUCAUUGUGAAUAUCGCUGCCCAGUCUGAAGUGGGCUUUGAUACUUGUGACAAUACUCCAUCGAGGCUGUAAAGAAGCCGUGGGUGUACAUUUCUGGUCCAACAAUCAAUCUAACUGGCUUACUUUACAGCAACAAAGAGAUAGAAAAUAUAUUAACUGCUUGUGCAGAAUAUGGAGCAAGAGCUUAUUUAGUGUCGUGUCAAAAUAAAUAUAACAAAGUUUAAGCUGAAUAUAAAUUGUUAAUUACAGGCAGAGCAAGUUGAGUUUAAAAAAUGCGAAGCACCCAGUCCCAAAACAGAGAAGCUUGACGUUGGCCGGCAGGAUUAAUAUUAUUUUUUUUAACAACAAUCAAAGCCAGUCGGGAAUUUAUUAAGAGGUUAAUUAGUUGAAGUAUAAAAAAGGAAUUAGCAGGAUUCACGCCCGACCAAAUCCACAUGGCCAAAGCAAAGGAUUAAGUUUGAGAGAUUAUAAUGAAAUAUAAGUAAGCUUCGCACAUGCAUGCGUCUGACUGACAGAACAAAUGAAGGAAACAUAAACUUAUCAUUUUUAAGAUGUAAGCAUCAAAACAUUCGACAAGUUUGAGGUUCGUGAGAUAUUGGGAAAAUAUACAAAUAAUAAAGCCACUACAAGUUAAGCAGAGCAAAUAAACAGAGGAAAUAACUGAUCAAUUUAGUUCUUUGUGCAAUGGCCACAGCAACAGAGAAAAUAUGCCUACACGACUACAUUAAUCCUACUGGCGUGGUACUAUCACCAUGCAAAUUAACAUUAACAUUUCAUCAUCAAUCAGUUCUGAUGACAUGAUAUCAAAAACAUUGAUUUCAUAAUUUUAUGUAAUUUCAUAUAAAAGAUAUAUAUAGUUUAUUUGAGUUAGUUUAAAAUAUGAAGAAAGAGUAAUGGGGAAUGAUAUCGCUGUAGCGUGUGAUGAGUAAUGAUAGACACCAAAUAUGGAUCAUGUAAUUAUGAUAUAUGUAUUUACUGAAACAUAUUUGGCAAUAAAAUGAUGCUUUAAAAAUUUAAUAUUGUUUGCUUGAAAAUAAUUUGACAAUUAAAAGUAAAAGAUGUAUAUGCAAAACUUUGACCUUAUUUUAUCACUUCACUAACCAUUUUGUAAGUACAUCUUAAAUCGAAGUUCAAUUAAUGCUGACGAAAGACUCCAGAGAAUGUCGAGAAGAGAUUUGAUUUUGGUAUACCAAAAAAUUACAGAUGAGAUAAGUUAAAAUCAAUUACAAGAACAACAAAAAGAAUAUAUUUUAUAAAAGCCACAAAUACAUAUAAUAUAUAAUCAGUUUCGAAUUAAGUAAUUAUUAACUUAUAUAGUGAGAAAGUGUUAUAGGAAAGUUGGAAUUUUUUAAAAGAGAUUUGCAAAGGAAAAAGUUUAGUUUAGUUUAGUUUGCGAAGGCUCAAGUAAUUCAAAGCAAUUAGCAAUGCAAUUGAAGGAAAUAUAAACUUCUAAUUUUUACAAAGUAAUCGCUAAAAUAUUUGACAAGUUUGAGAUUUUCAAAAAGCUGAAAAAAAUAGACAAAUAAUGGAGACCCUACAGAUUGGUAGCGCAAAUAAACGGAGGAAAAUAUGGCAAACAUUUAUUUUUUCCAAAAAGAAUAAAAGCACGUGUCUAAUUACCAAAUAACUUCACUUUAAAAAAUAAUAAAUGCUAAUAUCAUUGUUAGCACAUGUUGUGCAUUUUUCAUUUAUUUAUUUGCUAUUACUUAUUGAAGUUACUUUGCAAACUGCUCCAAGCAAACUACAAAAUUUCUUAUCACUCUAGGAUCUUUGCAAUGGUCCUGCAAUUUGCCUUCCUUUCUAUUAGGUUAGCUGUUUAUUCAAAAGAAAAAAAAUUGGGGAAAUGGAAACCUCACCCUCUUAAUACAGAUUUUGAAUUUUAUUAUUAUUAUUCAAAAUUAGAUAACUAUGCAAAUAAUGGGCGGUUAUAACCAGUGAAACUGUGUCUAGCUACGACGCAGGUUUAAUUUUCUCUUGAUUAAAUAUAUAAACAAAACUAAAUCACCUGAGCCUCUGGUUUCACUAUUUUUCAACUUGAAAUUAAAACGCAAAAAUUGAUGGUAUUGGAGUUCGUUGUUUAGUUUUGCUGUAGGUCAUGGGGAAUCAAAUAGCCAUCCAUUUUUAAGUCUAUUUUAUGUACUAUUGGUCACUAAGUAUUGGGAUGUCAUAGGCCCUAAAAGAAAAAGCUGAAAAUCAAUCCCCUAUCUAAAGUGGAAAACAGUAGCUAGAACAGAAUCUAUGGUUUGAUGUCUUAGUGUAUAGGCUUAAACAAUUAAUAGUAUAGAAAAUGCAUGAUAGAAUUCAUAUUUUAGCAAUAAUCCUCACCUCACUGGCCGUUAGUUCAGAAUGACAAUUCUUAUUAGUCAAAGAAUCAAGAUGAUUUUUAGUUGUAUAUGAAUAGCGCAGUAGAUCAACAAAUAAUUGAAGACUUGCUUUUGCUAUUGAACCACGCGAUGGCAAUUCGAAGACUACAGCUUAGCUCUGCCAUUCGAAGUAAGCAAAUCAGCUGCCCAAAGACUGCCAAGCCAUCAAGACAAUACCAAGAUACAACAUCAAGAAUUACAUACAGGCCGUCACAUAUUACAUUUCUCCUCUGUUUUAAGAGAGAUUUACGAGCCCAUGCAGUAGAAGUAAUUAAUUAAUUUAUACAGUUCAGUACUCAUUCCUCCUCUGUUUCAAAUCCAAAUCCACUGCUCUGCCAUUUAUUAUGACGCAGGGUAUAUGGGUUAGCAAGUGUCGAUAUUGUCCUUCAUCCUUUGUGUACCUUUCUUCUAACAAGGGACAGCACGAGAUCUCUAAUCACAAAAGAGAGGCAGGCAGGCCGUUCGCUGGAAAGUACUUGAGCUUGGGACAAUUACAGAGUUUCAAUGAAAUGAGGUUUUGAUGAUCAACAAUUGAAGAAGACAGGCGUUCCAAAUUUGGUAAAUCAACAAUCACCAAAUAUGCUAGAGUGGCAGGAAGAGGAAGCGUGGCUCCUAAUCCUAAUCUUGAUUUAGUAUUGCGUAUGUAACAUGUGGCAUUCUACAUUCUUGCAAUGCCAUUUCUUGUUAUGGCAGUAGCGUUCUUUCACCAUGGCAUCGCAAGCAAAUAUUUGACUUGAAGACUUGCUUUGCCAAGAAAAAUAAGGAGAGCAAAGGUAAUUGAUUUUGGUGUGAUGAAUAUUUUUAUGGGUGUUCUAAGAAAAAUAAAGAUAAUAGAAGUAAUGUUAUCGAGGAGUAUUUUGAUAUUUACAAAAGUGUUCAAAGAAAAAAGUGAUUUUUUGAAAUCUAUUUGCUGGUGAACAUAAUAAAAUGGCAUUCCGACUUCUGCGUAAAUUUAAAACUACAAAUAGUUUUACUCUUUUAAUAAUAUUCUUCAAUUAAUUCUGUUUCUUUCACAAUAAAAAAUCCAUCUCUUUAUUACUUUCUAACUAGUCAUACUAAUGUGUUAAUAAUGAAGAACCAGCGUAAUUUAUAUGAUAUAAGAAGCCCUUUAGCACAUUAACCCGAAUUUAGCUAAUGCAUGUGCCUAAUAUAGCGAAAUCAACAUUCGGCUCAUUAGAAUGCCAUUAUAUAUACUGAAAAAGAAAUUAAUACAAAAAAAAACUGAAUAUUAAUUGACACUGGAUCAUGUUGGAUUGUUAGUUGUUAAUUAUGAUGGGAAUACAAUUUUCAUCUUUUGAUUAUCCGCUAACUAAUGCAUGUGCACUUUCAUUUGUGUCUAUAUAUACAAAAACUUGUAUCCCAUGGUUUACAUAUGUAUGAAGAUAAUGUAAUAAAGUGCUUUUGAUAAAUUCCCCUGGUCUGUUUACUUCACUAAUUCAUUAAUGUGCAAGUCCUCUAUAGAGCUGUGUUGUGCGUACAAGUUUUGCUACAUGAAAUCGUUAGGUGAGGAGAAUUUUUAAAAGCAUACAUCAAAGUAAUGAUUAAAGGGACAAAAUCAACAUAAAUAUUGAUUAUCUUGAGUUAGAUUACACAAAGAUGAUAAUGUAGUAAAUUUAUCAUAAUACACUACUAAAAAAUGCAUUUUAAUGACACAAAUUUUAUGACAUACAUCUUUAUGUCAUGAAAAUACUUGCAUGAUGUAUAAUGCUUCUGUGAUUAUUUGAUGAUAAAUUCAUAAUUGAUGCAGAUACAAAAUGAAGUGAUGAUAGGUAAAUAUCAUGUGAUUUUUUUUAUGGGUAAGAAUAUUUGAACCCACCAAAUUACUCUUUAAACUUACUUUUUUAUUGAUAAUUUUAUUACAAAAUUACUGANNNNNNNNNNNNNNNNNNNNNNNNNNNNNNNNNNNNNNNNNNNNNNNNNNNNNNNNNNNNNNNNNNNNNNNNNNNNNNNNNNNNNNNNNNNNNNNNNNNNNNNNNNNNNNNNNNNNNNNNNNCCGCAAAACUCAAUCAAAGUAUGCUUAUUUUCUUCUUCUGCACAAGUGUAGCAAAGUUUUUAAUAAGUUCCUCCUUCAUCCACAGUUGAGAACUUUCUAACUUUUGUUUCUUGUUCUAGUAAUUUGGAUAUGCUGUGUUAGAUACUGAAUUUAUUAAAUUUCUUCUUCUCUUUUGAAUAAAAUCUCUUUAAAAUUCAAUCCAUAAAAAAAAAAUUAAUCUCCUUAUAAUUUAAUAUGUUUCGGCUGUCUUAGUGGAAUGAUGCAAUUUGUGUCAAUCAAAGUUUUGAAGCAUCCUAAAUUAUAUAUUUUUUUGUUUAAUUUGUUUAGAGUUCAAUUGUUUAGAUCUAGGCUAAUUUUUAUUGAUAAUAUUUAUGAUUAAAUUAUAUGAGUAUGCUUAAAUUUUUUUUUCCUUCAAAUUUAUUUUCUGAUGUUGCAUUUGGUUAGCAAAAAGAUAAAAAUAGUAGAAAAUGUCCGAAUUAUUGUUAUGAAAAUGUUGUUUUAGUCUGAUAUUGGGAAAAUAUCCUUAUACAUAUCGGCAUGAUAUUCAUGGGAGACCAAAUUGAGAAUGAUGGCAGACUAUGCAUUGCUCACAACUAAUUUAAAACUCACUAUUUCUAUUGUUUGUGUUUUAGUAACUUUGGGGGAAUUCCAACUAUAGUUAAUAAGCUAUAAACUUGUUUAGGAUUACUAAUCAACUUGCUAGAAAGAGUUGCAAACUAAUUAGCUUUCUCUUAUAACUUUUACAGAUCAUCUGUGGAGGAGAACUGCAAGGAGUUGAAGACUCUAGACCCUAAACUUCAUAUCUUGAUUUAUAAGUGCAAUGGCCAUAAGUCCGAAUUAUGGGCUGGAGAUGGUAUAUGUAAUCUUUCUGCUCUUGGUGUUUUUUUUUUUUUCCCCUCUAGUUAUUUUUUGCUCUCUACUCCAUUGUAUAUUUGUAUUCAAAAGUAUUUUUUUCUUUGUUUUAAGCUUUCAAAUUUAUGGAGAUGAUCUUAUUAGGUGUUAAAAAAAUAGUUGUAGAGCUUUACUAAAACUAUGUAAACUCUUAUUGAGAUUUGGGUUUGAUUUUGUAAGAUUGCUAAAAAUUUCAUAUUUUAUACUUGUUUUAUACUUUUCUAGUCGAAUUUCUUGCUUGUGGAAGAUAAAAUAAAAGUCCAAUUCAUGUUGUAAAAUUUUUUUUUCCUCCCUUUUUUCUUCCCUUAUAAUCUGGCUCUGGUUUUGGUGCAGUUUAUGGUUUCAAUGCAGGGAACCAAUUUCAUCAGAAUCAUCUUAAAGGAUCAAAGUGGCUUCCUUUUGUAACUGGGUAAGUCAAUGCUACUUCCUGAAUUCGAUUUGGAGUUCUUUCGGAAUAGAUUUCCUUCCCUUACAUCACUUGGCUUCUAGUUGCAUCUUCUUGGCUUUCUCCAACGGACUUUUUUAUUGGCAAAUUCGUUUGUUUCUAUUGUUUUCAAGUGCUAGUGCUGGAUUUGGAGGUAUGAAUGGUGCCUUCAUUUUUAUUUUUUUAAUUUUCUUUUGGGUGUAUAGUACUGUAAUAUACUUCUUUGUAUAGCUAGUACAAAAUAGUUCUUUAAUUUUAUUUGUCAUGAUUUAUUUCUAUUGCCUGGUGAUGACACCCAUCACGACUUAGUAGUCGUGAAUAAAUCGAAAAUCAAAUUGCACUGGUUUUUACCGGUUAUCAACAAUUGUGAUGUUUUGAGAUUAUAACAUACUUGACAACGCCGACUAGCGUUCUCUCCUAUGUGAAUUGGGACAAAAAUUAUUUUCCCAAUCACGCUUUCGUUUGAACAAUUCCACUUCAGAUAUAUAAAAUAAUGAUGAAAUUGUGUUUUAAAAUUAGUUACGAGUAAUUGGUUCAAUAUUAAUACAAAACUAUUUUAAGUAACACGUGGCAUAUUCUAAUUCCAGUGAGCUUCUAACUCAGAUUCCCAAAUCAAAAGAAACGUUUCAAUUUUCUCCAGAACGUUCUGCAAAACAUUUCUUCGAGUCUCUACGUUGUGCUAGAAUUUUCUCUCAGUUUCUUUUCCAUAGACUUCUAAAAAACUGUCCAGAUACCGAGAUAUAAUCCAAUCUAAGUGUACAUAUUGUAAGAAAAACGAUACACAGUGAGAUAACAAUUUAAAUAGUAGCUAAUUUAAACAACAAUGUAAACUAGCAAUGGGAAACAACAAAUGAAGAACUGAAGAGAAAGGAGACCAAAACAGAAAUAUAAACCCGAGGCCUGCGGACAGUUUCCUUAAACAUAUUUACCCCCUCUUGGAGUGCUUUAGGUCAGCUGGUAUCUGUUUCCCAGGAUACAACAGGCACGAAUUUUCGGCUAAGCACAGGCUAGAAAUUCUGGCGAACCACAACAACGAGCUCGAUCAGAGAAAACAGACGACGAAGAUGGAGGAAGGAAAAUAAGUGUGCUGGUUUUUUCAGUGUGCAAAAAAACAGAAGAGGAGAUGCCUUUUUAUAGUCAUAUGAGGAUGUAACAGCUACUUUGUAUUGAAUUUCUGAAUUCAAUAUAUUUUAUUUAAUUGUUAUAACAGCCAAAUCAAUUCAAUGAAUUGAUUUCAAAAUUGAAUUAAAAAAAACGUGAAUUAUAUAACAGCUAAAAAUAAUUGUUGAAGCUGUUACAAAUCCUUUGAAUUCAAACGUGAAACUGUUACAAUAAAAAAAAUUUUAAAAGGAAAUUAAAAACAUGCCAAGCUUGCAUGGAUGAUUUUGGGCUGACAUUCGCGUACGCAGACGAGUUCAACCAAAUUGGUCAUGGAUUUGCACCCCCCUGCACACGCGCACGUGGAGAGAGCCUCUAUCCUUAUAAUUCUUGAACAAGCAUGGUUAAGUGUUUAUAUAUAAACACUAAUCCCUAGGCUUCUUUUUCCCAUGUGGGAUAAGCCUAAUUUCUUUUCAAAUUUCCAACUUCAAAGGUGAACUUUGAGAGACAAUUUCUCAUUCACCCAAGCACCAUUUUGAGAAAAUAAGAUUAUACUUUUGAAGUAUCAAAGGAGUAGAAUCCGAACCUCACAAGAUUUUCCACUUUCGUUAAGUGGGACCCACUCAAAAUAUGCCCUCAAAAUAGCAUCUAUAUAUGCUAUUUUUUCAACAAUCCCCCACAUGAAUGAAAAUUGGCAGUAAAACAAAAAACCGCUAUAUUUUUUUUACAUCAAAACCAUUUUUGACCUUAAUGAUUGAGUUUAUUGGAUUGAUACCUAGCACAUGAUAGGUUGGUGUUAUCCUUUUAACCUUCCCUUGUAAUAGUAUAAUUACUUUACUGGCUGAUCAGUAGACGCGAUGUCUUUGAACUGUGCGGCCGUUAGUGUAAACGAUCAUAUACUACACAUAGGUAUUUCUCCUAACACUGUUGAGUUCUCAUGGUUAUGUUCGUUUUGGCCUUGAACAUCUACCUGGUUCUGCAAGAGUUUCUAAGAGCUAAACCCAUCAUAGCUCCCUUUGAAGCGGCCCCACUUCUCUCUCACAUAGGUGAUAUCUUAAUUAAAAGUAACCCGCAUUACUCCGCUCGAAUUUUCCGACGCAUAAGAAUCAUUAAGAGCCUAGCUCAACCUUAUUCCCCACGAGCAUCAUUGUUUCAUAAUAUGAAUGGUCAAUGAGGUAAUCUUCUCAAGAGAAUAAACCCCACAAUAAUCCAACUUUAGUCUUUAACAAAUAGGUUGUUCAAUUGAACCUAGAUCUUGGGAUCUCCAGUCUACUAGGUUGGGUUUUCCUUCGUUAUUGACUAAUCAAUCUAUGAGUUUUAAUCCCAUUCCCCUCGAUGAUUUUUCUACUAGCUCUCUAUUUAACCCUUUGGUUAGCGAAUCCGCAAUGUUAUCCUUUGACCUCACAUAGUCAAUAGAAAUAACUCCAGUAGAAAUAAGUUGUCUAAUGGUAUUAUGUCUAUGACGUAUGUGUCUAGACUUACCAUUAUACAUAUUGCUUUGUGCCCUACCGAUAGCUGAUUGACUAUCACAAUGUAUACAAAUCGAAGGCACAUGCUUUGGCCACUUUGGAAUACCUUUUAAAAAAUUGCGUAGCCAUUCUGCUUCUUCACCACAUUUAUCUAAUGCAAUGAAUUCAGAUUCCAUUGUAGAUCUAGCAAUUACUGUCUGUUUAGAAGAUCUCCAUGAUACAGCUGCACCUGCUAGUGUAAAUACAUAGCCGCUAGUGGAUUUUGAAUCUUUUACAUCUGAUAUCCAGUUAGCAUCACUAAAUCCUUCUAAUACUUCUGGAUACCUAGUAUAGUGCAGUCCAUAAUUACGAGUGUAUCGAAGAUACCUAAGUACUCUUACGAUAGCUUUCCAGUGAUCAGUUCCUGGAUUACUCGUAUAUCUACUAAGUUUACUUACCGUAUAGGCUAGAUCUGGUCUGGUACAACUUGUUAAGUACAUCGGACUGUCUAUUAUUCUAGCAUAUUCUACUUGAGAAAAACCCUCUUCUCUAUUUUUCGAUAAAUGGAUACUAGUAUCUAAUGGAGUUUUAGACAUAAUAUUAUCAUUUUUAUUAAAUUUUCCAAGAAUUUUAUCUACAUAAUGAUUUUGACUUAGAAUAAGUCCAUUAGAAGCCCUUCAGAUUUUAAUUUCCAAAAUGACAUUUGCAAGACUCAUGUCUUUCAUGUCAAACUUAGACUUCAACAUAUUCUUGGUAGAUUUAAUCAUGUCAUCAUCACUUCCAACAAUGAGCAUGUCAUCAACAUAUAAACAUAAAAUGACAUAGCCAUUUUCCGUUUCUUUGACAUAAACACAUUUGUCACACUCGUUGAUUUUAAAACCACUUGUGAUCAUCAUAUGAUCAAAUUUCUCAUGCCACUGUUUCGGUGCUUGCUGCAAGCCAUAUAAUGACUUUACCAAUUUACAAACUUUCUUUUCUUGUCCUGGAGCUAUAAAACCUUCAAGUUGCUCCAUAUAGAUUUCUUCAUCUAAAUCUCCAUUUAGAAAAGCCGUCUUUACAUCUAUUUGAUGUAUCUCGAGAUUGCGCAAAGCUGCAAUUGCUAUUAUCAUCCGUAUGGAAUUUAUUCUCAUAACAGGAGAAUAAGUAUCAAAGUAAUCAAGGCCUUCUCGUUGCCUAUUACCUUUAAUUACAAGCCUAUCCUUGUAUUUAUUGAUUUAUCCAUCAGCUUUCAUUUUCCUUUUGAAAAUUCACUUAUACCCCAAAGGUUUACAUUCUGGAGGAAGAUCUGCUAGCUCCCAAGUAUGAUUUUGUAAAAUGGAUUCAACUUCACUGUUAAUGGCUUCUUUCCAUAAAGUGCCUUCAGCUGAAGUUACAACCUCUUUGAAGCUUUGAGGUUCACUUUCUAGCAAAUACGUCAGAAAGUCUAGACCAAAAGACUUUUCUAUCCUAGCUGUUUUGCUACGUCUAACCUCAAUUUCUUGUUCUUGAUCUUCUUCUUCUUCUUCUUCUGGUGCUUCAUCAUUUUCUUCAUUUCCAAGUGUUGUUUCAUGAAAUUGUCGCAAUUCUCUCGAUUCCACUCUAGAAUUGCAAGGAAACACAUGUUCGAAUGAUGCAUUUCUUGAUUCUAUUAUCAUAUUUUUGUGGACAUCUGGAACUUUAGACUUAUGUAACAAAAAUCGAUAAGCACUACUGUUUUGUACAUAACCAAUGAAAAUGCAGUCAACAGUUUUUGGUCCUAUUUUCACUUUUUUAUUGAAGGAACCACUACUUUAGUAAGACACCCCCACACUCGUAAGAAUUUAUAUGAAGGUGAUCUAUUUUUCUAUAGCUCAUACAGGGUUUUAUCUUCUUGCUUUCAGGGUAUCUUAUUUAAUAAAUAAUUAGCUGACAAAACAGCUUCUCCCCACAUAUUCUGGGGUAACCCAGAACUUAUCAACAUUGCAUUCAUCAUUUCCUUUAAAGUUCGAUUCUUUCGUUCUGCAAUCCCAUUAGAUUGAGGUGAAUAUGGAGUCGUGACUUGAUGUAUGAUUCCAUUUUGUUCACAUAGUGACAUAAACAUAACAACAUACUCACCACCACGGUCACUCCUUAAUUCUUUGAUUUUUCUAUUAAGUUGAUUCUCAACUUCAUUUUUGUCGAGAAUAAACUUUUUCAAAGCUUUAUCUUUACUUUUCAAUAAAUAUACAUAGCAAUAUUUUGUGCAAUCAUCUAUAAAGGUAAUAAAAUAUUUAUUAUCACCUCUUGUUUGAAUGGAUUUAAAGUGACAAAUAUCAAUAUGUAUUAAAUCAAGUGGUUCGGUGUUUCUGUUAAUUAUUUGGAAAGAUGACCUAGUUAGUUUUGCCUCAACACAAGUUUCACACUUAUGUUUCAAAUCAAUUUGGAAAUUGGGAAUAUGCUUCAUGUUAAUUAAUUUACGCAAAGAUUUAAAAUUAACAUGUCCUAAUCUACCAUGCCAAAGAUUAGAAGACUCAAGCAAAUAAGCAGAAGAAGUAGCUUUAUUAUUAAUUAUUGGUUUCAGAGUCAUUACAUUGAGCUUAAAUAGCCCAUCAUUAACAUAACUCUUUCCCACAUACAUCCCAUUUUUAGACAAAACUACCCUAUCUGACUCAAACACCAUUUGGAAGCCAUGUUUGUUCAACAGCGAUCCAGACACCAAGUUCUUCUGAAUUUCUGGCACAUAAAACACAUUGUUCAGAGUCAGUUCUUUCCCAGACGUCAUCUUCAAAAUCACCUUCCCUUGACCAUCAAUCUCAGACGUAGCCGAAUUCCCCAUGAAUAGCUUCUCUCCAUUGCUAACUGCUUCAACUGAAGUGAACAAUCCUUUGUCCGAGCAAACAUGUCUGGUUGCUCCCGUAUCAAUCCAUCAUUCUCUCGGAUUAUAGCCAACCAGAUUCACUUCUGAAACCACUGUAGAGAGGUUUAUGUCUGAAACAUGUUGAGUGAUGUUUUCCAUCACAUUCUCCUCUCGCUUCUUUUUAGGCAACCUGCAAUAUGAAGCAUUGUGACCCAUCUUAUCACAAUUAAAACAUUUUCCUUGAAACUUUGUUUACUUCUUGGAAAUUCCUCCUUUCGGACCCAUUUUUUUAUUUUUAUUUUUAGGUCCAUGUUCGACAAAAUUUGCCUUUGCCAUAGAAAUAACUCCUUUUCUUUUUGCAUUUCUGUUAUCUCCCUCAAUUCUGAACUUAACAACCAGCCCUUCAAUAUUCAUCUCCUUUCAUUUGUGCUUCAAAUAGCUCUUGAAAUCUUUCUAAGCAGGAGGCAAUUUUUCAAUAAUUGCGGCAACUUGAAAAGUUUCACUUAGAUGCAUCCUUUCUGCAAGGAUUUCAGAUAAUAUAAUUUGAAGCUCUUGUACUUGACUUAUUAUAGUUUUAGAAUCCACCAUUUUAUAAUCUAGGAAGCGACCAACAACAAACUUUUUGGUUCCCGCAUCCUCGGUUUUAUAUUUCCGGUCAAAGGAUACCCAUAACUCCUUGGCUGUUUUCUUUCCUAUGUAUACAUUAUACAAGGAAUCACUAAGGCCAUUCAUUACAUAAUUUUUACAUAAAAAAUCUUAAUGAUGCCAUGCAUCAAUUGCACUUGCAACUUGAAUAUCCGUUUCACCCUCUUUAGGUUUAGGAGCAUUCUCGAUUAAGAAACUUGCAAGGUUCAACAUGGUCAAGUAAAAGAAUAUCUUUUGCUGCCAACGUUUGAAAUUCUGGCCAUUGAAUUUUUCAGGCCCUUCCGCAUGAUUGACAGGAAUUGCCACAGAGGCUGGUUCCUUUACAACAGUUGGUGCAGCAACAGAAGAUGAAACUGGGACAUACGGAAUAUCAUCAAUGGUUUCAGUUGCCAUCUCAAUGAUAAUUGAUUCUGUUUUAAGAUUGUAAAAAAAAUGAUACACAGUGAGAUAAUAAUUUAAAUAGUAGCUAAUUUAAACAACAAUGUAAACUAGCAAUGGGAAACAACAAAUGAAGAACAGAAGAGAAAGGAAACCGAAACAGAAACAGAAACAUAAACCUGAGCCCUGCAGACAGUUUCCUUAAAACAGAUUUACCACUCUUGGAGUGCUUUAGGUCAGCUGGUAUCUGUUUCCCAGAAUACAACGGGCACGAAUUUCCGGCUAAGCACAGGCUGAAAAUUCCGGCGAACCACAACAGCGAGCUCAAUCAGAGAAAACAGACGAUGAAGAUAGAGGAAGGAAAACAAGUGUGCUGGUUUUUUCAGUGUGCAAAAAACAGAAGAGGAGGUGCCUUUUUAUAGUCAUAUGAGGAUGUAACAGCUGCUUUGUAUUAGAUUUCCGAAUUCAAUAUGUUUUACUUAAUUGUUAUAACAACCAAAUCAAUUCAUUGAAUUGAUUUUAAAAUUGAAUUAAAAAAACAUGAAUUAUAUAACAGCUAAAAAUAAUUGUUGAAGCUGUUACAAAUCCUUUGAAUUCAAAACGUGAAUCUAUUACAAUAAAAAAAUUCAAAAGGAAAUUAAAAACGUGCCAAGCUUGCAUGGAUGAUUUUGGGCUGACAUUCGCGUACGCAGACGAGUUCAACCAAAUCGGUCUUGGACUUGCACCCCCCCUGCACACGCACGUGUGGAGAGAGCCUCUAUCCUUAUAAUUCUUGAACAAGCAUGGUUAAGUGUUUAUAUAUAAAUACUAAUCCCUAGGCUUCUUUUUCCCAUGUGGGAUAGGCCUCAUUUCCCUUCAAAUUUCCAACUUCAAAGGUGAACUUUGAGAGACAAUUUCUCAUUCACCCAAGCACCAUUUUGAGAAAAUAAGAUUAUACUUUUGAAGUAUCAAUGGAGUAGAAUCCGAACCUCACAAGAUUUUCCACUUUCGUUAAGUGGGACCCACUCAAAAUAUGCCCUCAAAAUAGCAUAUAUACAUGCUAUUUUCCACUUUCGUUAAGUGGGACCCACUCAAAAUGUGCCCUCAAAAUAGCAUAUAUACAUGCUAUUUUUUCAACACAUAUCUCUCUAUGUCACCUCCCUCCAUUUCACCAGAAAAUCAACAAACACUUAGCUUCAAAACAAACACUCUAAAAAAGCUAGCUAGUUGAUGGCAAAAUCAAGAAUUCUUGCAAUGGCAAUGUUGUUUCUUGUUAUGGCAGCAACAUUGAUGAACAUGGCAUCAAAGCAAAUGCUCUGAUGCUGUACACACGAUCACCUUUCUUUGACGUAAUGUUCCCAAUGACGGAAGAUCCUUUCAGGGUUCUUGGACAAACCCUGUUAACAAUCCCAAAAGGAGCUGAACAUCAUCAAACUCUAGCACUGGCGAGAGCAAACUGAAAUGAGACACCAACAUCACACGUGAUCACACUCGACAUUCCAAGGAUGAAGAAAGACGAUGCGAAGAUAGCAGUUGAAGAGAACAGGGUACUGAGGGUGAGUGGGGAGAGGAAGAGCGAUGAUUAUUAUAAGGAGGAAGUUGAAGGAGAAAAAUGGCACAGAGUUGAGAGACCAUUUGGCAAGGUUUGGAGGCAGUUCAGGAUGCCUAUGAGUGCUGACUUGGAUCAUGUUAAGGCUCAUUUGGAAAAUGGUGUUCUAAGGAUCACAGUGCCAAAACUUGUUGAGGAGAAGAAGAGGCCGCCUAAGGUUAUUAACAUUGAUGAAGAGCCUGGUAAUUCUUCCGAUGAAGAUGUUAAGGCCGCCAAGGCUCAAAUGUAAUUGAUUAAAGAAAGAAGUGUUUGAUUUGCUUGAUGUGCUAUUUGUUUUGUGAUCUUUUCUUGGUUUUGUUGUGGGAUGUUUUUCUUUGGAUGUUCUGUUUAUUGUAUUUUGAUGGAUUUUUAAAGAUGGCUUUUAUGUAUUAACAACAAUAAAGUGUUUUUUAUAAAUCCGGGUCCUAAAUUUGUAAAAGAAAUUAAUAAUACUCUUGGUUUAUUGUUAAUAAAAAUAAAAAAGAAGAAUCUUUUUCUUUAGCAUAUAUUAUGCAUUUUAAGGAAAAAAAAAAUUAUCACAUUCUAAUACAUAAAGAUAUUCCUCUUCUGUCAUAUUAAUGUGUUAAUACGAAGGUCUAUUGGAAUUAUAAUAGUUUAGAUGAAUCCAAAAUAUUCAAUAAUUGAUAAAUAGUAUAUUGACACACAGAAAAUGUGCGUGUGUAUGUAUAUAAAUGAGGUUUCAACAGCUGAGAAAGAGAUAGCCAUUAUACAUUACACAUUUGCACUCAAUAAGAAAUCAAUUCAUUAAUAUAGCCAUUAAUACGCCUGGUUUAUUGUUAAUGAAAAUUAAAAAAGAAAAAAAGUCUUUUCUUUGGCCUUUAUUAUGCAUUUUAAGAGGAAAAAAAAUUUAUCCCACUCCAAUUCAUGAAGAUAUUCUCUUUUCUGUCAUAUUGAUGUGUUAAUAUGAAGAUCCAUUGCAGUUGGUGAAUUCAAAUAUUCAGUAACUGAUGAAAUUGUAUUUAUAAAUUCAUACUAAUAGCAAUUGAAGAUUAUAAUUAAUUUUGUAAUAUGGUCUAGCCCUCCUGUGUUUAAUUAGCACUCAAAAACCACUUUACAAUAGGGCAUUAAAAGAACAUUAUAACGUCAUUGCUGAUGAGUUCUGGCGAAGACAUUAAGUUAAGGCCACAAAAAUCGAAAUGCACGUAGCUUCGUUUGUUUUUUAUUUUUGAUUCUCUUUGGGGGCAAAUGCUUGGCUUCGUUUGCUUUUUCGUUUUUGAUAUUUUAUUGGGCUUUAUUGUGUGGCAUCUUCUUGUUUUCUUUUGAUUUUCUGUUUUGGUUGUUAUGGGAUUUGAUGACGACGUACAUGUACGAAGAUUAUAUAAUAAAAUGUUUUUGAUAAAUUAUGGUCGGUUUAGAAUUAAUUAACUAAAUUUAAUUUACUUGAUCAAUUGAUAUUUGUAAGCAUUGUUGUUAUACAAACACAACAAAAGAAGAACAUUAAUGUACUAAUUAAUUACUAAUAAGAACAUUAAUAACUUUUGCCGAAGAAGAGAAAUAUUACACAUAUGUAACCGUGCAGCAUAUGUAACCGUGCAGCUAAAUAAAAGAAACUGAAGUUUAUUUCAACAGCUAAAGAAUGAGAUACGCAUAAGAAAUUAAUCCAUUAAUUAAUUAAUUAAUUCAUAGUCCCCCGCUGCUAAAAUAAAGCGAGCGUCUUACUCUACCUAACAUUUUUCCUUUUAUUAAUUUAAAAUAGUUUUCAACUGAGAUUUGAAUUUUAAAAUUACACGCUUGAUUUAGAAGAAAAAAAAGUCAAAUAUAUGUAACCGUACCGCGGAAAAGACAAAUAUAAGAAACUGAAGUUUCAACAGCUGAGAAUGAGAAAUUAAUUCAUUAAUUAAUUAAUAGAGUCCUCCUUUGCUAAAUAAUGCGAACCCAUUGUUCUUUUUAUUUCCAAAACCCAUUAAUCACCAACACAUAAUACACGCCCAAUUUAAAAAAAAAACUAAUAAUAAAAUAUUUCAGUCUUCCUUUGUUGAGUCGUCAUUAAAAACCCAUUUACCAGCUAUUCGAGCAUAAGGUAUAUGGGUUAACAAGUCCCAAUAUUGUCCUCCAUCCUUUCUGCACUUCUCUUCUAUCAACGGACAGCGAUAGAUUCUUAAUUGCAAAAGUGAGGAAGGCAGGCCCUUCUCCGGAAAGUAUUUGAGCUUGGGACAAUCAUAGAGUGUCAAUUUAGUGAGGUUUUGAAGAUCAACAAUUGAAGAAGAUAGGCUUUCCAGAUUUGGAAAAAAGGCAAUGCUCAGAGAUGUUAGAGAGGCAGGAAGAGGAAGCGUGGUCCCCAGUCUUCUGUCCUCUGGCUCUGGUGGAAAUGACACCAUGUCGUCAUCGCAUCCUCUGAUUAAAAGAUAUCGCAGAGAGGAGAAUCUGUGAAAUCCCCGGCCCCGCUCAAUCAUUGACUUCCAAAUCCCCAUAUUACCCUCAAUCCUCAGUGAAUGAAGGUUGGUGGGAAGGCCAUCUUCUUCAAGGCUUGGAAGCUCACCUCCUAUUAUUGUUAAUUGUUGAAGAGAGGUCAGAUUGUGCAAUCCCUUGGGUAAGGCCUCUAGUCUCUUACAAUCAUAUAUCUCCAGCCUCCUGAGUUUCGCACAAGGCAAUCCCCCUUUGGGAAAGGACUCCAGAUUUCCACAACCCCCAAUACCAAUCUGUUGAAGCUGGCACAGAUUAUGUAAACCACUCGAUAAAAUUUUCAGAUUUUCACAGUUAGAAAUGUUGAUUGUUUCAAGAGAUGUGUUGUUGUCCAACCUUUCUGCUAUUGACUGCAGCUUUGGACAUCCAUAAACAUCAAGUACCUUAACGGACGGAGGUAGAUUGCCAACUUCAAGGGACUCAAGCGUGGCAGGUAACUCGUUUUUUGAAAAUAUACAUGUCAGAGACGGACAACUGGAAAUUGCUAAGUUCUCAAGAAGAGAUGAGGUGUACCUUCUGCUGCUGCUACUCUGGAUGCCCUCUUCCACUGUCAAAGUCCUUAUUUUAUUGCACCUCUGGAUGUCCAACCUCUUAAGGCUCAGUGGUAGCUGGACUUCAGCAAUAUAUGUCAACGAAUGGCAAUCCCAAAUUUUCAAGAUCUCGAGAGAUGAACUAGUGUCGCACAUCCAUGGCUCUGGUAACGAUUUCAGUGCAUCACAUUCUCUAAUCUCAAUUUUCUUCAACUUGGAAGGCAGAGCAACCUCAGGAAAGGAAACAAGGGAACUGCACUUGUAGAUUUCUAUCUCUUUCAAGGAACUAAGGCUGAGAGAUGAUUGUGGCAGCUUCACAAGGCCUUCGCAAUAUCUCAAUCUUAGAUAUUCGAGUCUGCAUGACAACUCGCAGAGCUGCUGUUGUUGGUCUUUCUCUUCCUCCGCCACCAAGGAUUGAAGUUUGGGACACCCUCUUAUCUCCAGACUUUUGAGAGAGCAAAUGUCUUGUAGUAAUCCGUCAUGACUCUUCCAUAUAUAUGUUUGCUCUUUUGUCGACAAAAUUAAUUCUUCCAAUUUCGGUAGUUGUGGCUUCAACGGCCCCGCAAGAAACACUUGAUUUGAUGUAUCUCUACAAACCACUGAAUUCUGUGAUCCGAGAUGACCAGUUGCACUUUCCCACACAACCUUUUUGCAUCCACCAAUUAAGAAUUUGCAAAGAGUUGGAAGACUCAAAACUGAAACUAACAAUUCUUCACAUCCUUCAAUAACAAGCAUCUCUAAUACAGGAAGGUGUUCUGGAAAUGUUCCUCGCAGUUUAGGACAUUCUAAAAUGUGAAGCUCUCUCAAUUUAGGAAACCCUUCAACCCCUUGACCGGAUCCAUGAGAAAUCCAGACUUCCCAUUCUUGCAGGUCUUCAAAACGAAGAGUCUCCAAGCAUGGAAAUGGAAUUGGAGAGUCAUCCCCAUAGAACUCUGAACCCAAUCUCUUUACUCUACUCACUCCACGCACUGUAAGAUGCUUUAGAGAGGGCAGUUGCCCGACAGACGGCAGGGCAGUACACAUGCCGCAAUCUUCAAAUUCAAGUGUUACUAAAUUUGAGAAUAAGGAAUCUCCUAACCAUGUUGGAAAUUUUGUACCUCCAUAGCCACAGAUACCAAAUUGUUCCAGAUUUUUAUGGGGUUUGAGCAUGUCAAGCACACCCAUUUCAGUUUCUGCCUCCCUUGAAGAUGAACCAUCGGUACUGCGUGUCCAUCGAAGCAAUAAUUCUUUAAGAUUCUUCUUUCCAUCCAACCGAGCCUCCUUCGCAUUACCAACGUCUUUUACGUUCUCCAAUUUUGAAAUUUCAAGUGCCCCACGAAGAUGCAUCAACAACUUUAGCUCUGAUAACCCCGAACCACUGUCUUUUCCCACAACAAAAUUACACAACGUCUGAAGACAAGUCAACUUGCCAAUUCCUAGUGGCGUUUCCUCCAACGAAUCUGUAUUUGAAUUAUUGAGAUGAUGCAAUUUGAUGAGAUUUCCCAUGUCUGCACACAACUUCUUCAGCCGAUCACAAUCUUCCAACAAAAGACUAUGCAAAUUGUAAAGCUUGUUGACUGAUUCAGGCAGAGUUCUAAUAUUAGUUCCAGACAGGUUAAGGUACCUUCAAUACCUCAAAUCACCAACUGAAUCUGGUAGCUCGGAGAUGUGAUAUCCACGCAAAGAGAAGACCCUCAAGCGUUGGAGUUUGAGCAACUUAGGAAGAAUGCUAGGAGCCAAGUAGCCAGGCGAACUCUCUGUCAACAUUACUGGUAAAAAAGUUCUCAAAUGUUGGAUAUCAUACAAGUCCCCAAACCUUUUACCGCCAACAUAAUAUUCAGGAAUAUAUGACAGAUGACGAAGAUAUCGGGAAAAACUUUGUUGCUUGUUAACCUCAGAGGUAUACUCCAUUGUGAAGUAUAUUUCCCCUGCAGCCCAAUGCGCAAGGUCGUUGAUAAGAUCGUGCAUCACAAAUCGUGAUGCAUCGUUGCUUGAUUGCUGGAAAAAGGAUCUUGAAUGUAGCUCCUUAAAGAUUUCAAGACCUAAAUCUUCACCAGUUUUCUCACGCUCUUUGCGAUCCAAGAAGCCCGAGGCACACCAUAACAAAAUUAUCUCCCCCUCUUCAAAUUCAUAAUCCUUUGGAAACAAUGAGCAAUACGCAAAGCAUUGUUUCAAAGGUGCCGAAAGAUAAUAGUAGCUCACUCUAAGCGCCGGCAUAAUGUCACAUCUCUCUUCUUGCAAUUCCCAUAUCUUGGUACUGAGCACUCUCUCCCAAUCACAUCUGUCAUCUUUUCCUCGCAAAAGUCCUCCAAGUGUUUGCGCUGCCAAGGGCAAGCCAUCGCAUUUGGCCACUAUCUUCUUGCCAAUUUCCUCCAAUAAGUUAUCUGACCCCAAAGAAUGUUGAGCAAAUACAGCUAGACAAUCAUCAAUUGACAACUUUUUUAAUUGAUAAGCUGAGGCAGUUCCCAUGAUGUCUGCAACCUCUUGAUUACGAGUUGUGACAAUAAUCUUACUUCCCUUCGCUCCAGCUUCAAACGGACGGCUGAGGCGAACCCAAUCAUUGUAAUUCUCAUUCCAAACGUCGUCUAAAACAAGCAAAAAUUUCUUUUGAGAUAACUUCUUCUUCAGCUCCUCUUGAAGCAAAUUUAAAUCACUGUCAUCAAUAGUCUGCUUGGUAACGGAUCUUAGAAUUGUUUUUGUUAGCCCCUUAACGUCGAAAUCCUCAGAGACACAAGUCCAUGCCUUGAGAUCAAAAUGAUCCCGCACUUGCUUAUCAUUGUAGACAAGCUGAGCAAGAGUAGUUUUGCCCAGCCCGCCCAUACCUAUAAUAGGAAUAACUGCGAAUCCACCAUCGUUGCUUAAAUCAUCCCUCAACAGCAGUUCAACAACAUCCUUCUUUUCUGUUUCCCUGCCAUAUACUUUGGCUUCAGUCACUAAAGAGGUUGUCUCUAGCCUUUGACUGGCUUUUUUGGACCCUCCAGCUGAACUUUCUUUCAAAUCUAGCAAGUUUUUCUGUGUCACAAUUUCUUGAAAUCUGCUGUUGAUCUCUUUGAUUUUGGACAUCAAGCCAUAAUCGAACUGAAUCGAUUGUGGAGUAAAAGUGGUGCAGCAAGUAGGAAUGAGCUUCCGAAACUUACUUGUUCUUGUACGACUGCUACUGGGUUGAUCAUGAGCAGCAGCUGGUUCUCCAUUCCCAAGCAGCAACCUCCUCCGGAAAGCCUCAGUUUGAAACUCAUCCAACAAGUCUUCAACAUCGUAAGCCAAGUUCUGAAGCUUGCCAAGCCACUUCUUCACAAACUGAUUAGUCGUCUUCUUCUCCUCAGCAUCAUCAAGCACCGCCUUGAUCAUCUCCAACAUAUUCUCCCACUUCAUUAGAUCGUCUUGGAUCUUCUCUUGGCGUGCAAAAAACAGAAUCCCCUCUGAAGCUAACUUAUUGACCAGCAAAUCAACGGACGCCGUAAGGAUUGCCUCUCCGAUGAUCGACAUUUUUUUUUCUUUUUUUGGGCAAAGGAAGAAAGGAGCAGAAUUAUGGGUUAUGGAAAGCAGAAUGAGAAUAUUGAACGGGUGAGAAAAUGGAUAAUUAAGCGGAAUGAGUUUGUGAUUGUGAAGGGUCUGGUUCAGCAAGCUUAGUAGAAAUCACGCGUUUGUACUUUAUUGACCAAUGACUAAAUAAUUUGGCAAUGCACCCACCACCACCAGUUGGCGAGCAAAAUGAAAAAGUUUAAUAAGUGCAGGGGUCGAGCAAAAUACGACGUAAAAUGUGGCAAGUCUCCCCACUUGUUGUUCCUUGCAGCUAAGAAAAGAAAAAACAGAGCCCACCACCCAUUAAUAAUUUAGCAAUUCACCAAUCAUCACAAAAUUCCAUUAGAUAUUCGUCGAUCAAGUAGUUAAGUAUUUUUGCUAGAAUGAAUGCAACCAAGAUUCUAUGGGAUAUGUAUGAAGAUGAUGUAAUAAAGUGCUUUUGAUAUAUUCCCCUAGUCGGUUUACUUCACUAACCAUUAACGAGCAAAUCCUCCCAAUGACCCUCAAUACUCUUGUGCACAAUUAAAAUAAUUUCAAUUAUAUAUAUAUAUAAAUAAAAAAACUCUCAAAUAUAUUAUUUGAUAAUCACCAAAAAAAAAAAAAUUCACCCCAAUAAAUCACAUUACAGUCUAUGUUGCAAGUGUUUUUAGGACUAAUUCAAAGAGAAAAUGCGAAGGACAUGUAAUUGAAUUUGGGACACUGAAUAUAUUCCCAAUUACCCUUUAGUGUAAAUAGUUCCACUUCAGAUAUAUAUAAUGAUGAUGAAAUUUUGUUUUCUCAUAGCAAUCAUUCUAGUGUUUUACAAUGAGUAAUUGAUUCAAUAUUAACACAACACUAUUUUAACAUGUGACAUAUUCUAUCAUAGUGUGCUUCAACUCAGACUUCUAAGUUUCCAUUUUAGAACAAGUUAAAACAGUUCCAACUCAAAAUCAGUAGUGCGCAAUUGGGUUGUUAUAAAUAUUUCUAAAUUUUAGUCUAAUUUGAAUUAUUUAAUUGUGUUUGUACAAACUAGCUUUAUCACUUCUUUUAUAUUGAUACCCUUAAAUUUCAACCUUAUUUUAUGUUGAUGCACAAUCUAACUUAACAAAAAUAAUAUUCAAAUUGUCACAAUUUUUUUUUUUAAAAAAAAUAUACAAAGUUAAUUUUUCUUCUUCUUUACUCUAGGAUCCAGCUCCAUACCCCUCUUUUUUGUCGUUAUGCUACUCAGCCGUUAGAUUUUAAUUACGUUAAUCUAAUGGUUGGGAUUUGCAAAUGAAUAAUGAAGUGGUGUUCGGCUACUAUCCGAGGCCAUUGCAUCUAAUUGGUUUUGUGAUUUUUCACUUUCUUCCCUGUAACACUUGACUAGUUCUGGAAAUUGCUUUUUGGCAUGCUAAUUGUUGUGAAAAUUUUAAUAUACUCGCAAGCGCACGAAUCUAGAAAUAAAAUAGUGGUAACGAGGUCGAUCCCACAGGGAUUGGCACCCAUCACGCCUUUAGUUGUCGUGAAUAAAUCGAAAAUCAAAUUGAACUGGUUUUUACCGGGUAGCAACAAUCGUGACGUUUUGAGAUUAUAAUAUAUGACAACACUGAUUAGUGUUGUCUCCCAUGUGAAUUGAGACAAAAAUGAUUUUCCCAAUUGCGCUUUCAUUUGAACAAUUCCACUGUAGAUUUAUAAAAUAAUCACGAAAUUGUGUUUUAUAAUAAGUUACGAGUAAUUGGUUCAAUAUUAAUACAAAACUACUUUAAGUAACACGUGGCAUAUUCUAAUUCUAGCAAAGUUUCCAACUAAGAUUCCCAAAUCAAAAGAAUUUCAAUCUCCAGAACAUUCUACAAAAUGUUUCUUCUAGCCUCUACGUUGUGCUAGAAUUUUCUCUUGAGUUUUUUAGCAAAGACUUCUAAAGAACUAUCCAGAUAUCGAGCUAUAAUCCAGUCAAAGUGUAUAUAUUUCUCUAAUUCACCUCCCUCCAUUUCACCAGAAAACCAACAAACACUUAGCUUCAAACAAACACUUUCAAAUAGCUAGCUAGCUACCCAGAUGGCAAAAUCAAGAAUUCUUGCAAUGACAAUGUUGUUUCUUGUUGUGGCGGCAACAUUGAUGAACAUGGCAUCACAAGCAAAUGCUCUGAUGCCGUACACACGAUCACCUUUCUUUGACAUGAUGUUCCGAAUGACGAAAGAGCCUUUCAGGGUUCUUGAACAAACCCCUUUAACAAUCGCAAAAGGAGCUGAUCAUCAUCAAACUCUAGCCCUGGCGAGAGCAGACUAGAAGGAGAGUGGAUGGAGCCUUUACUUUCUAUUAUAUUUGUAAAGCGUGCCACAACACACGUGAUCACACUCGACAUUCUCGGAAUUAAGAAAGAUGAUGUGAAGAUUGAAGUUGAAUAGAACAGGGUAUUGAGAGUAAGUGGGCAGAGGAAGGCUGAUGAUUAUUAUAAGGAGAGGGUUGAAGGAGAGAAAUGGCACAGAGCUAAGAGAGCAUUUGGCAAGUUUUGGAGGCAGUUUAGGAUGCCAAUGAGUGCUUGACUUGGAUCAUAUUAAGGCUCACUGAGUGCCAAAGCUUGCUGAGGAGAUGAAGAGGCAGCCGAAGGCUAUUAACAUUGAUGAAGAGUCUGGUAAUUCUUCCAAUGAAGAUAUUAAGGCUACCAAGGCUCAAAUGUAAUUGAUUAAAGAAAGAAGUGAUUGCUUUGCUUGAUGUGCUAUUUGUUUAUGAUCUUUUUUUGGUUUUGUUGUGAGAUGUUUCUCUAUGGACGCUUUGUUUAAUGUAUUUUGAUGGGUUUUUUAGGAUGGCUUGUAUGUAUUGACAACAAUAAAGUGCUUUUUAUAAAUCCUAGUCCUACAACACUAAAAGAAAUUAAUACUCUUGGUUUAUAAUUAAUAAAAAUAUAUAUUUUUUUUAAAAGUCUUUUUCUUUGGCAUAUAGUAUGCGUUUUGAGGGGAAAAAAAUUUAUCCCACUCCUAAUUCGUCCUCUUCUGUGAUAUUAAUGUGUUAACACGAAGAUUCAUUGUAAUUGCAACAAUUUUGACGAAUCCAAACGUUCAAUAACUGUUAAAUUGUAUUUAUAAAUACUAAUAGCGAAGGUACAGAAACGAUUAAUUCAAGAAGUUGCUUAAAGUGCAUUAAAUUAGGGAGUAUAAAUAAUUGUGUGAUACAGUCCAGCCUUCAUCUGCUUAUAAUUAGCAACCAAAAACCACUUUGCAACACCAUUAAAAAAACAUUUUAACAUUAUUGCUGAGGGAAGAGGCAACUUAGGCUUAUUAACUCGUAUUAUUAAUGCUGAUGACGCAGCUGGUAAUCCUUUUGGUGAAUAUAUUAAGGCAGCUGAAGCUUAAAAUUAAUUAAGCCCACUAAAGCUUAAAACUAAUUCUUCUAGUGACGAUGCUUUGCUUAGUUCGCUUUUUGUUUUUAAUUUUUUUGGGGCUAACGUUUUGCUUAUUUUGCUUUUAAAAUUCUAUUGGCGUUGCUGUGGAAUAUUGUUUCUCCUUCGAUUUUCUGUUUUUGUUGUUAUCGGAUUUGAUGAUGGUUUAUAUGUACGAAGAUUAUGUAAUAAAGUGCUUUUGUAACAAUAUAUAUAUAUAUAUAUAUAUAGAUGUUUCAACAGCUAAGAAAGAGAUAGCCAUUAUACAUUACACAUUUGUACUCAAUAAGAAAUCAAUUCAUUAAUAUAGCCAUUAAUACGCCUGGUUUAUUGUUAAUGAAAAUUAAAAAAGAAAAAAAAAUCUUUUUCUUUGGCCUUUAGUAUGCAUUUUAAGAGGAAAAAAAAUUUAUCCCACUUCAAUUCAUGAAGAUAUUUUCAUUUCUGUCAUAUUGAUGUGUUAAUAUGAAGAUCCAUUGCAGUUGGUGAAUUCAAAUAUUCAGUAACUGAUGAAAUUAUAUUUAUAAAUUCAUACUAAUAACGAUUGAAGAUUAUAAUUAAUUUUUUAAUAUGGUCCAGCCCUCGUGUGUUUAAUUAGCUCUCAAAAACCACUAAGGUAAAGGCAAAAUCAUGAUAAAUUGUGGUCGGUUUAAUUUACUUGAUCAAUUGAUAUUGGGUAGCAUUGUUCUUAUACAAACACAAUAAAAGAAGAACACUAACGUACUAAUUAAUUACAAAUAAGAACAUUAACAAUUUUGCCGAAGUCUGAUGAAGAGAAAUAUUACACAUAUGUAACCGUACAACUAAAUAAAAGAAACUGAAGUUUAUUUCAACAGCUAAGAAUGAGAUACGCAUAAGAAAUUAAUCUAUUAAUUAAUUAAUUAAUUCAUACAAUUUUCAACUGAGAUUUGAAUUUUAAAAUUACAUACACAAACACACCUGAUUUAAAAGAAAAAAAUUUUAAUAAUAAAAUAUUUUACGUAUGUAACCAUACCGCGGAAAGAACAAAUGUAAGAAACUGAAGUUUCAACAGUUGAGAAUGAGAUAGGCAUAAGAAAUUAAUUAAUUAAUUAAUAGAGUCCUCCUCCUUUGCUAAAUAAUGCGAGCCCAUUGUUCCUUUUAUUUCGAAAACCCAUUAAUCAUCAACACAUACACGCCCAAUUUUAAAAAAAAAAAAUAAUAAUAAUAAAAUAUUUAAGUCGUCCUCUGUUCAAUAAUCAAAAACCCAUUUAAAAUCUAUUUUAACUUUAGGUAUAUGGGUUAACAAGUCCCAAUAUUGUCCUCCAUCUUUUCUGCACUUCUCUGCUAUCAACGGACAUCCCCCGAUGUAUAAUUGCAAAAGUGAGGAAGGCAGGCCCUUCUCCGGAAAGUAUUUGAGCUUGGGACAAUCCUCGAGUUCCAAGUGAGUGAGGUUUUGAAGAUCAACAAUUGAAGAAGAUAGGCGUUCCAGAUUUGGAAAAUUACCAAUCAUCAGGGAUGCUAGACAGGCAGGAAGAGGAAGCGUGGUCCUCAAUCUUAUGUCCUCCGGUGGGAAUGACACCAUGUCGUCAUCGCAUCCGCUGAUUGUAAGUUGUCGCAGAGAGGAGAAUCUGUGGAAUCCCCGACCCCACUCAAUCGUUGACUUCCAAAUCUUCUUAUUAUCAAUAAUCUCCAGCCUAUGAAGGUUGGUGGGAAGGCCAUCAUCUUCUUCAAGGCUUGGAAGCUCACCUCCUUCUCCUAUUGUUAAUUGUUGAAGAGAGGUCAGAUUGUGCAAUCCCUUGGGUAAGACCUGUAGUCUCUUACAAUAAGAUAUCUCUAGCCUCGUGAGUUUCGCACAAGGCAAUCCCCCUUGGGGAAAGGACACCAGAUUUUCACAUUCCCAUAUCCCUAUCUCUUGAAGCUGGCGGAGAUUAUGUAAACCACUCGGUAAAAUUUUCAGAUUUUCACACUCAGAAAUACUGAUUGUUUCAAGAGAUGUGUUGUUGUCCAACCUUUCUGCUAUUGACUCCAGCUCUGAACAACUCCAAACAUCAAGGGACUUAAGAGACGGAGGUAGAUUGCCAACUUCAAGGGACUCAAGCGUGGCAGGUAACUCGUUUUUUGAAAAUAUACACGUCAGUGACGGACACCUGCUAAUAUGCAAGCCCUCGAGAAGAGAUGAGGUGUACCUUCUGCUGCUGCUGCUGCUCUGGAUGCCCUCUUCCACCGUCAAAGUCCUUAUAUUAUCGCAAUGGCGGAUCUCCAACCACUUAAGGCUCGGUGGUAGUUGGACUCCAGCAAUAUAUGUCAACGAAUUGCAAAUCCAAAUCUCCAAGAUCUCGAGAGAUGAAUUGGUGUCGCACAUCCAUGCCUCUGGUAACGAUUUCAGUGCAUCACAUUCUCUAAUCUCAAUUUUCUUCAACUUGGAAGGCAGAGCAACCUCAGGAAAGGAAACAAGGGAACUGCAGCCGUAGAUUUCUAUCUCUCUCAAGGAGCUGAGGCUGAGAGGUGAUUGUGGCAGCUUCACAAGGUCUUGGCAAUCUCUCAAAUCUAUAUAUUCGAGUAUGCACGACAACUGGCAGAGCUGCUGUUGUUGGUCUUUCUCUUCCUCCGCCACCAAGGAUUGAAGUUUGGGACAACUUGUAAUCGUCAGUCUUUUGAGAGAGCAAAUGUCUUGCAGCAAUUCGUUAUGACUCUUCCAUAUAUAUGUCUGCUCUUUCAUAUCAUUUAUCUCCAAUUCUUCCAAUUUUGGUAUUCGCGGCUUCAAUGGCCCUGCGAGAAACACUUGAUUUGAUGUAUCUCUACAAACUACUGAAUUCUGCGAUCCGAGAUGACCAGUUGCACUUUCCCACACAAUCUUUUUGCAUCCACCAAUUAUGAAUUUGCAAAGAGAUGGAAGACUCGAAACUGAAACUAACAAUUCUUCACAUCCUUCAAUAACAAGCAUCUCCAAUGCAGGAAGGUGCUCUGGAAAUGUUCCUUUCAGUUUAGAACAUCUUAAAAUGUGAAGCUCUCUCAAUUUAGGAAACCGUUCAACUCCCUGACUGAAUCCAUGAGGAAUCCAGUCUUCCCAUCCUUGCAUGUCUUCAAAAUGAAGCGUCUCCAAGCAUGGAAAAGGAAUUGGAGUAUCAUUCCCAUAGAACUCUGAACCCAACCUCUUUACACUAGUCAUUCCACAUACUGCAAGAUGCUUUAGAGAGGGUAGUUGGCCGACUGACGGCAGGGUAGGACACAUGCCACAAUAUUCAAAUUUUAAGGUCACCAACUUUAAGAAUGAGGAAUCUCCGAACCAAGUUGGAAAUUUUGCGCCUCCAUAGCCGCUGAUACAAAAUUGUUCCAGAUUUUUAUGGGGUUCUAGCAUGUCAAGCACGUCCUUUUCAGUUUCCGCCUCCCUUGAAGACGAGCCAUCGGUACUGUUUGUCCACCGAAGCAUUAACACUUUAAGGUUCUUCUUUCCAUCCAAUUGAGCCUCCUUUGCAUCACCAACGUCUUUUACGUUCUCCAAUUUUGAAAUGCAAAGUGUCCCACGAAGGUGCGUCAACAACUUUAGCUCUCGUAACCCGGAACCACUGUCUUUUCCUACAACAAAAUUACACAACGUCUGAAGACAAGUCAACUUGCCAAUUCCUAGUGGCAUUUCCUCCAACGACUUCGUAUUUGAAUUCUUAAGAUGAUGCAAUUUGGCGAGGUUUCCCAUGUCUGCACACAACUUCUUCAGCCGAUCACAAUCUUCCAACAAAAGACUAUGCAAAUUGUAAAGCUUGUUGACUGAUUCAGGCAGAGUUCUAAUCUCAGUUCCAGACAGGUUAAGGUACCUUAAAUACCUCAAAGCACCAAUUGAAUCCGGCAGCUCAGGGAUGCGGUAUCCACGCAAAGAGAAGACCCUCAAGCGUUGGAGUUUGAGCAACUUAGGAAGAAUGCUAGGAGCCAAGUAUCCAGACAGUGAGCUAUUUGACAGCAUUACGGGUAAAAAUGUUCGCAAAUGUUGGAUAUCGUACAAGUCCUCAAACCUUUUAACACCAUCGUAAUCUCCACGAAUAUACGACAGAUGACGAAGAUUUCUUGAAAAACUUUGUUGCUUGUCAACCUCUGAGAUAUACUCCAUUCUGAAGUACAUUUCCCCAGCAGCCCAUUGAGCAAGGUCAUUGACGAGGUCGUGCAUCACAAAUCGUGAUAUACUGUUGCUUGAUUGCUGGAAAAAAGAUCUUGCACGUAGUUCUCGAAAGAACUUUCGACCUAGAUCUUCACUAGGAUUCCCGCUCUCUCCGUGAUCCAAGAGACCCACAGCACACCAUAAUAAAAUUAUCUCCUCCUCUUCAAAUUCAUAAUCCUUUGGAAACAAUGAGCAGUAUGCAAAGCAUUGUUUCAAAGGUGCCGAAAGAUAAUAGUAGCUCACUCUAAGCGCAGGUAUAAUGUCACAUCUCUCUUCUGGUAAAUCCCAUAUCUUGCAACUGAGCACAUCUUCCCAAUCACUUCGGUCACGUUUACCACGUAAGAGUCCACCAAGAGUUUUCGCAGCUAAGGGCAAGCCGUUGCAUUUGAUCACUAUAUUCUUGCCAAUGUCCUCCAAUGACUUAUGUGAACUGAAAUCUGUUGUCCCCAAAGAGUGCUGAGCGAACACAGACAGACAGUCCUCAGUUGACAAGCUUUUGAGUUCAUAAGCUUGAUCCAGGCUCAUGAUUUUGGCAACCUCUUCAUUGCGAGUGGUGACAACAAUCUUACUUCCCUGUGCGCCAGCUUGAAAUGAAAGGCUGAGGUGAACCCAAUCAGUGUAAUUCUCAUUCCAAACGUCAUCUAAAACAAGCAAAAAUUUCUUUCCAAAUAGUUGUUUCUUUAGCUCCUCUUGAAGCUUAUUCAAGUCGUGAUUAUCCACAUUCUGGCCAGGAGCAAUGGAAAUUAGGAUUGAUUUUGUAAGCCUGCUAACAUCAAAAUCAUCGGAGACGCAAGUCCAUGCCUUGAGAUUAAAAUGAUCCUCCACCUGCUUAUCAUUGUAGACAAGCUGAGCAAGAGUGGUUUUACCCAGCCCGCCCAUACCUAUAAUAGGAAUAACAGAGAAUCCACCAUCCUUUCUUGAAUCAUCCUUCAACAACAAUUCAACAAUUUCCUUCUUUUCUGUUUCCCUGCCAUAUACUUUGGCUUCCUCCACCAAAGAGGUUGUCUCUUGCCUUUGCCUGGCUUUUUUGGAUCCCCCAGCUGAACUUUUUAUCAAAUUCAGCGAGCCUAUUCUUUCUUCAAUAUCUUGAAAUCUAUCGUUGAUUUCUUUGAUUUUGGACAUCAUGGCGUAAUCGAACUGAAUCGAUUGUGGAGUAAAAGUGGUGCAGCAAGUAGGAAUGAGCUUCCGAAACUUACUUUUCGUGCUUGUACGACUGCUGCUGGGUUGAUCAUGAGCAGCAGCUGGUUCUCCAUUUCCAAGCAGCAACUUCCUCCGGAAAGCCUCAGUUUGGAACUCAUCCAACAAGUCUUCAACGUCAUAAGCCAAGUUCUGAAGCUCGCCAAGCCACAACUUCACAGAAUCAUCAGUCGUCUUCUUCUGCUCAGCAUCAUCAAGCACCGCCUUGAUCGUCACCAACUUCUUCUUCCACUUCACUAGAUCGUCUUUGAUUCGACCUUGGCGUUCAAAUAAACGAAGCCCCUCCGAAGAUAACUUAUUGACCAGCAUCUCAACGGACGCCUUCAGGAUUGCCUCUCCGAUGAUCGACAUAUAUUUUUUUUUUUUUGGGACAAAGAAUGAAACCAGAUUAUGAGCUUGUGGAAAGCAGAAUGAGAAAAGUGAAUAAGCAGCGUGAGUUUGUGAUUGUGUCUAGCAAGCCUAGAAAUCAAGAAAAACCCACCGUAAAAGUGAAAAGUAAAACGGAGCCAACCACAAAUAUAAAAUCAGAGGAUCACAGAAAUUAAAAAAAAAAAUCAAACACGUAAUGAUUUGUAAAGUUAUUAGCGAUUUGUAAAAAUCAAACAUGCGUCUUCUUCCUCUGAGUGUUUUUUUUUUUUUUUAACUUUAUUAAUUAAUUAGUGAAGUAAAUUUGUAAAGAUCACGGGCAUCAAAUUAUUGGGAGGUAUUAAUUGCGCUUAGUAUUUACAAUUUUUUGUAAAACUUUUUAAUUUCGUUGAAAAUGUAUCGUUAUUAAGUUAUUAUUGAUUUCACUCUCUUUUACUUUUUGACGUUGCGAAAAAGACAGUAAAAAACUUGCUAAAUGUCAUCAAAUACUUGUAUCUCAUCUCACAAAUUAGCAAUAUUUGUUUGGUAUUUCAUCUCAACGGGACGAAGGAACGAUAGAAAACGCGUUCCCUCAUCAAAAUUUUCUUUCGUGAGACCGAUAAUAAAUAAUAAAAUAUUCUUUUAUGGGAUCGAUUAUAAAUAGUAAAUUAAAGAAGGGUCGACAGAAAACGCGUUCCCUCAUCUAAUUUUUCUUUUGUGGGACCGAUAACAAAUAAUACAAUAUUCUUUUGUGGGACCGACUACAAGUACUAACAUAAAGAAUAAAAAAAUGAAAAAAAGGAUAGUGAAAUAACUCAACGGAGAAGUCUAUAAAUGCUUUUGUUUGGUAGCUGGCUAAAGCAGAAUCUGUAAGUUGCAGAGUCAAGUUACACUUAGCCUGCUCCAUAACUCUAAUGUGAAACAAAAAAAGUCCUGCCACCAAUAAUUCAGCAAGCUUCACUUUAUUACACGAAGGUGAAAGCAAAAAGCCAAAAACAGCCCCCACCACCAUCAAUAAUUUAGCAAGCUUCACGCGCUUGUGCUUGUCUUGUCUGCUUGACGAACUGGACAUGGGUGGACCAAGCAUCCAUUGAAUAACUGGAAAAAGUAAAAAAUAAAAAACAGUGUCCCGCAAAAAGAAUCCAUCUUUAUGUGUUGAUAUGCACAUCUACCGAACAUCUACAAAAUGGAAGUAGAAAUUGAAACUUACGUUUUUUAGUUAUGGCUCAUAUAUAAUACAAGUAUCAAUAUUUAAGUAGAAUAGAGUUCACAUAUACACAUGCGUCUAGUUUUAAGUUUUAACCGAGAGAUAAAUUAAUCAUUAAUACUCAGGUGUUUCUAAAUAAUUGAAUAAUGAUAUUAUACGAACCUUCCCUUUACAAGUCUUCAAACUCAUAAACCAAGUUAAAAUAAAAUUAAAAAAAACGUUUCUCUCUCUCUCUCCUUUUGCUAUAUGAUUACUUUAUUUAUUGAAUUAAUUUCCAUGCUAUAUCAAAGACUUAAAAGUACACUAUAAUUUUUUAUAAUCAUAAUGGUAAUUUCUAUCAUCAUAUUAAAUUAUUGUCGUGUCAAAAUAAAUUAUAACAAAAUUUUAGCUGAACAUAAGUUCGACUCAUUUAUUAAAUAUAUAUACUUAAUAAAAUAAUAAGACGAUUAAUAUGUUAUCAGUGAUAUAGACCCAACUGAAAUAACUCUAAUGUGAAAACAAAAAAAAUCCCGCCACCGAUAAUUGAGCAAAUUAACUUCACUUUAUUACACGAAAGUGGAAGCAAAAGCCAGAGGCAGUCCCCACCACCAUCGAUAAUUGUGCUUGUCUUGUCUGCUUGACGAACUGGACAUGGGGGGGGGGGGGGGGGGGGGGGGACCAACCAUCCAUUGAAUAACUGGAAAAAGUAGAAAAUAAAAAAAUCAGUGUCCAGCAAAAAGAAUCUACCUUUAGGUGUUGCUUCCUAUUCAGUACAUGCAUAGAUAAUGUACAUCGACCUGGAAUUAAAAAAAUGGAAGUAGAAAUUAAAACUUACUUUUUUAGAUAUGGCUCAUAUAUAUUACAAGUAUCAAGAUUUGAUUAGAGUUCACAUAUUUACAAUGUGCCUAGUUUUAAUUGAGAGACAAACUAAUCAUUAAUAAUCAGGUUUUUCUAAAUGAUUAAAUAAUGAUAUUAAUUAUUGAUAUUUAAAAAAUUUGUAAGAAGUAUAACUAAUAUGUUGGGAUAUGUAUUUGUGUAGAAUGGCAAAUAUAAAGAAUAGCAAUAAAAAUAGUGGAACUUUAAUAUGAUGAAAAAAGGUAAACUGUAGAAAAUUAAUAUAUAAUUCAAGGUACGUUACAAAUAUCACUUUCCUUCAGACAUUAUUUACCCCACCAAUUGAGUGAAUGCACAUGAGUUAAGCAAAUAUGUCUCUAGGAUAUAAUGAAACGCUUCUUUGUUUGCUUGUAUUGUGCAUCGACAAAAGUAAAUCUGAAUAUUCCUUAAUGUUGCAAGCUUGCCACGAAUUAAUAUAUUGUUAUUGUAAAAAAAUAAAAAAAAUAAUGUAUUGGAUAUUUGAUGCAUAAAAGAAAUAGAUAUUAUUAGAUGAAAUUCAUUUUGAGAAAUAGGGCUACAAAAAGAGUGGUGUAAUGUCGUUUUAUUAAUGUCUAAAUGGCAUAAAUAUGACAUCUAUUUACAAAUAUAUUUAUGCUCUUUUAUUUAAGUUAUCGUCUUUAGUAAUGCCCUUGAUUCAUAUCCAUUAGAUCAAGCAACCUAAUCCCCACUAAAACUAACUUAUUGAACAGUAACUCAACGGAUGCUGUAAAGAUUGCUCUUGGAUGAUUGACAUUUUUUUUAAAAAAAAUUUGGGCAAAGAAAGAAACUGAAUUAUGAGUUUAUGGAAAUUAAAGCAAAUGAGAAAGUGAAUUAGCACAAUGAGUUUGUGAUUGCGAAGGAACCAGCAAAUCAAAAAACAAUUAAGCAAGAGAAAAGGACAAUGAACACUUUAAUAUUCUAGAAAAGGGAUAUGAAACCUCUAAACAUUUUAAAAAAGAUAUAUAAUCUCCUUUUUAUUAGUAAAAUCUGUUUAUUUCAGUAGUAACAUAAUCUUUAAUUUACAUUUACUAUCAUGUCCCUAUAAUAAAUAAAUUAAUAUAUUUAAUUUAAAAGAGUGAGCCCUCCAAUUUUACUUCCCAUUUGCUCAAUUGCCUUUCAUUCAUAUACAAGCAUGUUUAACAUCUCAUUUUGCCUAAUUUGCCUUGGAAGAAAAUAAAUUUGAUUUUAUUUUUAUCUAUUAUUCAUCAUUUUUUAUCAUCUUAACAUUGGGAAGGAUAUAUUCAUAAUUUAAAGUGAAUAAUUUGGAUAAAAGAUAAUUAUAUCUUAAUUUUAAGUUUUAAAUAAAAAGUUGUUGGUUUUAUUAUACAUGUCAUUGAUGACAUGUCUUAAAUUAAUAUAUUUAUUUAUUUAUUAUCGGGAUAUAAUAAUAAUUAUAAAUUAAAAAUAAAUUUAUUAUUAAAAUAAAUGGAAUUUAUUAACAAAAAUAGGAAUUAUAUAUCUUUUUUAAAAUAUUAAAACAUUAUUUUUUUUUAGGGUAUCACUAUCCAUUUCCCAUUAAGCAAAACAAAAGUGAAAAGAAAAAUCAGAGCCCACUAUAAAUAUAAAAUUAGUGGAGCUCAUGAUGAUGCAUUUGCUUUACAUACUAAAUUAAAUAAAAGCCGAACCAAGAAUCUUUGCCUUAGCUUAACAUGAUUAAUUAGGCACUACUUCAUAGAAAACGCGAAAGCAAUGAACCCUUUUUUUAAUCUUAAAUGUCAUGAAUAUAAUUCUUCUGCGUUAAUUAAUCAUUCUUCUCUGACCGUCUCUUCAGGUUCAUUUCAAAAGUUUGAAGAUAGUUUAUCAAUUCUUCUACUUAUAAAAGCAAGUUAAAUUAAAAGAUUUUAAUCUCUCUUCUUAUUACUAUAAGUGCACUGUGCACGACAUUUUUUUACAAUAAACAAUGCCAAUUUGUAAUGUAAUGUUAUAUUCAUAUUCCCAUCGCGUCGAACUCUUUUUUUCCCUCUUUUUUAAAAGGAGACGGUGCGGUUUGGUUGUUCGCAAAAUUAGUGGUGUGGGGCUCUAUUUGCUUUUGUUUUCACUUUAUUAAUUAACUAGCGAAGCAAACAUGUAAUCAUUUGUAAAGGAGUCACUAGCACCGGAUUAUGUAAGAUGAAUUCGUAAGACUUAUUAAUUUCAAUUGAAAAUGUAGCGUUAUUAGGUUAUUAAUUCACUAAGUUAACUUGAGGUUCUAAUAUUUACUAAUUGUGGUGAUUAAUUUAUUUAACUUGUCAUAAUUUUCAUUUGAGAAUGAAAUUCAAUCAAUGUAUGAAAAAAGAUAAUUUUUUAAAAUUUUUAAUUCCUAUGAUUUGAUUUCACUUUUUUCCGGAUAUUGACGCUGUAAAAGCUUGCCCAAUGUCAUCAAAUGCUUGUAUCCCAUCUCACAAAUUAGCAAAUAUCAUUUGGUUUCUUUAUACGUGGCCAUCACAAAUUAAAAGUAACAACAUCCACCAUAUAUCGAAAAUUAAUUUUGAGAAUACUUUUGACUUUUAAAAGAAAAAUGCGAGUACAAUUUAAUAAGAGAGAACAAGAAUUGAUCAUGUCCCAAGAGACUGAAAAUAAGAUUAUAUAAACUUGAAUGCAGGCAUAUCAUAUGUUAAUCUUAAUUUUUUUUUGUUGCUGAAAAUUAAUUAAUUUGUUCCACUAUUCCUUUUUUAAUUGUAUGGUGAGAAACACAUUGGCCACUUCUGAAUCAUGUUGCAUAUUUGUUAACUCAAAGAAACAGUACACUUUUGUAUCAAUCAAACUCACUUUGUUAAUAUUCUUCAUUAUUAUGGUUAAUGGCUUAGCAAAUGUAGAAGGAGGAGUCAACCAAAAUGUAGCACUUUCUCUUGUAUUAACCUUUUAUUAAUUGUUGAAGUUAAAAAAAAUGUUAAAACAAGUUAAAAUAGUUCCAUCUCAAAAUCAGUAGGGUGUAAGUAGGUUGUUAUAAAUAUUUUUAAAUUUUAGUCUAAUUUAAUUGUGUGAUGCACAAACUUUCUCACUUCUUUCAUAUAAAUAAAGGGGAGAACUAUUUGAACUCAUUAAAUCACUUUUUAAAUUCCUCUACUUAUUAAGGCCAUCAUAAAAAUUCAAAAAUCCUUUUUAUACUCACUACAUCUCUUAAAAAUAUCGCAAAUAUGACACAUUUGUCUUCACCUUCUAUUUAUCUUCAACAUUCACAAUUUUUAUUUGAAUCUGUAAUAUGUUUAACACUGUUCAUUCACUCAUUAGAGUUCCAAUAAUAGAAUAUAGAGAUUAAAAAUAUCAUUAGCAAAUUAUUUGUUUGUGUUCUAUAUGAUAUUCUUGGUUUGGAAAAAGCUUCAUCGGCAAUAUAUGUAAAUAAAAGACUAAGAACUUCCAAUAAUUCAGAUUUGAUCGAAACUUCACAAACUUAUUUUCACUUAAAAAAAUAAAAUAAAGUAAAAGAAAUUCUCGUGUUUUAAAAGAAAAACUGCCAGACAUGUUUCUAAAACAACUAGAAACCAAACUAGGCUUGAAGCAGUGAGUUUUGAAUUAUAAAAAAUACAUAAUUGUAAUUUCACCUAAAUCAAAUGAUGAAUUUCAUGACAACGGAUUUAGACUAUAGACCAAUACACAAAGAAUUGGAUGUUCAUCGCAUUUGUUCUUGAAAUUGUUUUGCGCAAAAAAGUUAACUAUUGUAUUAUGUUGUAUUGCAUUAUUUUAAUAUAAGUGUAUUAUAUUAUGCUGUAUUGCAUUAACACUGUAUUAUAUUAAUACUAUACAACGUUUGGUUCUACAUUGUACUAUAUUAAUUUUUAAUUAUACAUACACUAUAUUAUGCUAUACUAUAUUAUUUUUUUGGUGGUUAAUUUCAAUUAUAUGUUUGGAAAUAAUAUUUAUUAGUACUUAGCAAAAUAUAAAAUAUAGAACCUUAAAUUUUAGAAUAUUUACAUCAAUUUUUUUUAGUAUAAAUGUAAAUAAUUAUAAUAAUUCUUCAUUAAACUUAUGUAAAAAUAACAAAUUCUGAAUUUUUGCUAUCGUAACAUUUUUUUUUUAACGGCGUUUUUCAAAUGUAUACCUUAUUGAUGAUGCACCAUAAAAAUAAAUAUCAAAUUUUGCGAUCAUGAUCAAGUCGAGUUUUACAUUAUGAAAGCAUGACACAAAAAUUGAAAAAAAUAAUGGCCGGCAAAAAGUUAUACAAGCAACAACAAAAGUGCUAAUUACUCGGAAAAUAAACAAUCAAGAGCCGCUGAUAGAUAUGAGUCAUAUGACAAGGUAGAGGAAUACAGAUAUCUGCAUACAUUUUUAACAAAGAUCAUCUUUGUAACCAAUUGUUGGCUUUGGCAUUAAAAGAUCAUCUUUGUAACCAACUGGGUAGCUAUAAAAUGAAUACUAAGUCAAUCAAACGGGAAAGCUUGCUACAAGACUUUGAAGCAUUAUUCUGUUGCAUCACCUUCCUCCUCUGCCUCACUUCCUGCAUCCCAAAUUAAAGAACAACAAAUAUUAAAUAACAAAAACAAAAUCUUCAAUAGACUUUUCAUACUCCAUGGAGCAAAUCUAUGGGAAUCCACAAAAUAAUUGAAAUAUAUCAAUGCUGCAGGUCAUAGUAACAAAUUACAGAUACACAAUCAUGCAUAUGCAACUAAAAAAUGCUUAUUUAUUACAGCCGCUUUUUGGCAUGACUACUUCAUAAGUUAUAUAUGAUAGAUAACAUUAUUAUUCUAAUCACAUGGUUAUGAUUUUAGUUGGACAUACAAAAGCUACGUGCAUGAAUCUGUAUCAUGCCACCUUUCAUGAGUCAAAAAUUUAAAUCAAAUCAAUUUGGUUGAGCCUUCAAAUUCCUAUUCCAGUCAAAGGAGAUGAUUUUUCCAAAGGUAAAGAAUGAGUCCGGUUACUUAAGCAUGUCAACCUUUUUUCUAGGCUAAGGUUUAUCCCUUUCCAUUUCACUAACUCUCCUCUCACUACCUUGCGUCAACAUUUGCAUACUUGAUAUACUUUCACAACCUUAAUCUAAUACUUUCAUUUAUGCUGAUAUAAAGAAGAAGUUUGAUUUAAAUCUGGACAGGUAACAAGAUUAAAAAACUGCCUUGUAGUAGAGCCAAUUCUUCCAACAAACAUUUCUUGAACCAAUAUCUAAGAUUAAGCUGGAUCACGUAAGACAAAUAUGCCAAGAAGAUUUUUAACUCACCUGACACUAUGGAUCUCCAAAUGUACUCAAUUAGCUUAGGUAAGCCAUACUUCUUCUCAAUUAUGAGCCCAGUAAAUAGGACCCGAAAAACUUGCAUUCCUCUGCUGACAUUCAUUUCAGUGUUGCAAGAAUUACAGAUUCCAUGACCAUGGACUGAAGUUCUUUUGUUAAGACAGGCGCAAGAGAGUACGCCCCUAUCCCACUAGUAUUUGGCCCGGUGUCACCAUCACCAACUUGUUUAUGGUCCUGACAAGACAUUAGAGGUAUGGGCGUAUGGCAUUCUCCCCAUCCACGAAGUCCUUUAGAACCAAAAGCAUUGUUUACAAGCAUCGAAUCAACAACUUCUAUGAAUCAUCCAAUGUCAUAGUUAGAGCUGGUAAAAUUUGACACGAUCCAAUUAUUCGACACGAACACGACACUAAUAAAUGGGUAUGGGUCGUCAAAUUUAACACGAUUAUUAAAUCGGUCGGGUCCGGGUCAACACGAUUUUUUUCCGUGUCGGGUUAGGGUUAAAAUUCUUGACCCAUUUACCCGAUCAAUGACUCGAUUAUAUUUUUUAUUUUAAAAUAAUUUAUAGAUUCUUGUCAUCAAAACUUAAAUAUUAGAGAAUUUUUUUUUAUUCUUUAAAAAGAUGAAUAUAGACACAAUAUUUUAUUUAUAAAAUUUUAAAUAUAUUUAGAGCUUUAAUAAUGUAAAUGUAUAAAAUAUUGGUAGAUACGUAUAUUUUAUAAUAUUGAUAUAUAAUAUUAUUUACAUAUAUAUAAUUAAAACCUCAAUAAUGUGUGUAAUAUUUUAGUAGAUAUGAAAAUUUUAUAAUACUGAUAAAUUAUGUAUGUAUGGAUGGAUGUUGAGACAAGCUAGAGAAGCCAUGAAUGAGAUUUUUCCUUUGACUCCUGCUAUGUGGCAAGAAUUUGCGAGAGAUGAAGCCUCUAUUUCAACCGGGUAUCUGUCAUUUCCUUUUUACAGUGGUUUUUGAUUUUGUGAACAAAUACUUUUUUUUUCGCUUAGAGAUAUAGAUGUUUAUGUUAGUUAUUUGCUAAUGUAAAAAGGAACAAAAACUGCUUAAAAGGUAUUAAAGAAAGAAAAAAGGAACCAAUUUGAAGAAGGGGAUACUCAUAGCGGGAGUUCUGCUUUGGGGUUUAAUUGAUGGGAAGAAGAAAUAGUUUAUAUGUUUACAGAAUUAAACAAUUGAUCACUGAGUUAGUUGAGGAAGAUAAUUAAUCACAAUGUCUGAAGCUGUUGCUGUUGGCGUCACCUAUUGUUAAGAUUUCAUCCUUUUUUAUGGUUUUACAUAGCUGUGACCUAAAGCUUAAUGUAUACGUUGAUAAUUACAUAAUUGGUUUCUUGCUGAUACUUGGCUUUAAUUUGUAAGCCUGAGGCUCUUUCGGGAAUUGAGAAGAUUUACGGAAGAGGAGUUUCUGAUUAUCUGGUUUGUUCUCUUUAUGCUUACAGAAUUUGAAUUAACGCUCUGCAUGAAUUUAUGAUUCAUUUUUUUUGGAGAAAUAUUUUAUGAAAUUGAAGCAUUGGAGUAAAGCGUACUAGUCGUAAGCUUGAUUCACUUUGUUUUGAUUUUAUUACCAAGAGGUGCUAACAGUUCAUGAUGCAUAAAAGAGGGGGAAAAAAACUCUUCUUGGUAGAUACAUAAAUUUUAGUUUCUGAAUCAUUUUCAACGAAAGAAAUAAUUUUACAGAGGCUGAAGAGCAGCAUUUUCAUUUAUAUGAAAGUUCAAUUGUUAUAUCAUCUGUUUCCAUAUCUUUUGUGGUAAAUAAAGUCCUUGAUGAUGGCAUAAGAGCACAGAAGAGUUGUUAGUUUCAUAUGUGGAGAUUUUCAUCAUAGUAGUUCAUUGAAAGUGAAGGCAGCUGAAUACCCUUUUUUCUGAUGCAGUCUGUCCCUCUUUGGUGUGAUUAUUUAAAAUUUGUGCAAGAAUAUGAUCCAUCUAUACGCGAAUGUUUACCCAAUGGCACUUCAAAGGCAAGGAAUCUAUUUGAGCGGCUAUUACUGCUGCUGGUCUGCAUGUUUUAGAAGGCAGUGAAAUAUGGGAAUUGUACAGAGAAUUUGAGCUAGCUAUAUUUAGUAGGAUUGAUAAGAUUAACUUGAAUGUGAAAUAUUUUAAUUUAUUUUACUUUUUUUUGGGCUUAAAUAACGAGUUUAUUCCCAUCUAUAGAAAGAAAAAGGGAAGGUUUUUUUUUUUUUUGCUGGGGGGGGUGUUUCCAACCCUAGCACAUGACAAGCAUUCCAAGACCCUUGCUGCUUGUUUUGCAGGAAAAGGAAAAACAGGUUCUGCGGAUUCGAAGUAUAUUUCAUCGCCAGUUGUCUGUUCCCCUUGCUAACUCAAGUGCAACUCUUCUUGCCUACAAAUCUUGGGAGCUCAAACAGGGGGCUGUUCUUGAUGUUGAAUCUAGUAAUGUAGAUGGGAUUUCUUCUAAUGUUGCCGCAGCAUACCAAAAGGCAUUGGAGAUGUGUAAUGCACGAGCUCAUGUUGAAGAGCAGAUUUCUAGGCAGGAUUUAUCUGACUCAGAGAAAUUUCAACAAUACAUGGCAGAUGACUUUACUAUCGUCAUUUGAUAGCUUUUUAUAGUAAGUGAAAUCCAGCCCUAAAAAUUUUAUUAAUAUGAAUAUUUUUUUGGGGGGAUUUCUUCUUAUGGCAUUAUUAUUUUGCUUUUGUGUAGCUAACAAUUAAUAUGUGCACUUUAAAUAUUAUCUAUUGUUUCUUAGCAAAUAAUAGUAAUAAUAAUAAGUAAUAAAUAAUUAAUAUCUGCAUUGUCAAAUAAUAAUAAUAAUAAUGUCUGCUCUUUUUACUCUUGGGGGGGGGGGCAUGCAGUGUCAUUAUCUUCCUUCUUCUCCUUUUUCUAUUUUGUGCUUUCAAGUUUAAUAUUAUUAUAUUAAUCUGUUAUUGUUGUAGAUAUACUUGAAGUAUGAGCAAUCUUCUGGAGAUCCUGGUAGAGUUCAACUUCUUUAUGAACGGGCUAUUACCGACUUUCCUGUAUCAAGUGAUCUCUGGCUUGAUUAUACUCGUUAUCUUGACAAAACAUUAAAGGUUUAUCCUUCUAUUUUCUAUUUUACUUCUUCUGUUGCAGCUAUUUGUAUACUAAUCGACUCUCCUCUUCAGGUUGGUAAUGUUGUGAGAGAUGUUUAUUCCAGGGCUACAAAAAAUUGUCCCUGGGUAGGAAAACUUUGGGUACGAUCUUUGCUUUCUCUGGAACAUGGCCGUGUUUCUGAGGAGGAGAUAUCCACUGUAGGUUUAAUUGUUACCCUUCAUUCUGAGCUUAAUCAAUUUUCCUGAAUGUAUUCAUUCUGAGCUUAAUCAAGUUUCCUGAAUGUAAUUGAUUUUGAUUGUUUGAAGUUAAAGAAAUGAUCAGCUUCCUAGGCAAAUUUCUUGGCAAGCACUUGAUUGUGGGAGUAACUGAGGAGAAGCAUUCCCUAGUGUUUUUUUUUGUUUUUCUCCUCCCCUAAAAUUGCAAUAUACUUCCCUUGAAGAGUAUUUUUUGCUUUAGCAUUUACACAUCUGUACAGAAGCAAACAUGAAUCAGAGAGAUUUAGUGGGCAAAUUCACCUGUGCUGACAAAUUAAAGCAUAUUAAAUACCGCGGUGGUUGUUGGAAUGCUCCAAAAAGUGUUUUCUUGGUGCUCCUGCUCCUUUUGCACUUUCAUAGUGUUUUAAUAACUGGGUUGUUUAAAUGUCCUGUACUUAUUUUCUUUACAAAUGUCUUUGUAUUUUUUUAAAUUUAUAAAAGAUUGUUCUAAUUAUAUUAAUAGCAACAAAUUGCGCAAACUCAAAUCUUAAUUUCAUUCUGCCCCUAUUACAUAUAUACGGGAUUCUCCUAUUAUUUCAUCAAAUUUUCCAUUACUAAUUUCAGGUCUUUGAGAAGUCACUACUAUGUACUUUUUCAACCUUUGAGGAGGUAGAGAUAUAAUCUUAUGUCUUCUGUACAUACCUUGGUUUCUUGAGCUGUAUGAUUUGGUAUAUAUCUACUUCUGAUUCAUCAUGCAUUUUUUUGUUAACUGGUUCUUUUUUGUUUGAGUACCUAGAUCUAUUCCUUACUUGAAUAGAUGGUUUGAGGUGGAGAAUUUUAUUCUCCGGUGAAGUUGAGGGCGCCUUGGAUUAUUCAUUGAUAACGGAAACCCUUCAGGUUUGUAAACUUAUACUGUUGGCUAUUCAAUAUUAAAAUUGGUUAUACUCCUUAAUAUCAAGAAAUUGAAGCUUCCCAAAUCAUACCCAAGAAAUGCUCUAUUGUGGAUUACUGGAUGGAGCUAGUUGCUAGAUGAUACCUUUAAGAUUCAAGACAUAUGUUGUUUUGUGUAUGGCUAUCAAGUACUUUGGCCUGCAAUUGUGGCAUAUUGGUCUUACGCCAGCAUCAGGUAUAACAUUGUGUCUGGCAUAUAUACCAUUGGAAUUCUGGGUUUCUGUUGAGUGGGCUCCAACAGCUAUAUUUGUGUCCAAUGUUGUGGGGUCCUCUUCUUUGGUGCUUUUAAGUGAAGUUUUAACUUUCCUUGUCAAAAUUUUGUUACAAAUCAAGUAGAAGGCACUGCACUGAAGCAUUGGUACUUCUAGAUUGCUUGUUUUGCAUGGUAGAUUUCAAUCCAUUGCUUUUAUUUCUUGGAUCAUGUUUAUCAUUGAGGACUUUCUUGGCCAGUCAUAGAGCUGACUAGUGCUACCAUCAUCAUUGGUAGGGCAAAAAAGUCAAUUCCUAUGGGAUGCUUUCUGACUUAGAGAAGAUGUCUUCAAGAAUUUGUGGAUUUAAGUCUUCACACGAUGUUCAACUCUUGAUAGUCUAACCUUGGUACAGGAUUUAUAGCUGUCUUCCAAGUUUGUGCUCAUAAAUGAGUAACCUGUCUGUCUUUAUGAUACCAGUUAAAUUUGUUAGCUUUCCGGGAUUUGGAGGUUGUAAAUGUCCAUAAACAACAAUGUCUUCUCUUCCUUACAGCGUGCAUCAGAUUACUUGUCAGAACAGAUGAAAAAUAACAAUGGUUUGCUGCGUUUGUAUGCUUAUUGGGCACGUCUUGAACAAACUAUGGGAAAAGAUACGGUUUCAGCUCGUAGUGUCUGGGAGAGGCUACUUAAGAUCAGGUUCACCAAUUUUAAUUUUUGCCAGUGCAUACAUAGCAAAAUUUCUUUAUAUCUAUAUAUUUUCGGAUAACUUGUGCUUCUCUUAAUGCAGUGGUACAAUGUUGGAAGCCUGGCAAAGUUAUAUAUCUGUGGAAAUUGAAUUGGGUCAUAUUAAUGAAGCUAGAUCCAUCGACAAGAGAUGCUACAGUAAAAGAUUUACAAGGACAGGUUCAGAGGUAAAUUUCUUUCAUCCUGCUUCUUUAAUGAAUAUUAACUGCUUAACAACGUACCUUGUUGUUUCCAUCUUGUUUGUUUAACUGGUCUUAUUUGUAAACACCUGAAAUCAUACAUCUUAAUUUCUGAUAAUUAGAUGUUAUUUUAGAUAUCUGUAUCUGUUAAUGUUCUUUCAAGUCUGAUUCCAAUGCAUAUUUAGUUAAACUGCUCUUUACUGCAUUUUGGAUUAGUUGAUAUCUUCCUUUCCUAAAAACAGAAUCAUUCAGGACAUAUGCCAUGCUUGGCUGCAAUUUGAAUGGGAAUUUUGUAUAAAAUUUUUAAUGAAUUUAUGGGUUUGAUGAGUAAAAUUAGGGGUUCAUAUAGACUCACCCAUAAAUUGAACCCUUAUUUUAUGUUGAUGCACAACUUAACUUAACAAAAAUAAUGUUCAAAUUGUCACAAAAUUUGAAAAAAAAAUCAUACAGUUAAUUUUUCUUCUACUUUACUCCAUUAUUCAAUGGGCAUAUAAUAAAUUAGGAGAGGGGAGAAAUAAAGGGGAAAAUUAGAGUAUUGUCGCAAUGAUACACUGAUACAAAUGCCCAUUGAGUGAUUGUCAAUGGGCAUAUAAUAAAUUAGGAGAGGGGAGAAAUAAAGGGGAAAAUUAGAGUGAUUGUCACAAUGAUACACUGAUACAAAUGCUUAUGUAUGUGUAGUGUGUGUGUGGGGCGUUCUUUAAUUUGACCAAAAAUAAAUGCAUUUAUUUGUAUUUUUAAUCAAAAUCGAGGGAUAUAAACAAAAAUUUUACCACUCCAGAGUCCAGACAUGUAUCAUUGCCUCGUUAAAAAAAAUUGCAUAAAAUUAAAAAACCAUUAGUGGCUGAAAGAGAGAAACAAAUUAAGAAAGGGUUCAAAAGAUGGAACCCGAAGAGAAAACCCUAGCAACAAUCCCAGAAGAAGAAGAAGAAGAUGGAGACACGGCCAUGCCCGACGUCAAGAACAACCCUAAACCAACAACAACAGCCAACUCUUCGGACUCGAGCGAUGCCUCUGACUCAGACUCGGACUCUGACUCAGAAGAUGAAGCAAAACAGAACAUGGAGCUUCAAACCCUAGAGUAUCAGCUAUCCAAUGAACCCUCCAAUUACGACACCUAUGUUCAAGUAACUUCAAUACACAUAUUUAUUGAGUGAUUUUGUGGAUAACCGUUUGCUUGUUCUUUCUUGGGUUGUGAUAAAAAUGGUUUUUAUCUUUUUUUUUUCAGUAAAUAAAGGUUUUGAGAAAAAUGGGUGAGAUAGAGAAAUUGAGACAAGCUAGGGAAGCCAUGAAUGAGAUUUUUCCAUUGACUCCUGCUAUGUGACAAGAAUGGGUGAGAGAUGAAGCCUCUAUUUCAACUGGGCAUCUGUCAUUUCCUAUUGCAAUGGUUUUUUAUUUUGUGAGCAAAUGUUUUUUUUGCUUAGAGAUAUAGAUGUUUAUGUUAGUUAUUUGCUAAUGUAAGAAGGAACAAAACCUGCUUAAAAGGUAUUAAAGAAAGAAAAAAGGAACCAAUUUAAAGAAGGGGAUACUUAUAGUGGGAGUUCUACUUUGGGGUUUAAUUGAUGGAAAGAAGAAAUAGCUUAUAUGUUUACAGAAUUAGACAUUUGAUCGCUGAGUUAGUUGAGGAAGAUGGUUAAUCACAAUGUCUGAUGUUGUUUCUGUUGGCCUGAACUAGUUGUUAAGAUUUCAUACUUUCAUUCAACAAUACAAUAGACUUUGAUUGGGUCCACCGUAGUUGGGUGUUCUGAGGAAUCAAUGAGUGUCUUGAGAAAACUUGGGUGGAGUGCUGGUCAUUUUCAGGAUUCAGUUUCCAAGAAAACAAAAAUGAAGUCGUAGUUGUAGUUUAAAUUAAUUUAUGUUUUUAUCUUUUUCUGUGAGCCCAGUGAGCUUUUAUUUUCACUUUGUUCGCUUUUGUUUCUUUCCCUUCUUUUCCUACAGUUUCUUGAUAAUCAAACAGAUCAGGAUUAAGUGUUUACUUUUGGUUAGGGGUGGGCGUUCGGUUCGGGUUAACCCGAACUAAACCGAACCUGAAAUUUAUUUCGGGUUCGGUUCGGUUUGGGUUAACUCGUGCAACCCGAACGGAUUCAAAGCUUCAAUCUGUUCGGGUUAAAUUUCGGUUCGGGUUCAACCCGAACCGAAUUUUCAACCCGUUCGGGUUGAAGCUUUUUUUUUUUUAAAGAUUUAGCUUUUAAAUUAAAAAUAUAUAUACAUUAAUUAAACCAAAAAAUCCCUAAAAAUGAAAAAUCCCUAAACAAAAAUCUCUCCCUCUCGGCCUCCCCCUCCUUGCUCCCUCUUCUCACUUCUCAGUUCUCACUUUCUGUGAACUGUGGUUGAUGACAUCAGCACUUCAGCAGCAGCCACAGCAGCCCCGUUCAGCUCCAACAGACACCAGCCGGCCUCAUCGUCUCACUCCCUCCCCCUCCUUGCUCCAUCGUUUCACUCCCUCCCACGACGACAACACUCACAGGCCACAACAGCAGCCAGCAGCCCCGUUCACAGCAGCCCACUCGCGUCAGCCAGCACGCCUCGCCCGCAACUGCGCUGUGCGUUCAGCUCGCGUCCCACUCAGCCCAGGAAGUCUCGAUCUGCCAACGCUGUAGCUGCUCUGACCUCCGAGAUUAAGGUUUGUCUUGCCUUGCCGACGGCGACGCUGUAACUUGCUGACUUGCACGCAACUGAUGGCAACAACCCGAAUUGAAUUUUAAGUUUUUAACAGCCUGUUGCUAUUAAUUAAAUUGUAAAUUUUUAAUUAAUUGAUUGACAAUUAUUCAAUUAUUUGAAGUGGGUUUGUUGUUGUUGAUUGAUAAUUGAACCCGAACUAAUCCAAACUAACCCGAAUUAACCCGAACCGAAAUUGUAACCCGAAUUAUCAACCCAAUCCGAUCCGAAUUGUCAAUCCAAACCGAACCGAACCGAAUUGGUUCGGGUUGGCGUUUUCAACCCGAUUGGGUUCAAUUCUCCAACCCGAACGGGUUGAAACCCAAACCGAAACCCGAACAACCCGAACCGAAACCCGAAACGCCCACCCCUACUUUUGGUGUAAUUAUUCACUCUAACUCGAAUAGUACUUAGGUUUAGUGCUAACAAAAUAGGAAGUGAAUUAAUAUCUGAAGUUGACCUAGGAGUGGAAUGAAUGUUACCAAAAAUAUACUAUAUGGUAGAUAGAAUUUGCCUUUUAGGUAAGACAAAAAUAAUUACAGCUGUUAAUUUAUUUCAAUAAGUUCGUACAUCAUUGAAUAAUAAGUCCAAGAUUUUAAUGGUUUUGUUUCCUGAAAAUUUGUCACGAGUGCAUGAACAAAGUUCUAUGGAUGAACUUCUCUUAGUUAAUUUGAGUUCAAUGUCGCAGUUCCUCAUAUUAACUAUAUAAAACACUAAUCUUGCUCUUUACUUUGGAGCAUUUUAAUAAUUGAUGCUAAUUCCUUAGCCAUUUUAUUCAUCUUGUGCAUAAAUUAUGCAAUCAAUAAGCCAACUCCACUUUCAUCUUUAUUUAGUGAAAAAUUUGCAAGGUCACUAGGAGGUUUUUGUAUGUCUCAUGCUAACAUGGACGCCAUGGUUUCACUAUGUAAAUUUUCCCCACUGAAAUUCAUGAUCCCUCAUAUACCACUCAUCACUCAUGAAGCUGUUUCUGGGGCUUUAAAAGCGCCAAAUUUUAGUUUUAUCCUUUCUAGCUUAUUAACCUGUCCGCAUCUGCAUUAUUAUCUUUCCUGUCAUACGAAAGUUUCAUUUAUCAUCUUCCCAACAUAAACAUCCGUAGGUCAUUGUUGACUUUUUUGCUUUGACACUUAUUGUUUCUAAGUAUAGGCUACCAAGGGAGAAAAAAAUUGACAUUGAUGGUCAUCCCCAGCAUUUUUAUCCCAGGAGACUGGUCAUUCACUUUCUAUGAAGGACUAUAUAGACAUCCAGACUCUAUUUUGAAGGACAAAGCUGUGGCUGAGCUUGGUUGUGGAAAUGGAUGGAUAACCAUUGCCAUAGCUGAGAAGUGGUUGCCUUUGAAGUUUUGUUGGUUUGUCGUCCUUAUGCCAUGUGAGAGCUUUUAUUUCCUUCCCUACCAGUGCCUUCAGGGGCUCCAUCAUGAUUUCUCUCAUCAUUUUCUAUCUCUGUGUUUUGCAAGGCCAUUUGAUAUUUAUAACAGCAUUGGCACCAGGUUAUGGUGAUUUAAUGCACUCCUAUUAGGAAAAAUUACAUAAUUAUCAACUCUGUCCUUGUCCAAAAGUCUUUGUUGGAGUAUGUUGAAAAUAUAACCUUGUAGGAGUUCUUUUAUGCUGUCUGAAUAUCCUAUUGCAGGUCUAUGGCCUUGAUAUUAAUCCCAGAGCAAUAAAGAUCUCUUGGAUAAAAUUGUACUUAAAUGCAUUAGAUGAAUCUUUUUCUAAGCUUUUCUGUCACUGUCACUGCAAAAGGUCUUUUGUAUUGAGGGUUAUCUGUGGGGCUAGGAAAGGUCAGCCCAUCUAUGAUGCGGUGAAGAAAACCUUACUGGAUAGGGUGGAGUUUGAUGAAUCUAAUCUCCUAGCAUAUUGUAGACAUCAUGACAUUCAACUUGAAUGAAUAGUGGGGUGCAGACCUCAGGUACUCUCACUUUCUGCAACUCAUGAUAUUUCUAGGGGAUUAAAUUUUAGUGAAGUUUGUUUACCCAACAUCAAGUUGGAAUUUUAGUGUGCCCACAUGGAUUACUUUUAACUCCUAGUUUAACUUAUUCUGUUGUCUCCAUGCAGGUUCUCAACCCCAAUUCCAAUGCAAUGUCGAAAAUAAUCACUGAAAAUGCAAGCGAGGAAUUUCUGUAUUCAUUGAGUAACUAUUGUGGAUUGCAGGUUGGAAGAUAUUCUAAAUAAUUUAAUUGUGAUGCGCAAUUGCAAUUGCCGGGAAGUUAGCAAUUAAGUUGAUAGGCUUCUUCUGGUUUCACAUAUUUCUAAGUAACAACUUUGGUUUGAAGCUUGCAUACCUUAGGUAAGGUUGAUGUCUUUAGUUGGUCAAUAUCAAUUGGGAAAUAUAGCUAACCAGUGAAGACAGUGGGAAAAGGAUGAUGUGAGUUUGACAAAUGCUGGGAGGAGAUAGGGAAACUUAAUCUGAAAGAUUUCUUUUUUUUUCUUGGUUUAUUUAUUUAUUUACUCGUGUGACCUCUUCACAAUGCCAUUGAUUCCCAUAGUUCAUGUUGCUAGGUGAACUUAACAACAACCAUCUAUUAUGCCUUGUGGAUAACUGAGAAAAUUUAUUGCUUUGGACAAGUUGCUUUUUGAAAUAGAGUGCAAGUAGAUUGACUAAUAAUGAACUUAUUGUAUCAAGUUGUUACAUUUGAAUAUAUUAAGGUCAUAUAAAGCUUACUUGUUAUACUUCUUUUUUUCUUUUUUCCCUCCCCAUUUCCCUGUAUGGAGGGUUUCUUGGACGAUCAGUUUGGCUUAGGUCUAAUUUUCUCGAGCAGUUAAGGAAUUACUGUUAUCAAAAUAAAGUUUCCUCUCACUCACUAGCCAAUUGAGCAGCUCGUCACCGGUCGGAUUCAUUGCCGAUUGCAGCCCACCUCCAUCAUGUCAGUUCAGUAGCUUGUCGCUGCAGUCAUGAUCGGCCUCUUUGUUGUCGUUGAAGAACCAAUCAAUAAUGAUGAUGAUUGAUGAUGAUGAUGAUUACCAUUGUUGAUGAUUAAUAUUAUUGAUGAUGAUGAUGUAGAUGAUGUAAUUGCGGUGAGAUGAUGAAGAUGAAACUGAAUUGUGAUGUUGAUAAUGAAAUUGACAGAAGGAAGAAGAAGAUUGUGAAAAAUCUGACUUCUUCACUCGUAUUACAUUAGAGAAGAAUACAUAUUUAUAUACAUUACACCCUAGGAAUAAAAUGGUAAAAAAAAAACAGCUAAGAUAUUGCAAAUCAGUAUCCCUGAAAAUUAGGGAUUAUAUAUCCUAAAAUCUAGUAUUUAAGUCAACACAUAGCUGUAAAAUACAGCUAACAUCUACAACAAUAGUCAACACACAGCUGUAAAAUACAACUGACAUCUGCAACACUCCCCCUCAAGCUGGAGCAUAGAUAUUCUUCAUGCCUAGCUUGCAUACAAACUCUUCAAACUUGUGUCCAUGCAUUCCUUUUGUCAACAUAUCUGCAGUUUGUUGUCCUGUUAGAAUAUACACCAAACAGAUAACUCCAGUUUCCAAUUUCUCUUUAAUAAAAUGUCGGUCUACCUCCACAUGUUUUGUCCUGUCAUGAUGGACAGGAUUAUGGGCAAUAUUAAUUGCUGCCUUAUUGUCACAGUAAAGUUGCAUAGAACUAUUUUUUAUUAACUGUAGUUCUUUGAGAACACGUUCUAUCCACAUAAGCUCACAUACCGCAUGUGCUAGUGCUCGAAAUUCUGCUUCUGCACUGCUUCGUGCCACUACAGUUUGCUUCUUGCUUCUCCAAGUUACAAGGUUUCCCCACACCUUAGUACAAUAACCCGUUGUAGACUUCCUAUCCAUGAUGUUUCCAGCCCAAUCCGCAUCAACAAAAGCUUCUACAUUCCUUUUUUCUCCCUUCUCAAAAUAAAGUCCCUUUCCCGGUGUUGACUUCAGGUAUUGAAGUAUUCGGUUUACUGCCACUAAGUGAGCUUCUUUUGGGGCGUGCAUAAACUGGCUCACUAAGCUAACCGCAAAAGCAAUAUCAAGUCUAGUAUGGGAAAGAUAAAUUAAUCUCCCUACUAGCCUUUGAUAUCUCCCCCUCUCCACGGGUGCACUAUUUUCUUCAAGACCCAACUUGCUAUUUGGUUCAAUUGGUGUGGCAGCAGGUUUACAGCCAAUCAUACCAGUAUCCUUUAGCAAAUCUAGGGUGCAUUUCCGUUGUGUAACUAGAAUACCUUUAGCUGUUCUAGCUACCUCCAUUCCCAAAAAAUAACGUAGUGGUCCAAGAUCCUUGAUUUCAAACUCACCAGCUAAUUUUUCUUUUAAUCCUUCCAGCUCUUCUUUGUCAUCUCCUGUUAGUAUAAUGUCAUUAACAUACACGAUCAAAAUAGCUAACUUCCCUUCUUUAGACCGUUUGUAGAACAUAGUAUGAUCGGCUUGCCCUUAAGAAUAACCAUAGUUCUUCAAGACUUUCCAAAUCGAUCGAACCAAGCCCUAGGGGACUGUUUAAGGCCAUAGAGAGACCUUUUUAACCGACAAACUCUUCCAGCAGGUCCUUUUUCUUCAAAACCAGGCGGCAUAUCCAUGUAAACUUCCUCUUCCAAUUCUCCAUUCAAGAAUGCAUUCUUGAUAUCAAGUUGGUUGAGAGGCCAAUCUAAAUUUGCAGCAAGAGAGAGAAGGAUCCUUACAGUAUUAAGCUUUGCCACUGGAGCAAAAGUUUCUAGAUAGUCCACCCCAUAGGUUUGUGUGAAACCUUUCGCCACGAGUCUUGCUUUAUACCUGUCCACACUUCCAUCAACCUUAAAUUUGACUGUAAAUACCCACUUGCACCCCACAGUCCUCUUGUCUUUAGGUCUUGGUACAAGCUUCCAUGUGUUAUUCUUUAUUAAGGCUGCCAUUUCUUCUUAAACAGUUUUCUUCCACUCAUUUGACUCUAGGGCUUCAUGGAUGUUUCUUGGAAUAGUGGUAUUAGAUAGACUGGCCACAAAAUUCCUAUACUCCUUAGAUAGAUUUGCAUAUGACAAGAACUUGUUGAUAGGAUGUUUAGUGCAAUUUCUUACCCCUUUCCUUAUCGCAAUAGGCAAAUCUGUGGACUUCUGAGCUUCGUUCUCAGCAUAUUCAGUAGGUGGGUUUUGAUCCUCCCUUAGUUCAGAUCUCGGUUCUGCUUGGUCUAUAAGUGGCUGUACCUCUUGAGUUUUAUUCUUCUUUCGUGAAUAGACAUGAAACUCGCCUAUAGGUUCCUCCAAAUGUGAAUUGGUUUUUAUUCCUUCAUUCCUUGGUGACACUAUUGGUUGAUUAAGUUCUAUGGUGUUAGGUAGGUUAGGAUGAAUGUCUGGACUGAGGAAGGAGGUAUUUGGUAGAUUGAGUUCUAGGCUGGAAUUACUGGACAUAUUAGGUUCUAGGCUGGAACAUCUGGACAUAUUGGGUUCUAGGCUGGAACUACUGGACAUAUUGGGUUCUAGGCUGAAAUUACUAGGCAUCUUAGGUUCUAAAAUGCCAAGAAGAUCCCAGGAAUUAUCUUCUCUCAAAUUCUGCCCCUGAAGAGAAUUACUCGUGUAAAAAGGCUGAUUUCAAAGAACUUGACAUCCAUUGUGACGAAUAAUUUUUUGGUAAGAGGAUUAUAACACUUGAACCCUUUCUUGGUAGGAGAAUAUCCUAGAAAUAGGCACUUGAUGGCUCUAGGAGACAACUUUGUUCUUUGAAGACUCGGAAGAUAUACAAAGGCUGUACAACCAAAAGUUUUGAGUGCAAAAUUAGAGGUAACAAGGUGAUUUUGUGGGUAGCUGUCAAGAAAAACAAAAAUAGGUGUCUUGAAUUUAAGAACUCGAGAGGGCAUACGAUUUAUGAGAUAAGAUGCUGUAAGAAUGGCCUCUCCCCAAUAUAUUUUUGGUACAUUAGUUGUGAACAUAAUGACCCUAGCAACCUCUAAAAGGUGUCUGUUUUACGUUCUGCAACCCCAUUUUGUUGUGGUGUUUCGGAACAAGAACUUUGGUGGACAAUUCCUUGUUGUGAUAGGUAAUUCCCUAAAAUAGAAUUGAAAUACUCAGUUCCAUUAUCUGUACGGAGUACACGAUUUUCAGUUUGAAACUGAGUUUUUACCAUGACAUGGAAUUGUUUAAAAGUUUGUCCAGCUUCAGAUUUUUCCUUCAAAAGGUACACCCAAGUGGUCCUAGAGUGGUCAUCUAUGAAUGUUAUGAACCAUUUUGCUUUUGACAGGUUGUUAACCCUUGAGGGGCCCCAAAUAUCACUAUGAAUCAAAGAGAAAGGCUGGGAUGGUUUAUAAGUACGGGUAGGAAAUGAAACACGUGUUUGUUUAGCCAUUUAACAAAAGUCACAAUAUAAUAAACUCAAAUUUUGAUUUUUAAAUAAGGAAGGAAACAAGGUUUUUAGAUAUGGAAAGCUAGGGUGGCCUAACCUAUAGUGCCACAACAUUAUUUCAGAAGAAACAAAUUCACAUUGAGAGACCUGAGCAUGUCCUUUCACGAGUCUUUUAUUCUCGAGAUAGUACAGUCCCUCAUAUUCCUUUGCAUUCCUAGUCAUCCUCCCCAAGAUUGGAUCCUGAAAUAGACAUUUAGAACCACAGAAUUUAGCUACACAGUUUGUGUCUUUAGUAAGUUUACUAACUGAAAGAAGAUUGCAUUUAAGAUUUGGGACAUGUAAAACUGAAAAAGAGUCAAACAAUUUGAUAGUUUUACUGUUCCUUUUCCAGCAACAGUGGAUAAUGAUCCAUCAGCAAUCCUCACUUUAUAAUUACCUGGACAUGGAGUGUAACUAGAGAAAAAUUGAGAAGACCCUGUCAUAUGGUCUGAGGUCCCUGAAUCAACAAUCCAAGAACCUUUUUCAAGGGAUUGGAUGCUAAGGGCUGAUGGGUUACCUGUAUGGACUGCAUUACAACUAGAGGAGGUCAAGUCAUUUUUAUUUGCUUGCUGAUUUUGUAUAAGGAGCUGUUGCAGCAUCUCAAAUUGAUCUUUUGCGAGGGCAAACUGAUUAGUUUUCUCUGUCACCAUUCCCUUUGCUUCUUGCUGCCGUUUUGGUUUCCAAUCUGCUGGCUUUCCAUGAAGCCUCCAGCAUGAGUCUCGAGUAUGCCCUUUCUUGUGACAAUAGUCGCAAUAGGGACGUUCUCCAUGUUUUUGUCCCUUUUGGUUAGCUGACUGAUCUGUCUUUUUGGUCACCAGCGCUGAUCUCUCCGCCUCAGGUUCCUUCACCAGUCCCAUCAUGACUCUCUUUCGACUUUCUUCACGCCCCACCUCAACAAAAGCUUCUCGGAUGGAGGGUAGAGGAUUCUUUCCUAAUAUUCUGCCACGAACUUCAUCAAGUUCUUUGUUGAGUCCAUAAAGGAAAUCAAAGAGACGUUCUUUAUCCAACAUCCUCUUAUUUUGAUGGCAUCCUCAGAGCAAUGCCAUUGCGAUUCAUAGUAAAGGUCAAGUUCAUGCCAUAUAUUGUUUAGAGAAUUGAAAUAUUGAGUCACUGAAAGACUCCCUUGCUUUUGGUCACGUAAUUGUGACUUGAUUUCAAAGAGCUGAGCUGCAUUCCCCAGGUCAGAGUAAGUUUCUGUCACGGCUUCCCAAAGCUCCUUCGCAGAUGGUAGGAAGAGAUAAGUCCUACCAAUAUCCACGUCCAUCGAGUUGAUCAACCAAGUUUGCACCAUUGAAUUUUCAGCAUCCCACUGUGGAUAACCUGGAUCCAAGACAUCAGGGGCUUUGGUUUCCCCUGUAAUAUACCCUAAUCGGCCUUUGCCACGAAGAAAUAGGGUGACAGAUUGAGACCAUUGCAAAAAGUUUCUGCCAUUUAACUUGUGCAAAGUUAUUUGCAAAGAGGGGUUUUCGGUACCUAAGGAGACCGAAGAGAUGUCCUGCCUUGUUACAGAACUGGAGGAAAUCUCAGAUUCUUGUGUAGGGUUUGUUGUCUUCUCCAUUGGAUGGGUUGAGAGUUUAGAAUGAGAAAAAAAUUCAGAGGCUUAGUUUAAAAGAGUUGCUCUGAUACCAUGUGAAAAAUCAGACUUCUUCACUUGUAUUACAUUAGAGAAGAAUACAUAUUUAUAUACAUUACACCCUAGGAAUAAAAUGGUAAAAGAAAAAAAAGCUAAGAUAUUGCAAAUCAAUAUCCCUGAAAAUUAGGGAUUAUAUAUCCUAAAAUCUAGUAUUUAAGUCAACACAUAGCUGUAAAAUACAGCUAACAUCUACAACAAUAGUCAACACACAGCUGUAAAAUACAGCUGACAUCUGCAACAAAGAUAAUUGUGGUGAUGAUGAUGAUGUUGAUGGAGAAGAUGAAAUUGACAUGAUUGAUGAUGAAGUAACGAAGAAUUUGUAAAACACACACACACACACACACAGAGAGAGAGAGAGAGAGAGAGAGAGAGAGAGAGAGAGAGAGAGAGAGAGAGAGGAGAAGAGGAUAAAAAAAAAGAUAGAGAAAAACAGGAGAGAAAAUAAUAACAAAAACAAAAGAGGAAAAUAAUUAUUAUUGUUAUUAUUAUUAUUAACAAUAACUUUCUUAAUAACCAUAAUCAUAUAAUAGAUAAUAAAAAUAGAAGGUAAUAAUAACUAAGGGUAUUUUAAUAAUUUAAAUAAUUUAUUGUAAUUUCAAGGUAAAGUAAAUAUAUUAAUGAUAAUACAGUUUAUUUUAAUUUUGAUUCUUAUAAUUGAAGUAAAUAAUUUAUUUUAAUUUUUAUUUCACAUUUUAAUUUUAUUCUAUUCUGAAUUAGUAAACGCAUCAUAAAAUCAUGUGAUUCUACUCUAUAUGUGAGAUUGAUUUUUUUCUUUAAGGCCUACGACAUCCCAAUACAAGUCUAUAUAGGACCAAGCUACUAAGUGGACGGUCAUAAAAACUUAAAAAGGCAUAAAAUUGGAUGGCCGUCUAAUUAAUUUCCCGUGACCUACAACAAAAAUUUAAGAAGGAACUCCGAUACCAUCAAUUCUGCAUUUUAAUUUGAAGUUGGAAAACAGUGAAAACAGAAGGAUCGGGUGAUUUAAUUUUAUACAUAUUUAAUCAAGUAAAAAUGGCACGUGCGUUGUAAUUUGCCCAGUUAUCUUACUUUGAAUAAUAACAAAGUUCAAAUUUUGUAUUCAGUGAAAAAUCAAUUCUAUAGUGAAAAACACUAGCUAGAAAAAAAUCUAUGUCCUGAUGUCUUAGUUUAUAAGCUCAAACAAUGAAUAGUAUACAUACAACGCAUGAUAGAACACAAACUCAUAUAGAUUUUUAGUUUUGAAAUUCAUUUCAGAAAAUCUGUUCUGUUCAACAGGUUAUAGAUUAUCAACUAAACUCUGCCCACAUUCUUAGCUCUGCCAUUGGAAGUACGCAACUCAGCUGCCCAUCGACCGCCAAGCCAUCAAGACAAUACCAAGAUACAACAUCAAUAAUAAUAACAUCAAGAAUUACAUAGAGGCCGUCGCACGUUACACCCACUCCAACAGGAAACUAAUUAAUACCCUCCAAGCUCCUCUGUUUCAAAUCCAAAUCCACUGCUCGACCAUUUACUAUGACGUAAGGUAUAUGGAUUAAUUAACAAGUGCCGAUAUUGUCCUCCAUCCUUUUGUGUACCUUUCUUCUGGCAAGGCCUUUUCUGGAAAGUAUUUGAGCUCCAGACAAUUGCAGAAUUUCAAUUUGCUGAGGUUUUGAUGAUCAGCAAUUGAAGAAGACAGGUGUUAAUAAUUAUGAAGAACUGGUGUAAUUUAUAUCAUGUAGGAAGCCCUUCAGUUACUUUUUUGACCGUGCUCAAGCUCUUUUAAGGGCUAAUAUUAAAAUUUCGUGAUAUUGUGCCAAAAGAGCUUCGUACGUCAUUGUAAACUGUUCAUCGUUAUGUGCUGCUUCCCCAUUUAAUUACAUUUAUUUAACAUUUUAAAGAUGGAAGUAGAAAUUAAAACUCAGUUUUUCAGAUAUGGCUCAUAUACAAUGCAAGUAUCAAGAUUUAAUUAGAGUUCAAUAUACAUGCGUCUAGUUUUUAUUGAGAGAAACAAAUCAUAAAUACUCAGGUGUUUCUAAAUGAUUGAAUAACGAUAUUAUUGUUAUUUAUAAAUUUAUAAGGAUAAAUAACUAAUAGUCCACCAUAAAUACCGAAAAGGGUCCCCAGCAUAACUUGAACAACUUUACUUGUGUUUGCUCAUUGAAUAAUGUUAUAAGAAAGAAAUACAUAUGUCAGAAGAUUCAUAGUAUAUUGGAGUGUUUUUUGUACUUGAAUGAGAAUGAAUGAAGGUAUGUUAAUUUACUUUAAAUAAUUGUCUAAAAGGAAUAGAAAUGCUCUAUAACAUACCAAAUACUACCUUAAUCAAAAUUUAUUUGACAAAAAUUUUUAAAAAAUGGAAUAAUUAACCCUAAUUAAAUAAUUGUCUUAUAUCACCAAACUCUUUUUUUUUUAAUUAAGCCAUCACCAAACUCUGUAAAGCAUAAAAUAUAAUAGGCAAAUUUGAGUUAAAAAAAAAUGAAGUUAGGAAAAUGACUUGCAUAUUGUCUUUGAUGAGCGCAUAAUUUUCUUUUAAAAAAAAUGUUGAAAUGAACUCAAACUCGUUAGUGCAACUUGUCGGUUUUAAGUUGUAGAUACGAGUGACAUGUCAUUUUAGCUGAACUAGAUUCCAGAGCUCACAUUUGGGCAGUGUCAUCCAAGAACAUUAAAACUCACGUGACUAUUGCACGCAUGGUUUAAGCUGAAAUGACGUUGCUAGCAGUCGUUUAAGGAAGGCCUUUAAGUGUCACAUGAGUUGCUCGUGAUAGGAGGUUAAAAGCUGUUGGUUUUGGAGGGAAACCCCUGAAGCUGUUACGCCUGCAUCUUCUGGUAUAUAAACGAGCUGGUUCUGGUGUCAUAGUCAGUAAUCAAGGAAAGAGAGAUAAAGCAUCUGUACUGAGAGAAAAUCUUGACAGGGUGGUCUCUGUAUUGUGUAUAAUUUCUCUAUAACCUUGGAAGCUUAAUAAAACUGCUCUCUGUGUUGGUUUUCUCCAGUGGAUGUAGGCACCCUUCAACAGGUGCUGAACCACUUAAGCUCGGUGUGUUCUUUGUCUUUGGGUUAUGAUCUUUGAUCUGUGCAUUGUUCUUUGUUAACGUAAGAUUAGUUCUUGAAUCUUUGAGUCAGAGUUGGGUCUUGGGGUAAGGUUAAUCUAGUAACUAAAGGUUAAUUUCACAACAAUUGGUAUCAGAGCUCUAAACUCUGAUUUCAAGGUUCAAGAAUGGGUUCAAAAGUGGAUCUUGAGAAGUUUACGGGGCAGAAUGAUUUCAAUAUGUGGAAGAUCAAGAUGGAGGCUUUGUUGAUUACUCAAGAGCUGGGAGAAGCCAUAGAUCCAGUCACUAAGAUUGAAGAAGGUGAGGCUUCAUCAUCUAAGAUCCCAGAACAGGUAGCAGAGAUAGACAAGAAAGCCAGGAGCACAAUCAUACUAAGUCUUGGUGACUCUGUAAUUCGAGAAGUGGCCAAGGAAAGGACUGUUGCUGGUUUAUGGGCUAAGUUGGAGAACUUGUAUAUGACAAAGUCUUUGGCAAAUAGACUUUACAUUAAGAAGAAGAUGUUCUCACUGAAGAUGAUUGAAGGGGCAUCAUUAACAGAACAUGUUGAUGAAUUCAAUAAGGUUUGUGAUGAACUGGAGACUAUAGAUGAAGGGCUGAGUGAUGAGAGCAAAGCCUUGCUACUAAUCAGCUCUUUACCAAAGUCUUACGAGCACUUUGUGGAUGCACUGCUGUAUGAGAGGCAAACACUCUCCCUAGAAGAGGUUAAAUCUGCUCUUGGCACAAAGAAGCUGAAAGAUAAGCAAGAUAAUCCAGAAAGUGAAUCAAGUGAGGGAUUGAUGGCAAGAGGCAGGUCUGAGAAAAGAGAUAACAAUGAAAAAAGCAAGGCAGAUCAAAGUCUAAACAAAAGAAUUUGAAGUGUUUUCAUUGCCAUAAAGAAGGGCAUUUCAAGAGAGAUUGCCCUGAAAGAAAGAACAAGAAUAAAGAAACCAAAGAAAGAACAGGUAAUGCAGCCAUAGCCACAGAAGAAGAAUGUAACUUUGAAACAGCCGGAGUACUCAUUGCCACAAGUCAGAAACCUCAAGGUCAGUGGGUCCUUAACUCAGGUUGUACCUUUCAUAUGUGUCCAAAUAGGAGUUAUUUUACAACAUAUCAGCCAUGUGAUGGGGGUAUGGUUCUAAUGGGUAAUAACUCAAUGUGUAAGGUAGCUGGUAUUGGGACUGUUAGCCUUAGGAUGUUUGAUGGGGUGAUAAGGGAAUUGACACAAGUGAGAUUUGUCCCUGAUCUAAAAAGGAACUUAAUCUCAAUUGGCAUGCUAGAUCAAACAGGUUGUGUAAUUAAGGCUGAGAAAUGUGUAUUGAGGGUAAUUAAAGGAUCAAUGGUGAUCAUGAAAGGCAUAAAACAAAAUGGUCUAUAUGUGAUGGAUGGACAUACUGUUGUUGGGGAGGCAAGUGUGACUGACAGUAAAUGGAACAGAUCAAUGAUGUGGCAUUUAAGGAUGGGGCAUAUGAGUGAAAGAGGUUUGAGAGAGUUACAAAAACAAGGAGUGUUUGGGGAUGAUCAAAUAGGAGCUUUGGGGUUCUGUGAGGAUUGUAUUCUAGGAAAAUCCUCCAGGUUAAGGUUUGAGAUUGCAGCUCAUACCACCAAAGAGAAGCUUGAAUACAUACACUCUGAUUUGUGGGGGCCUGUACAAGUAAACUCACUAGGUGGAUGUAGAUAUUUUCUGACUUUUAUAGAUGAUUUUUCAAGGAUGGUUUGGGUCUUUGCACUCAAAAGCAAAGAUGAGGUUCUGGAAAAAUUCAAAAACUGGAAAACUUUUGUUGAGAACCAGACUGGUCUGAAGGUGAAAACUCUGAGGACAGACAAUGGCUUGGAGUAUUGCAACAAGCUGUUUGAAGAAUUCUGUGAAAAGAAUGGUAUUCAGAGGCACAAAACUGUCACCUACACCCCUUAACAGAAUGGCCUUGCUGAGAGGAUGAAUAGGACUCUGGUGGAGAAGGUGAGAUGCAUGUUAAUCUAUUCUAAGCUCCCAAAAACCCUUUGGGCAGAAGCUUUAAACACAGCAUGCUAUCUAGUCAACAGGAGCCCAUCAACUGCUAUAGAUUGUAAAACACCAAUGGAGCUUUGGUCAGGAAGAAGGGCUGACUAUACAAAACUCUGAAUCUUUGGGUGCACAACAUAUGCUCAUGUGAAGUAGGGUAAGCUGGAACCAAGGGCAUUAAAAUGCAGAUUUCUGGGGUAUCCGGAUGGGGUCAAGGGCUAUAGAUUAUAGUGUGUUGACACAAAACCACCACAGUGCAUCAUAAGCAGGGAUGUAAAAUUCCAUGAAGAAGAGCUAUUGAAUAAACCAAAGAGCUCAGAUAACAAUAUGGAAUCAAGCACUGAGACUGAUAUAGUGAAGUUUCAGGUGGAGCCUCAAAACUUGAAAGAACUUGAGCCUGAAAUUGAAGGUACUGAAGCAGAACCUGAAGCUGGUGUUGAACAUGAAUCAGCUGAAAGUGAAGAGAACACCUAUCAGUUGGCUAGAGACAGAAAGAAAAGGACAAUAAAGCCACCUAAAAGAUAUGCAGUAGUUGACUUGAUUGCAUAUGCUUUGAAUGUUGCUCAAGAGCUGAAUGAUGAUGAACCUAGGACCUAUCAAGAAGCUAUCACAGGCAAAAACAAGCUGGAAUGGAAGAGGGCAAUGGAUGAAGAGAUGACAUCCCUGAUUAAAAACAAGACCUGGACAUUGAUUGAAAAACCAGACAAGAGGAAAACAGCAAGCUGCAAAUGGAUCUUCAAAAUUAAAAAUGGUGUACCUGGAGCUGAACCUAGAAGAUUUAAAGCUAGAUUGGUGGCAAGGGGUUUUACACAGAAGGAGGGAAUUGACUUCACUGAAGUAUUUUCUCCUGUGGUGAGACAUGCUUCCAUCAGAGUUAUUCUUGCACUUGUGGCUGUGCAAGAUAUGCAUCUUGAGCAGAUGGAUGUAAAAACAACAUUUCUGCAUGGUGAGUUACAAAAAGAAAUUGUAAUGCAGCAGCCUGAAGGAUAUGUAGCAUCUGGAAAAGAAGACUAUGUUUGCUUACUUAAGAAGUCUCUGUAUGGGUUGAAGCAGUCACAUAGGCAAUGGUAUCUGAGUUUCAGAUAUUUUUGACAUGUCGGUUUAUAACCUUGAUUGUGCAUGCCCUGUCGGUUGCGUGAUGAAACAGGAGAAUAUUGACAUCUGUGUAUUAUCGUUUACUUCCUGCAAUUAAAUCACAUGUUGUUCAUUCCAUUUACACUAUACGGCACAUUUGGCAGUUGUUUUGGUCACUUAUUGAAGCACGGGUUAAGUACUUGAUUCAAGGUUGUUAACUGACCUUUACAAGGCGGGAAAAUUCUGGGUUUGUUAUAACAAACCCCGGAAUGCAGCUAGUGAGUGGGGACUUUUCUAGACUCUUCAUGAUAUGUAUAUAUAGUCUUAGAGGCUAUAGUUGAGACAUAUGAAAAGCUUCUUAAUGUUUGUAGUUUGAUCUCGGUGAUGGAGAUAAGAUUGCUGCCCUGUUCUUCAGUGGAUAUAGGCUAUCUCCAAGCCGAACCACUUAAAUUGUGCCUCUGUUUUGCUUGAUGACUACCAGUGGUGAGAAAACACCUACAGAACAAAUCAAGCUUGAUGACUCAAAUAUUAGGGAAGCCAUAGUCAAGGUAUCUGGUUUAUGCAUCAACAGUGGUUCGUGGACUAGAAUUCCUAUCUAUUGUCGCUUCACAAUUGCACUGGAAGAAAGCGAAUUUGAUCGAGCUUUGGAUCGCAUAGCUAAAUUCAAAAGCAUCGUACAAAUAGUUAACUAAAAGACGGUAUUGUCAUUUGUCAUGAUUUAUUUCUAUUGCCUGAUGAUGAUACCCAUCACGCCUUAGUUGUCGUGAAUAAAUCUAAAAUCAAAUUGAACUGGUUUUUACUGGUUAGCAACAAUUGUGACGUUUUGAGAUUAUAAUAUAUGACAACACUGAUUAGUGUUGUCUCCCAUGUGAAUUGAGACAAAAAUUAUUUUCCCAAUUGCGCUUUCAUUUGAACAAUUCCACUGUAGAUUUAUAAAAUAAUGAUCAAAUUGUGUUUUAUAUUAAGUUACGAGUAAUUGGUUAAACAUUAAUACAAAACUAUUUUAAGUAACAUGUGGCAUAUUCUAAUUCUAGCCAAGCUUCCAACUAAGAUUCCCAAAUCAAAAGAAUUUCAAUCUUCAGAACAUUCUGCAAAACGUUUAGUCUCUACGCAGUGCUAGAAUUUUCCCUAAGUUUCUAUUGCAAAGACUUCUAAAGAACUAUUCAGAUAUCGAGCUAUAAUCCAGUCUAAAGUGCAUAUAUCUCUCUAAUUCACCUCCCUCCAUUUCACCAGAAAAUCAAUAAACACUUAGCUUCAAACAAACACUCUCAAAAAGCUAGCUAGCUAUCCAGAUGGAAAAACCAAGAAUUCUUGCAAUGACAAUGUUGUUUCUUGUUAUGGCAGCAACAUUGAUAAACAUGGCAUCACAAGCAAUAGCUCUGAUGCCGUACACACAAUCACCUUUCUUUGACAUGAUGUUCCCAAUGACGGAAGAGCCUUUCAGGGUUCUUGAACAAACCCCUUUAACAAUCGCAAAAGGAGCUGAUCAUCAUCAAACUCUAGCCCUGGCGAGAGCAGACUGGAUGGAGACACCAACAGCCCACGUGAUCACGCUCGACAUUCCAGGGAUGAAGAAAGAUAAUAUGAAGAUUGAAGUUGAAGAGAACAGAGUACUGAGAGUGAGUGGGGAGAGGAAGAGUAAUGAUUAUUAUAAGGAGGGAGUUGAAGGAGAGAAAUGGCACAAAGCUGAGAGGACAUUUGGCAAGUUUUGGAGGCAGUUUAGGAUGCCAAUGAGUGUUGACUUGGAACAUGUUAAGGCUCACAUGAAAAAUGGGAUUCUGAGGGUCACAGUGCCAAAGCUUGCUGAGGAGAAGAAGAGGCAGCCUAAGGUUAUUAACAUUGAUGAAGAGUCUGGUAAUUCUUCCAAUGAAGAUAUUAAGGCUACCAAGGCUCAAAUGUAAUUAAUUAAAGAAAGAAGUGAUUGCUUUGCUUGAUGUGCUAUUUGUUUAUGAUCUUUUUUUGGUUUUGUUCCGAGAUGUUUCUAUUUGGAUGCUCUAUUUAAUGUAUGUUGAUGGGUUUUUGAGGAAGGCUUGUAUGUAUUGACAACCAUAAAAUACUUUUUAUAAAUCCUAGUCCUACAACACUAAAAGAAAACAAUACGUUUGGUUUAUAGUUAAUAAAAAUAUAUUUUUUUAAAAAAUUCUUUUUCUUUGGCAUAUAGUAUGCGUUUUGAGGGGAAAAAAAUUUAUCCCACUCCUAAUUUGUCAUCUGUGAUAUUAAUGUGUUAGCACGAAGAUUCAUUGUAAUUGCAACAAUUUUGAUGAAUCCAAACGUUCAAUAACUGUUAAAUUGUAUUUUAUAAAUACUAAUAGCGAAGGUACAGAAACGAUUAAUCCAAGAAGUUGCUUAAAGUGCAUUAAAUUAGGGAGUAUAAAUAAUUGUGUGAUACAGUCCAGCCUUUAUCUGCUUAUAAUUAGCAACCAAAAACCAUUUGCAACGCCAUUAAAAAAACAUUUUAACAUUAUUGCUGAGGGAAGAGGCAGCUUAGGCUUAUUAACUCGUAUUAUUAAUGCUGAUGACGCAGCUGGUAAUCCUUUUGGUGAAUAUAAUAAGGUAGCUGAAGCUUAUAAUUAUUUAAGCCCACUAAAGCUUAAAACUAAUUCUUCUAGUGACGAUGCUUUGCUUAGUUUGCUUUUUGUUUUUAAUUUUUUUGGGGCUAACAUUUUGCUUAUUUUGCUUUUAAAAUUCUAUUCGCGUUGCUGUGAAAUAUUGUUUGUCCUUCCAUUUUCUGUUUUUGUUGUUAUCGGAUUUGAUGAUGGUUUAUAUGUACGAAGAUUAUGUAAUAAAGUCUUUUUCUUUGGCCUUUAUUAUGCAUUUUAAUACGAAAAAAAAUUAUCCCACUCCAAUUCAUGAAGAUAUUCUCAUUUCUGUCAUAUUGAUGUGUUAAUAUAAAGAUCCAUUGCAGUUGGUGAAUUCAAAUAUUCAGUAACUGAUGAAAUUGUAUUUAUAAAUUCAUAGUAAUAGCAAUUGAAGAUUAUAAUUAAUUUUGUAAUAUGGUCAAGCCCUCGUGUGUUUAAUUAGCACUCAAAAACCACUUUACAAUAGUCAUUAAAAGAACAUUAUAACGUCAUUACUGAUGAGUUCUGGUGAAGAUAUUAAGUUAAGGCCACAAAAAUCGAAAUGUACGUGGCUUCGUUUGUUUUUUGUUUUGAUUUUUUUUGGGGGCAAAUGCUUGGCUUCGUUUUUGAUAUUUUAUUGGCUUUAUUGUGUGGCAUGUUCUUGUUUUCUUUUGAUUUUCUGUUUUUGUUUGUUAUGGGAUUUGAUGACGAUGUACAUGUACGAAGAUUAUGUAAUAAAAUGCUUUUGAUAAAUUGUGGUCGGUUUAGUAUUAAUUAACCAAAUUUAAUUUACUUGAUCAAUUGAUAUUUGUUAGUAUUGUUGUUAUACAAGCACAACAAAAGAAGAACACUAACGUACUAAUUAAUUACUAAUAAGAACAUUAACAAUUUUUGCCGAAGUCUGAUGAAGAGAAAUAUUACACAUACGUAACGGUACCGCGGAAGGAAAAAAUAAAAGAAACUGAAGUUUAUUUCAACAGCUACUCUUUCUUUACCUAAAUCCUGCACCUCUCAUACUACCAACAAGAUCGAAAACCUUAUCGAAUACUCCUACAUCCCAGACUCUGCCCAAAUCAGUGAAUCCACAUACCUCCAAUACAGUACCCCGUUGCUAAAAUAAAGCGAGCGUCUUACUCUACCUAACAUUUUUCUUUUUAUUAAUUUAAAACAGUUUUCAACUGAGAUUGGAAUUUUAAAAUUACGUACACAAACAUACCUGAUUUUAAAGAAAAAAAAUUCUAAUAAUAAAAUAUUUUACAUAUGUAACCAUACGGCGGAAGAACAAAUAUAAGAAACUGAAGUUUCAACAGCUGAGAAUGAGAUAAGCAUAAGAAAUUAAUUCAUUAAUUAAUUAAUAGAGUCCUCCUCCUUUGCUAAAUAAUGCGAGCCCAUUGUUCUUUUUAUUUCGAAAACCCAUUAAUCACCAACACAUAAUAUACGCCCAAUUUAAAAAAAAGAAACUAAUAAUAAAAUAUUUCAGUCCCUCUGUUGAGUCGUCCUCUGUGGAGUCGUCAUCAAAAACCCAUUUACUAGCUAUUUCAACAUAAGGUAAAUGGGUUAACAAGGCCCAAUAUUGUCCUCCAUCCUCUCUGCACUUCUCUUCUAUCAACGGACAAUCAUAGAUACUUAAUUUCAAAAGUGAGGAAGGCAGGCCCUUCUCCGGAAAGUAUUUGAGCUUGGGACAAUUCUUGAGAUACAAUGAAGUGAGGUUUUGAAGAUCAACAAUUGAAGAAGAUAGGCGUUCCAAAUUUGGAAAAUUGUAAAUCUCCAGAGACGUUAGAGAGGCAAGAAGAGGAAGCGCAGCCCCUAAUCUUUUGUCCUCUAGUGGAAUUGACACCAUGUCGUCAUCGCAUUCGCUGAUUUUAAAAUGUCGCAGAGAGGAGAAUCUGUGAAAUCCCCGGCCCCGCUCAAUCAUUGACUUCCAAAUCUCCAUAUUACCCCUGAUAUCAAGUGAAUGAAGGUUGGUGGGAAGGCCAUCUUCUUCAAGGCUUGGAAGCUCAACUCCUCUUCCUAUUGUUAAUUCUUGAAGAGAGGUCAGAUUGUGCAAUCCCUUGGGUAAGGCCUCUAGUCCCUUGCACCAACUGAUAUUGAACUUUAUUAGUUUCGCACAAGGCAAUCCCCCUUCGGGAAAGGACACCAGAUUUUUACAUUCCCAUAUUUCGAUCUCUUGAAGCUGGCGGAGAUUAUGUAAACCACUCGGUAAAAUCUUUAGAUUUUUACAAAAAUCAAUUCUGAUUAUUUCAAGCGAUGUGUUGUUGUCCAACCUUUCUGCUAUUGACUCCAGCUUUGAACAACUAAGAACUUCAAGGGACUUAAGAGACGGAGGUAGAUUGCCAACUUCAAGGGACUCAAGCGUGGCAGGUAACUCGUUUUUUGAAAAUAUACAUGUCAGAGAUGGACAUUCGCUAAUAUGCAAGCCCUCGAGAAGAGAUGAGGUGUACCUUCUGCUGCUGCUGCUGCUGCUACUCUGGAUGCCCUCUUCCACUGUCAAAGUCCUUAGAUUAUCACAAUUAUGGAUGUACAACAUCUUAAGGCUCGGUGGUAGCUGGACUCCAGCAAUAUAUGUCAACGAACGGCAACUCAAAAUCUCCAAGAUCUCGAGAGAUGAAUUGGUGUCGCACAUCCAUGCCUCUGGUAACAAUUUCAGUGCAUCACAAGAACUAAUAUGAAUUGUCUUCAACUUGGAAGGCAGAGCAACCUCAGGAAAGGAAACAAGGGAACUGCAUUGGUAGAUUUCUAUCUCUCUCAAGGAGCUAAGGCUGAGCGAUGAUUGUGGCAGCUUCACAAGGUCUUGGCAAUCUCUCAAUUCUAUAUAUUCGAGUCUGCAUGACAACUCGCAGAGCUGCUGUUGUUGGUCUUUCUCUUCCUCCGCCACCAAGGAUUGAAGUUUGGGACAGCUGCCAAUCGUCAAUCUUUUGAGAGAGCAAAUGUCUUGUAGUAAUCCAUCAUGACUCUUCCAUAUAUAUGUUUGCUCUUUUGUCGACAAAAUUAAUUCUUCCAAUUUCUGUAGUUGUGGUUUCAAUGGCCCCACAAGAAACACUUGAUUUGAUGCAUCUCUACAAACCACUGAAUUCUGUGAUCCGAGAUGACCAGUUGCACUUUCCCACACAACCUUUUUGCAUCCACCAAUUUCCAAUUUGCAAAGAGCUGGAAGACUCGAAACUGAAACUAACAAUUCUUCACAUCCUUCAAUAACAAGCAUCUCCAAUGCAGGAAGGUGCUCUGGAAAUGUUCCUUUCAGUUUAGAACAUUUUAAAAUGUGAAGUUCUCUCAAUUUAGGAAACCCUUCAACUCCUUGACUGGAUCCAUGAGGAAUCCAAUCUUCCCAUUCUUGCAUGUUUUCAAAAAGAAGAGUCUUCAAGCAUGGAAAUGGAAUUGGAGAAACAUUCCCAUAGAACUCUGAACCCAACCUCUUUACUCUGCUCAUUCCACAUACUACAAGAUGCUUUAAAGAGGGUAGUUGCCCGACUGACGGCAGGGCAGUACACAUGUCACAAUUUUUAAAUUUUAGGGUCACCAAAUUUGAGAAUGAGGAAUCUCCCAACCAAGUUGGAAAUUUCAUACCUCCAUAGCCUUUGAUACAAAAUUGCUCCAGAUUUGUAUGAGGUUUCAGCAUGUCAAGCAUGCCCAUUUCAGUUUCUGCCUCCCUUGAAGAAGAACCAUCGGUACUGCAAGUCCAUUUAAGCGAUAAUUCUUUCAGAUUCUUCUUUCCAUCCAUUUGAGCUACCAUGGCAUCACCAACGCAUUUUGCAUUCUCCAAUUUUGAAAUGUUAAGUGUCCCAUGAAGGUGCGUCAACAACUUUAGCUCUCGUAACCCGGAACCACUGCCUUUUCCCACAACAAAAUUACACAACGUCUGAAGACUAGUCAACCUACCAAUUCCUAGUGGCAUUUCCUCCAACGACUUCGUAUUUGAAUUCUUAAGAUGAUGCAAUUUGGCGAGGUUUCCCAUGUCUGCACACAACUUCUUCAGCCGAUCACAAUCUUCCAACAAAAGGCUAUGCAAAUUGUAAAGCUUGUUGACUGAGUCAGGCAGAGUUCUAAUCUCAGUUCCAGACAGGUUAAGGUACCUUAAAUACCUCAAAUCACCAACUGAAUCCGGUAGCUCGAAGAUGUGGUAUCCACGCAGAGAGAACGCCCUCAAGCGUUGGGGUUUGAGCAACUUAGGAAGAAUGCUAGGAGCCAAGUAGCCAGGCCCACUAUUUGUCAACAUUACUGGUAAAAAAGUUCUCAAAUGUUGGAUAUCAUACAAGUCCCCGAACCUUUGAACGCCAUCAUAAUCUCCACGAAUGUAUGAUAGGUGACGAAGAUUUCUGGAAAAACAUUGUUGCUUGUUAACCUCCGAGGUAUACUCCAGUGUGAAGUAUGUCUCCCCUGCAGCCCAACGGGCAAGGUCGUUGAUAAGAUCGUGCAUAACAAAUAGUGAUGCAUCGGUGGCCGAUUGCUGCAAAAAAGAUCUUGAACGUAGCUCCUUAAAGAAAUCACGACCUAAAUCUUCACUAGGAUUCUCAUCUUCUUUGUGAUCCAAAAAACCGGAGGCACACCAUAAUAAAAUUAUCUCCUCCUCUUCAAAUUCAUAAUCCUUUGGAAACAAUGAGCAGUAUGCAAAGCAUUGUUUCAAAGUUGGAGGAAGAUAAUAAUAGCUCACUGCAAGGGCUGGUAUAAUGCCACACCUCUUUUCUGAUAAUUCCCAUAUCUUGCUACAGAGCACACGUUCCCACUCACGUCUGUCAUGUUUUCCACGUAAAAGUCCUCCAAGUGUUUGUGCUGCCAAGGGCAAGCCAUCGCAUUUGGUCACUAUCUUCUUGCCGAUUUCCUCCAAUAACUUAUGUGACCCCAAAGAAUGUUGAGCGAAUACAGCCAGACAAUCAUUAUCUGACAACUUUUUUAAUUGAUAAGAUGGAACAGUACCCAUGAUUUCUGCAACCUCUUGAUUGCGAGUAGUGACAAUAAUUUUACUUCCUGGUGCACCAACUUCAAAUGGACGUCUGAGUUGAACCCAAUCAUCGUAAUUCCGGUUCCACACGUCAUCCAAAACAAGCAAAAAUUUCUUUCCAGACAGUUGCUUACUCAGUUCCUUUUGAAGUGAAUUCAAGCUGGGAUCACCCACGUUCUGGCUAGCAACAAUGGAUGUUAAGAUUGUUUUUGUUAGCCUCUUAACGUCGAAAUCAUCAGAGACACAAGUCCAUGCCUUGAGAUCAAAAUGAUCCUGCACUUGCUUAUCAUUGUAGACAAGCUGAGCAAGAGUGGUUUUGCCCAGCCCGCCCAUACCUAUAAUAGGAAUAACAGAGAAUCCACCAUCGUUGCUUAAAUCAUCCCUCAACAGCAGUUCAACAACAUCCUUCUUUUCUGUUUCCCUGCCAUAUACUUUGGCUUCAUCCACCAAAGAGGUUGUCUCUGGCCUUUGACUGGCUUUUUUGGAUCCCCCAGCUGAACUUUCUUUCAAAUCUAGCAAGUUUUUCUUUGUCACAAUUUCUUGAAAUCUGCUGUCGAUCUCUUUGAUUUUGGACAUCAAGUCAUAAUCGAACUGAGUCGAUUGUGGAGUAAAAAUGGUGAAGCAAGUAUGAAUGAACUUCCGAAGCUUACUUGGUCUCGUAUGACUGCUACUGGGUUGAUCAUGAGCAGCAGCUGGUUCUCCAUUUCCAAGCGGCAACCUCCUCCGGAAAGCCUCGGUUUGAAACUCAUCCAACAAGUCUUCAACAUCAUAAGCCAAGUUCUGAAGCUCGCCAAGCCACAAAUUCACAGACGGAGCCGUCCUCCUCUUCUCCUCAGCAUCAUCAAGCACUGCCUUGAUCAUCUCCAACAUAUUCGCCCACCUCAUCAGAUCGGCCUCGAUCUCCUUUUGGCGUGCAAAAAACAGAACCCCCUCUGAAGCUAACUUAUUGACCAGCAAAUCAACGGACGCCGUAAGGAUUGCCUCUCCGAUCAUUGACAUUUUUUUUUCCUUUUUUGGGGCAAAGGAAGAAAGGAGCAGAAUUAUGCGUUAUGGAAAGCAGAAUGAGAAAUUUGAACGGGUGAGAAAAUGGAUAAUUAAGCAGAAUGAGUUUGUGAUUGUGAAGGGUCUGGCCCAACAAGCUUAGUAGAAAUCACGCGUUUAUACUUUAUUGACCAAUGACUAAUAAUUUGCCAAUUCACUCAUCACCACCACUUGGUGAGCAAAAUGAAAAUGCUUAGUAAUUAAACGUGGCAAGUCUCCCCACUUGUUGUUCCUUGCAGCUAAGAAAAGAAAAAACAGAGCCGUAAUUAAUGACAGAAUUUUAAAAAUAAUAAUAAGAGAAAAACCUACACAUUUUCGACUUAGAGUGGAACCGUAAUUAAUGCUAAAAUUUACUCAGCUAAAAUUUUCAAAAUAUUGUUCUUUAUAAUUUUCAAAACCGUAAUUAAGGUUCAUCUCAAAUGUUUGAAGAGACUCUAUCAAUUCUUCUGCGCUAAGAAUAUUAAAAUUCUUAUUUUUUCUUCAAACGUUGAAUAAUGAAAAAAAAUGUUAAAUAUGGAGAAAAAUAGAAUGCAUCCAUCUUUGCUGUAGAAGUCUUCUACUUAUAAAAGCAAGUUAGAAUAAACGAUUUUAAUCUCUCUUUUUAUUCCUGUAAGUGCACUACAUUUUUUUUGUUUUAAUCUCAAUGUGAAGUCGUAUCAUAAUGUUAUGUUAAUGUUAUAUUCUUGUUGGAAAAUGAAAUUUUAGAUAAAACAAAUUCGACUCAUUUGUUGAAGGUAUAUAUUUAGUAGGUUGCUAACAUAAAGUAAAUGAACUAAAAGACAAUACUACCAGCGAUAAUUUAGCAAGUUUCGCAUGCUCGUCUUUCUUGAAAUAUUAUAUGGGAAUGGGAUCAAACAACAGUGAUACAAAGAGAAAAAUGGUAAUCCUCUGAUUGUAUUUUUUUUUUCUUUUUCAAAAGAGAUGGUGGGGUUGGGUUGUUUGCAAAGUUAUUAGUGUGGGUCUAUUUAAAAUGUUAAGAAAUUUUAUGUCCUUUUUUCAAAGUGAAUUUCCAUUUUUCAUUUCUCAUUAAGUAAAACCCACAGCAAAAUUAAAAAGAAAAAACAGAGCCCACUAUAAAUAUAAAAUCGAAGGAGCUCAUAAUUAUACCUUUGCUUUACAUACUAAAUUAAAUAAAAGCCGAACCAAGAAUCUUGCCUUUACUUAACAUGAUUAAUUAGACACUACUUCAGAGAGAAUACGAAAGCAAAGAACCCUUUUGUUAAUCUUAAAUGUUAGGAAAAUAAUUAGCUUGGAAUAAAGCUGCGUUAUUCUCCUCUUACCGUCUCUUCAGGUUCAUUUCAAAAGUUUGAAGAGAUUUUAUCAAUUCUUCUUAUAAAGGCAAGCUAAAUUAAAAGAUUUUAAUCUCUCUUCUUAUUACUAUAAGUGCACUGCUUUUUUUUUAUAAUCAACAAUGUCAAUUUGUAGUGUAAUAUUAUAUUCAUAUUCCUGUUGCGUCGAAAUAAGGUAAAAUGAAAUUUUAAAUCACACAAAUUCGACUCGUUUGUUAAAGGUAUAUAUUUAAUAAGCUAAUAACAUAAUUAACAUAACGCUAUUAUUACACUAAAUGAAAUAAAAGACGGUACCCUCCACCAAUAAUUACAUUAGCAAGCUUCGCAUGCUCGUGUUUCAGGACCUAGACAUUGGCGAAUUAAUCUAGGAUAACGAAACAAUUUCAAAAAGCAAAAUGGAUACUAUACAUUUUCUUUUUUUAAUUGUACAGAAAACGGGACUAAUUUUCAAAUAUUUUUAAAUUCACUUAUUUACAAAAGCUAUACAAAAUGAUUUCCUUUUUAUUUUUGAUGAGCAUAAUUUACAUACAUAUUUUACUAUUUAUUAUAUAAUUACUAGUUAUUUUUAUUUGUUAUUUUAAUUAAUUGAAUUAUUUUAUUUCAUAGGAAAUUAAUUGGAGAUUAUGGAUGAAAAGUGCGUAAAGAAUAACAAUUUGACAGCAUUGAAGAUCAAAUCAAUUUGCGGAAGGAAUUAAGCAAAUGUGCAAGAAAUUCUAUUCGAAGAAACCGAAGCCAAUAAAUUGAAUAUCCAUACUCGUGCAAACAAAGAAGAAGUUUAAAACUAAAGUGGGCAGCACAUUAAAAAAAGCUUUUAAUUAAGUCUUUGAAUGGAAAGUCAAAAUAGAAUAAAGGAAGGAAAUCAAUAGCUUUUGGCUUUUAUUGUUUUCAAUUACGUGGCAGGCUUAGAGCUUUAGCUUGUAAGAGUUGGUUUGGUUAUUAUCACAAUAGGAUUUGGUGGCCAAGCAAUAUAAAAGGGAGUUUUGCUUUUGAAUUAAAGGCUGGACGGAAACAAAAGGGAGGAGAAUUCGGCUUUGAACAGAGAGCAGCGGCAACGGCAAUAUUUCGGCUUCCAUGGCUGAAUUUAUUUCUUUUGUUGCUCACAAUUUAAGUAUGUCUAGCUAAUUUUCUUAUACUGAGGUUAAGGAUGAAACCCUAUUCAAUGAAAUAAUUAUCUUUUUAUUUAUUUAAUUCCCUAUAUAUGUGCUUUAAUGUUUAUGGUUUUUAUUUCACAUGAUUAAUUGGACGUUAUUAAAAUCUUUUCAUCAAUUCUGUCAUGCAUUAUUAAUUGUUAGGAUUAAUAUUCAAUUAAUUCUAUACUUGGAUCUAUAAAGUUUAUACAUGAUUAUCUUUGAUUUUAUGUCUUUCAUUAAAUUAUUUACAUAGAGUGCUUAGGAAAACUUUGACUCUUUGUUAUUUAAUAUGUUUACAUGAGAUGCUUACAUGUCAUACUAUUAAGUAGAAAAAGAACCUACAUUACAUUUAAUUUUAAUUGGGCUUAAUUGUUAUAUUUAUGAGAUGACAUAGAUUGAUUUUGAGUUGUCACUCUAAAAUUAGGGAUUCAUUAAUAUUUGGAUAAUUACAAAUUAAAUAGUGGUGGAUUCCGAAACCUUGAUAAUUUUUAUUUUAUUGAUUUCUCAUUUGCUUUAAUUGUUUUCUUAGUUUAAUAAGUUUAAUUUCUUUUAAAAAUUCAAAUUACUCAACUAAGUUAGGAUUAAUAUUAAUUUUAGAUUUAAAUUAGACUUUUCAAUUUAUAACAAUCCAUGUGGGAUUGACCUCGUUACUACUAUUCUAUUUCUAGAUUCAUGCGCUUGUAAGUAUAUUAAAACUUUCACAACAAUUUUGAAAGGAAUCAAAUAACAGUGAUACAAAGAGCGCAAAGUUGCAAUUCUCUUAUUAUAUUUUUUCUCUUUUUUAAAAGGAGAUAGUGGGGUUUGGUUGGUUGCUAAAUUAUUGGUGUGAGGGUCUAUUUGUUUUUGUUUUCACUUUAUUAAUUAUACCAAGCAAACAUGUAAUCAUUUGUAAAGGGGUCACUAGCAUUGGAUUAUGUAAGAUGAAUUCAUAAGACUUAUUAAUUUCGAUGAAAAUGUAGCGUUAUUAAGUUGUCAAUUCAUUAACUUGAGGUACUAAUAUUUACUAAUUGUGGUGAUUAAUUUAUUUAACUUGUCAUAAUUUUCAAUUGAGAAUGAAGUUCAAUCAAUGUAUGAAAAAAAUAAUUUUUUUAGAUUUUUAAUUCCUAUGAUUUAAUUUCCCCCUGUUUCGAUUAUUGACGUGUUAAAAGCUUGUAGAAUAUCAUGAAAUGCUUGUAUCUCACCUCGCAAAUUGACAAAUAUUGGUUGGUUUCUCCAAAGGCUACCAUAAUGAAUUGAAAGUAAAAACAACAACCAUUGAAAAUUAAUUUUAAAAUCAUUUUUACUUGAAAUUUUUUAAAAGAAAAAUUAAGCAAAUUAGAUUACAGAUAUCAAUCUUAAUAUUUUGUUGAUGAAAAUUAAUUAAUUUAUCUCAGUACUUUCUUAAUUUUGUGUUGUGCACCGCAUUGGUCACUUCUGAUUGUGUUGCAUAUUUGUUAAUUCAAAGAAAUAGAACUUCUUUAUCGAUCAAACUUAUUUUAUUAGUAUUCUUCAUCAUAUGGUUAAUGGCUUAGCCAAUGAAGGAGAAGGGGUCAGCCAAAACAAAUAAAGUACUUUCUCAUGCAUUAACCUUUAUUAAAAAGCUUUAUUAACUGUUGUAGUUAAAAUAAUUUUAAAACAAGUUAAAACAGUUCCAACUCAAAAUCAGUAGGCUGCAAUUGGGUUGUUACACAUAUUUCUAAAUUUCAGUCUAAUUUAAUUGUGUAUGGACAAACUAACUUUAUCACUUCUUUCAUAUUAAUACUCAUAAAUUUCAACCUUUUUUUAUGAUGAUGGACAAUCUAACUUAACAAAAAUAAUGUUCAAAUUAUCACAAAAUGUUCUUUUCUUAAAAAAGAAAAGAAAAUCAUAUAUAGUAGUUAAUUUUUCUUCUUCUGUACUCCAAGAUCCAACUCCGUACUCCACUUGUUCGUUGUUAUUAUACCCAGCCAUUAGAUUUUAAUUACGUUGAUUUAACGGUUUGGAUUCGUAAAUGAAUAACGACGUAAAGUUUGGCUACCAUCUGAACCCACCGCAUCUAAUUGGUUUUGUGAUUUUUUGCUUUCUUCACUGCAACGCUUGACUAGUUCUGGAAAUAUCGACCGCCAUCAACGGCAAAUCUGAACCAUGUAUUAUUUGCGAAUACAUUCAUUAAACUAUUAAACAUUCAGAGAAGAAAGCAAACCGUGGCAGUAUAACAAAAACUGCGAAUGGUCAUUCCCAACACGAACCCCUAUGGUUGUUUUCCUUUUAAUUUUCUUCUUUGAAUUCUCCUUUUAUUAAUCAUUAGAAAAACUCCAUUUUUUUUGUUUUAAAUCAUGUGUUAUUAACAUUUACAUGGUUAAUGUCAUCGAAAUCGAAUGGUUGUUAUCUACGAAAAGAGAAUUGCUAGAAAUUUUGUUAGUCCCAUUGCAACAAUAUAUUGUUAUAAAUUGCAUUGUUUUCCAUAUAACAAAUAUAAUAAAAUCUCAAUAAAUUAAUAGUUUUUGGGACCAUAAAAAAAUUAUUAAAAUUAAACAAAUAUCAAUUAAUCAGUAAAUUAAUAAAUUAUUAAUUUAUGAAAAUAUUCAUUAUUUUGGAAAAACAUGAUCACGCUUUUAAUAUUGAUUUACCUUGAGUUAGUAUCUAUUAGGUUUUAUUUGUCUAUUAGUUUUCUCUUGGGAAGAUUUUUUAAGAGUUAGCUGCUUUAUAUUAACAGUAAUAAAAUUAUUAUUUAACGGUUUUGUUUUUCCAUGCUAAAGACCGAUUAGUCGUCUUCUUCUCCUCAGCAUCAUCAAAACCAGGGUUUUUAACUCCUAAAACGUUUCUUUUUAGAAAUAUAUUACUUUAUUCAUCUAAUAUGUUAUCUAACAAAUAGACACAGAUGAAAUCACUCUAAAGUGAAGAUGAAAGGGGAAAAAAAACAUUCCAACCACCAAUAAUUUAGCAAGCUUCACUUUUAUUCCACCAAAGUGUAAAUAGUGCCAGCCCCCACCACCAUCAAUAAUUUAGCAAGCUUCACACGCUUGUUGUCUUCUCCUUGACGAACUGGACGUGGGUGGACCAAGAAUCAAUGAAAGAAUUUUAAAAAUAAUAAUAAAAGAAAAACAUAAACAUUUUGGACUCGGAGUAGAACCGUAAUUAAUGCUAAAAUUUACUCCGCUAACGUUUUCAAAAUAUUGUUCUUUAUAAUUGUACAGCAAAUAAGACUAAGUUUUGGACAUUUUCAUAUUCACUUACUUUCAAAAGCAGUAUUUCGAAACAUUUUACAGAAUCAAGUAACAGUUAUAUAACGAGAAAAGUGCAAAGUUGUGUAAUUCUAAUGUUUUUUUUUUUUUAUCACAGACACUCAGAUAAUUUUUUAUUUGGGUCGCCAACUCGCCAAUUAACCCAUGAUUGAAUGAGUGUUUAGAAAGAAAAUCAAUAAAAAACAGUUUUUUUUUUGGUCGUCGAAAUAUAGUAAGUGAGAAAGAUUAUUCUGUUUUUUUUGUUAAUUAGGUUAGUAAUUAUGAUUGAGUGACUCAGAACUAUAUUCUAGAUUGAGAAUCAACGGUUCUCCCACACUGAGAGGCUGUAAGUUUAAGAUUGUCGUUUGCUAUUUCAUCGACAAGAGAACACUUGAAUUUAUUAAAAGGAGAAGGCCAUAAAGAUUUUCCUUUAUGAGAAAUGUAUCUGAUCAUUCCUUUUUACUUGAAAAUUUCAUAUAUAAAAACUCAUUAAUAAAUGACAGAAUAUACAUAAAUUAUUAAUUCAUUUGAUAGUUGAUUAUCGAAGGACAUGUGACCCAUGGAAGCAUGCAGUCUAUAAAAUAAUUCUUUUUUUUUUUUAACAAAAAAUUGGUGAUGUUGAAAAGCAAAAUUAUUAUUUCUCUAAUUAGGGUGAACAUUCAUAAAAAGAAUGCCGUAUGAAACUAAAUUAUUAAUUCGUUUGACAUGUGACCCACAAUAAAUAGUUAAAUUUGGCGGCAACAAUAAUUACAAGACGAACUUAAAGCAGCGCAUAGGUUUUUCUUAAAAAUACAUAAACAAUUCGAUAUUUUUUAUUUGACAGUUUUUAAGAAAUGUCAAACAUAUAUGACAUUUUGUGAAAAACUGAGUAAUUGUGAAAUAUAAAUGAUAAUUUAUUUAAACGUCAAAUAAUUGUGACGUUUUAUCAAAUAAGUGAUAAAUAUCUUACAUAUUUAUUGAAUAAUUAUCAUUUACCUUUUCCUUUUAUUGACUCGAGCAAAAAAAACAAAAAAACUGACUAUACUGCUUUUAUUUUCGUUCUUAGAACAGAUUUUAGUUUCUUUUGAGAAAAUUCAAACUCAUUCCCAUUACUUUCUUUUCAAUAAUCACCUCUCAGUUUUUCAUCAAUCACUCAAUUCCGAAUUUCAUCUCCAUUCUCUUUUGAAGAAGAACGCACGAAGAAUUUUAGCUUGCUUUUGCUGCUUCUCGAAUAUUGGGUAUUGUUUCCUUUAAUUUAGAUAAUUGUUUUUUAUAUCUCUCUUUCUAGUUUGAUAAUUUAUGGUUAUACUUGAAUUAAUUGUAUUUUUAAUCAACCAAGGUUGAUUUAAUUGAUUCCAAGUCUCAAUUUCCUGUUCAACAAUUUUCAUACUCAAUUUUGAAAGAAUCAAUGUAUUUUAUCUUUGGUUAGUACACUUCUGUUCAAUUUUUGUUUAUUUAACUUAAGAUAUCUUUUUCUUUCUUUUCUUCAAGCAAAUUAUAGAUUAUAUUGAGAACAGAGUUUUCUCCUUAAUUCCGCCAAGAGCAACGUUGAUUUCAGGUGAUAAUUGAAUGUGUAAUAUUUUCAAUUGAAAUUAAUUGAGUCUCGUGAUAAUAAUAGGGAUUUGAGAUUUACAUCCUGUUGAAAUGAUUUUAGAGUGUUCUGUUAUUUGAAUGCGCAUUAAUUGUUUGAUUAAAUGUCUCUUUAAAAGAUUAUUUUUGUUUUUAGCAAACAUCUUAAUGCACUUUACAAAUUGAAUCCAACAAGGGAAAAUUAUAGAACUGCAGCAGUUUUCAAAUUGAUUGCAUAUUAGAAGUAAUGUUAAUUUAUGCUGCAACAGUUCAAUGGGCUGGGCACAAGUUUAGGACUUCAGUUGCUCAAUUAAUGAAUCCACCACUCAUCAGACUUGGAACUUAUAUCUAUUGAAUCAAUAAAAAUAGUUGAUGGAAUCAAUGCCGAAAGCUUCAUUUGAUAUUUAUUUAUAACAUCUGUUAGAUUCUGGACAAUCACAAAGAUAUAGUAGCAGAAACUAUGUUAGAGACACUAUAGUUGCUUAAUUAGUGAAAUUGUGCUCUCAUUGCCCCCUUUUUUUGGUUGAUUCUAUAAUUUUAUUAGUUGUUCUUGUGGUUGUAAACAAUAUCAAUUUCUAAUAUUAAUAAAACUGAAUGAAUAAAAUGCGAUGCAUUUGCAGGAAAGUUAAUAGUUUAAAUAUGGAUAAAUCUUGGAUGUUGAUGGAUAGAAGGUCUAUAGAAUAUGAGAACAUGGUAAAUGAGUUUCUCAAGUUUGCAGUACUUCAUGCUAGUCAUCUUGAGCUUUUGAGAUGUCCAUGCCAAGCAUGUCUUAGUUUAUAGGCUCAAACAAUUAACAGUAUAGAAAAUGCAUGAUAGAACACAGAACUCAUAUUUUAGCAACAAUCCUCAGCUCACUGGCCCUUAGUUCAGAAUGACAAUUCUUAUUAGCCAAAGGUUCAAAAUGAUUUUUAGUUGUUUAUAAGUAGAGAACUAGAUCAACAAAUAAUUGAAGACCUGCAGCUUGGCUAUUGAACUAUACGAUGAUGCCAAUUCGAAGACUACAACUUGGCUCUGCCAUUCGAAGUAAGCAACGCAGCUGCCCAAAGUCUGCCAAACCAAGAAAAAUAAAGACUUCUCCUUAGCAAUUAAGUUAAUAUAAGGAAUGUUGCAUGUCCACAAAACUAGGUAGACGCAACUGGGACUUCAAUAUAUAUAUAGAUAUAUAUAUAUAUAUAUAAGCAUUUCCUAGAUCAAUAUUAUUCUCAGUAACUGAAUAUUGAAGCUGACCAUCACAUUUAAUAAUAAAUCAAUAUCAGGAAUGUUGUUGAGGAGUAUUUUGAUAUUUACAAAAGUGUUCAAAGUAAAAAUUGAUUUCUUAAAACCCAUUAGCUAGCGCACAUAAUAAUGGGGAGAAAAUUUUAGACUACGAAUAGUCCCACCCAUUUAAUAAUAUUCUUCAAUCAAUUAUGUUUACUUCAAAAAAAAAAAACCAUCUCUUUAUUACUUUCUAACUAUUCAUAUUAAUGUGUUCAUAAUUAUGAAGAACCGGUGUAAUUUAUAUGAUGUAGGAAGCACAUUAGUCAAAAUCAUCAGAAUCUCAAAAUUUCGUGAUGUUGUGCCAAAUAUGCAAACCAAAGCUUCCUACAUUCUUUGUACGUUUGUGUUAGUUACAAGCAAUCACAGUGGUAAACGAAAAAAAACGAAUUAAAACACAUGAGGAGAUUUAAAUGAAAAUGUCUUAAUCAUAUAUCGCAUGUAAGACCUUUUGUACUCAAAACUGAUCAGCACCCAUUCUGCCCGCCGUGUGAUCACAUCUUGAAGGGAGUGUUGCUUCAGCAUUUUUAUCAUUUUUACUAUUUCUAGGAUCCAUUUUGUCACCUCCCUCCCUCCCCCCGGUUUCUAAAAUAAUUAUAUAAUAACCAUAUAAUUAUUGGUUGUUCUAGCAAAUAAAAAAAAUAUAUAUAUAUAUAUAUAUAUUAAUCUUUUAAUAACAUUAUCACUUUGUCAAAAUAAAAAAUCUCCUCAUUAAAUAAUUAUAUUAUAUAUAUUCAUUUAUUUAUCCAAAUAAAAAAGUAUGAAGUCAAAUAGUACACAAUAAUUUAACUAAUUUGAAUUGGUUUAUUUUUAAUGAAACAAAUAACAUUCCUAAAUGCUUCUCUUGAUCCUUAAUUUAUUGAUAAUUUUGUCAAUUUAAGGUCGGCUAUAUAUUGAUUAAAUUACAAGCUUAGACUAUCGAAAGCUGGUUACAGUUAUGGAGGCAGGAAAAAUUUUAUUGUACCAGAAAUUUUUUCUACAACAGUCCAUGCAAAGUAAACAUUUGUAAGGAAAUUGGAGAAUAAUUACAAAGCCAACUAAAUUUUAUGAGAAUCAAUUUGGAGUUUUUGUUAAUCGCCAUUUUGCGUUCAUACAAAGCAAGUGUAGAUACCGGCACAAUAAGCUAAAUGCAAAAUCCAAUGUAGGACAGUGGGGUUGGGACAACGAAAUGGGGAAAUGGGAAUCUAGGUAAUUGCACUGAACCUUAAACUGAGAGUACGGGCACUUAAAAUUUUUAAAGUGUCUAAUAAGUUUCAGCUAAAAAGGAAAUAGGCUGUAAAAUUGCUAAAUUCAUUUUGAUUUCUAAAUUCAUAAAUAACCUUAAAAGUUCUCUGAUACAACUUGUCAAUAAUGGUGAAAAUUCAAUUUCAGAAUGACAAUUCUUAUUAGUGAAAGAAUCAAAAUGAUUUUUAGUUGUUUAUAAAUAGAUCACUAGAUCAACAAAUAAUUGAAGACUGGCUUGGCUAUUGAACCAUACGCGGCAAUUCGAAGACUGAAACUUAACUCUGCCGUUCGAAGUAAGCAACUCAGGUGCCCAAAGGCUGUCAAGCCAUCAAGACAAUACGAAGAUACAACAUCAAUAAUAAUUACAUAUUACACCUACCCCAAUAAGAAAUUAGUUAAUACAGUCCUAGAAAGAAAUUUACAAACCCAUGCUGUAGGAAUAAUUAAUUAAUUUAUACAGUUCGGUACUCAUUCCUCUUCUGUUUCAAAUCCAUAUCCACUGCUCUGCCAUUUAUUACUACGCAAGGUAUAUGGGUUAGCAAGUGCCGACAUUGUCCUCCAUUCUUUAUGUGCCUUUCUUCUAUCAAGGGACAACCCAAGAUCUCUAAUCGCAAGAAAAAUAUUUCAAAGUAAAAAGUGAUUUCUUAAAAUCUAUUAGCUAGUGCACAUAAUAAAAGGCCAUUCAUGGUAAAUUUUAGAUUACAAGUAGUCCCAAUAAUAUUCUGCAAUCAAUUCCGUUUAUUUUAAAAUAAAAGAAAUCCAUCUCUUUAUUACUUUCUAAUUAGUCAUAUUAAUGUGUUAAUAAUUGUGAAGAACCAGCGUAAUUUAUAUGAUGUAGGAAACCCGUUAGGCAAAAUAACCUGAAUUUUUUAAAGUAGGGGCUAGACAUAUUGGGCAUAACCUCAGUUUCUGUUACUUCUUUGACCCUGCCUAAGCUCUUUUAUGGGCUAAUAUCAAAAUUUCGUGAUAUUGUGCCUAAAGAGCUUCCAAUUCAAGGAGCUCCCCUGUUUUUGACUGAAACAUAUGUAAUCCGAAAAAUUUAUAAUUAGAUAAAUCAUUCAAAAUCUCCCUGAAUCUAACCCACAUUUCUAUGGUUUAAUAACAUAUCACAAAGGUGCCUAAUAUAAUGAAAUUAGCACUAGUUCACGAGAUUGCCAUUAUAUAUUACAAGUCUUUUUAUGAUGUAGAUUAGAAGGGAAAAUACGAAGGACAUAUUAUAUAUUAUAUAUGAUUGAAUUUAAUCCAUGAUAAUUAGACAAAAUAACACUAAUCUAGCUAACUAAUCCACCCAUCAUAAUAAUUUGAUUUUCAUUAUUUUAUUGUGUCCAAUCAUGCUAAUUUAAUAAAAAAAAUACAGAACACUUGAGGAUUUAGAUAUUCAACAACUUUGGCCAAGUUUGAAAAAGAUUAGAGCUUCCUUCAUGCUUUGUGUUCUUAUGUUACACAUGAUCAUAUUAUGUUACAUUUGACAGAAAACUGAAAAUUAUUGAAAAAAAAAAAUCUUAGUUAGCACAUGAUCAAAAUGAGAGAUUAAUGCACACACAUCACAACAAUGUUUCAUUCAUUUUGAAUCUAUAUUUACAAAACUUGUAUCCGAUGGUUUACAUUUGUUUAAUCUAACUGCUAUGACAUGUGUACUGUCAAAACGCUACAGCUGCCAUCUCUGUUUGUCCUUGUUGCAUCCUUGAUCUUAUAUUAUCCUGGAGAUUAUUGAAUGUUCUUCUCAUUCUCAUGUGCUCGAGGGUCCUUUCUUGAGACAUUUCAGCAAACACCUGAUUCAUCCUAUUAAACAUUAGCAUCAUUAAUCAGUAAAUGAUGUAAGGUAGCCCUGUUUCGUGAAGUCAACAUAAAUCAGUCACCUUAGAUUUUCUGAGUCUCAGAGCACAAUGGGUGAUGAUUUGAUGAGAAAUAUUAAUAUGCCUUCAUCCCCUGAAUUAGCUAGAGCUGGUUGUCAUUUUCUUCUUUCUUUUGGUACGGUUUUAGAUUUUUAAUCAAUCAGAUUCAGCUGCAUGUUUGCUUUUAGUCCAAACCAAAAUAAGAUAUUAAGUACUUUUGCCAGAAUAGACGCAACCAAAAUUCUAUGGGAUCUGUAGUUCCUAGUUCAUGCAGAAGCGACCGAAUGCUUCCUGCAACUCAGGCAGAUAGAACCUUGGUUGAUUCGUUUUUCUUCAUCUGAAAUUCUACCUAAUGCCUAUCCUCUUAAUUGGUUUAAAUUCUUCUUUUUUUUCUUUGAAUUGUUGAUUUAUAAUGUCUUGUAUGCAACAUUUAUAAUUUCGGAUGAUGAUAAUCUUGUUUAAGAAGAGAUUUCUAGUUACGGCAGCAGCGUUCUUGAUCAUGGCAUCACAAGCACGUGCUCUGGUUUGCUUAGUUUCCUUUUUGUCUCUGAUAUUUUCUUGGCAUUGUGGGAUAUUGUUUCUCUUUUGAUUUUCUGUUUUUGUUUGCUUAGUUUCCUUUUUAUGUCUGAUAUUUUCUUGGCAUUCUUGUUCUCUCUUAUAAUAAAGUGCUUUUGAUAAAUUCGCCUGGUCGGUUUACUUCACUAACCAUUAAUGAGCAAAUCCUCCCAGUGACUCUCAAACUCUUCUACACAAUUAUAAUAAUUUCAGUUUUACAUAUACAAAAAUGAACAGCUCUCAAACAUAUCAUUUGAUAAUGACAAAAACAAUAAUUCACUCCAAUAAAUCUCAUAAUAAAUACAUGAUCUACAUUGCAAGUCUUUUUAGGACGCAUUCAAAGAGAAAACAUAAGGAAUGGCAAUGCAAGAAUAUGGAAUCAGAAUAACAGUGAUACAAAGAGAAAAAAAAAGGGGAUGGUCGGGUUGGGUUGCUUGCAAAAUUAUUGGUGCGGGGGUCUACUUGUUUUUGUGUCACUUUAUUAAUUAAUUACCGAAGCAAACACGUCAUCAUUUGAAAAAGAAUCACUAGCACCAGCUUAUGAAAAAUAAAUUUGUAAGACAUAUUAAUUUGAAAAUAUUUUGGAAUUUCAGUCUAAGUUGAUUUGUCUAAUUAUGUAUGCACAAACUAGCUUGACCACUUCUUUCAUAUUGAUACCUAUAAAUUGCAACCUUAUUUUACGUUGAUGCACAAUCUAACUUAACAAAAAAAAUAUUCAAAUUGUCACAAAAUAUUUUCUUCUUAAUAUAUAUAUAUAUAUAUAUACAUACACACAGUAGUUAAUUUUCCUUAUUCUUCACUCCAGGAUCCAGCUGCAUACCCCUCUUUUUUGUCGUUAUGUUGCUCAACCGUUAGAUUUUAAUAACGUUAAUCUAACGGUUGAGAUUUGUAAAUGAAUAAUGAAGUGGUGUUUGGCUACUAUCUGAAAAUAUCGGCAGCCAUCGACGGCGAAUCUGAACAAAGGCAACAGGAGGUGAUCGUGGUGAAAUUGUUUUUUGGCAUGCGAAUCUAACGACUUUCAAAUACGUUCAUUCAAAUAUUAAAUGCAAUUCAGGCAAAUAGAAACUUGGUUGAUUGAUUGCUUUUCAUGUGAAAUUCUACCUAAGGGCUAUCCUUUUAAUGGUUUGUACUGUCUUAUAUGCAAAUUAAAUUCGGAAUUCGGGUGAUAAUAAUCUUGAUUUAGAACAGAUUAGGUAACAUGUGGCAUUCUACAUUCUUGCAAUGCCAUUUCUUUUUAUGGCAGCACCAUUUUUUAUCAUUGUUUGUGUGGACCUAUUUGCUGAAUUCAAAACUUGGCGUGUUAAAACGGCAUCGUUUUGUCCAUUAAGAUGUUUCAAGUUGUCCCCGGCUGGACAUAUGACUCACUUAAUGAUACCAAAACGGCGAGGCAUGAAGGUGUUUCGGCUAAGGGCUUAAGUUCUGCAUGUGACAAGCACGUGAGAGAAGAAUCAAGUUAGUUAUAAGUUGUUAUACACGUGGCUGGAUCUGGUGCAAUCUGGGGUAAUGAACAGCCGUUAUAUAAGCUGAGCUUUCAGGCAGUUUCAGCAAGAUGUAAAGAGCUUCUAGAGAGAAUGAAGAGAGAGAAAAUGUAUCAUCUUAUUCCUUGUUAGUUUCUCCGUGUGAGCUCUGUAAAAUACUUUGAUUCAUAAAUAAAACUCAUUUUAGUCGAUUCUCCCUUGGAUGUAUGUUCUGCCUCAUUGCACAGCCGAACCACGUAAACAGUGCUGGUUUCUUUUUUUUUCAUUUGUGUCUAUCACUAAAAAGCAGAGCACUUGCUUGAUUGAAUAAUGUCAUAUUACAUCACAUAAACUCUCUCAAUUAUUGAAAAAGAAAAUCGUAAAAGAGAUGUGUUGAAUUGAUAACUGAAAAAAUCUUAAAAAAUCUUCAAAGUUUUCAAUUAUUGAUAACUGAAAAUUAUUGAAAAAAAAAAUCUUAAAAGAGAUGUGUUGAAUUGUGAAAUUAAAACUGAGUUUCAGACAUUUCUGACAUGUCGGUUUAUAUUCUUGAUUGUGCAUGCCCUGUCGGUUGCUUGAUGAAACAGGAGAAUAUUGACAUCUGUGUAUUAUCGUUUACUUCCUGCAAUUAAAUCACAUGUUGUUCACGUGAUUCCAUUUGCUCUAUGCGGCACAUUUGGCAGUCGUUUAGGUCACUUACUGAAGCACGGGUUAAGUACUUGAUUCAAGGUUGUUAACUGACCUUUACAAGGCGGGAAAAACAAACCCGGAAUGCAGCUAGUGAGUGGGGGACUUUUCUAGACUCUUCAUGAUAUGUAUAUAUAGUCUUAGAGGCUAUAGUUGAGACAUAUGAAAAGCUUGUAACUUCUUCUUAAUGUUUGUAGUUUGAUCUCGGUGAUGGAGAUAAGAUUGCUGCCCUGUUCUCCAGGCCGAACCACUUAAAAUGUGCCUCUGUUUUGCUUGAUGACUACCAGUGGUGAGAAAACAGCUACAGAACAAAUCAAGCUUGAUGACUCAAAUAUUAGGGAAGCCAUAGUCAAGGCAUCUGGUUUAUGCAUCAACAGUGGUUCGUGGACUAGAAUUCUUAGCUAUUGCCGCUUCACAAUUGCACUGGAAGAAAGCGAAUUUGAUCGAGCUUUGGAUCGCAUAGCUAAAUUCAAAAGCAUCGUACAAAUAGUUAACUCAAAAACGGUAUUGUCAUUUGUCAUGAUUUAUUUCUAUUGCCUGAUGAUGAUACCCAUCACGCCUUAGUUGUCGUGAAUAAAUCUAAAAUCAAAUUGAACUGGCUUUUACUGGUUAGCAACAUUUGUGACGUUUUGAGAUUAUAAUAUAUGACAACACUGAUUAGUGUUGUCUCCCAUGUGAAUUGAGACAAAAAUUAUUUUCCCAAUUGCGCUUUCAUUUGAACAAUUCCACUGUAGAUUUAUAAAAUAAUGAUCAAAUUGUGUUUUAUAUUAAGUUACGAGUAAUUGGUUAAAUAUUAAUACAAAACUAUUUUAAGUAACAUGUGGCAUAUUCUAAUUCUAGCCAAGCUUCCAACUAAGAUUCCCAAAUCAAAAGAAUUUCAAUCUUCAGAACAUUCUGCAAAACGUUUAGUUUCUACGCAGUGCUAGAAUUUUCCCUAAGUUUCUAUCGCAAAGACUUCUAAAGAACUAUUCAGAUAUCGAGCUAUAAUCCAGUCUAAAGUGUAUAUAUCCCUCUAAUUCACCUCCCUCCAUUUCACCAGAAAAUCAACAAACACUUAGCUUCAAACAAACACUCUAAAAAAGCUAGCUAGCUAUUCAGAUGGCAAAACCAAGAAUUCUUGCAAUGACAAUGUUGUUUCUUGUUAUGGCAGCAACAUUGAUGAACAUGGCAUCGCAAGCAAACGCUCUGAUGUCGUACACACAAUCACCUUUCAGGGUUCUUGAACAAACCCCUUUAACAAUCGCAAAACGAGCUGAUCAUCAUCAAACUCUAGCCCCGGCGAGAACAGACUAGAUGGAGACACCAACAGCCCACGUGAUCACGCUCGACAUUCCAGGGAUGAAGAAAGAUAAUGUAAAGAUUGAAGUUGAAGAGAACAGAGUACUGAGAGUGAGUGGGGAGAGGAAGAGUAAUGAUUAUUACAAGGAGGGAGUUGAAGGAGAGAAAUGGCACAGAGCUGAGAGGACAUUUGGCAAGUUUUGGAGGCAGUUUAGGAUGCAUAUGAGUGCUGACUUGGAUCAUAUUAAGGCUCACAUGGAAAAUGGGAUUCUGAGGGUCACAGUGCCAACGCUUGCUGAGGAGAAGAAGAGGCAGCCUAAGGUUAUUAACAUUGAUGAAGAGUCUGGUAAUUCUUCCAAUGAAGAUAUUAAGGCUACCAAGGCUCAAAUGUAAUUGAUUAAAGAAAGAAGUGAUUGCUUUGCUUGAUGUGCUAUUUGUUUAUGAUCUUUUCUUGGUUUUGUUGUGAGAUGUUUCUAUUUGGAUGCUCUAUUUAAUGUAUUUUGAUGGGUUUUUGAGGAAGGCUUGUAUGUAUUGACAACAAUAAAGUGCUUUUUAUAAAUCCUAGUCCUCCAACACUAAAAGAAAUUAAUACGCUUGGUUUAUAGUUAAUAAAAAUAUAUAUAUUUUUAAAAAAAGUCUUUUUCUUUGGCAUAUAGUAUGCGUUUUGAGGGAAAAAAAAUUAUCCCACUCCUAAUUCGUCCUCUUCUGCGAUAUUAAUGUGUUAACACGAAGAUUCAUUGUAAUUGCAACAAUUUUGACGAAUCCAAACGUUCAAUAACUGUUAAAUUGUAUUUAUAAAUACUAAUAGCGAAGGUACAGAAACGAUUAAUUCACGAAGUUGCUUAAAGUGCAUUAAAUUAGAGAGUAUAAAUAAUUGUGUGAUACAGUCCAGCCUUCAUCUGCUUAUAAUUAGCAACCAAAAACCACUUUGCAACACCAUUAAAAAAACAUUUUAACAUUAUUGCUGAGGGAAGAGGCAGCUUAGGCUUAUUAACUCGUAUUAUUAAUGCUGAUGACGCAGCUGGUAAUCCUUUUGGUGAAUAUAUUAAGGCAGCUGAAGCUUAAAAUUAAUUAAGCCCACUAAAGCUUAAAACUAAUUCUUCUGGUGACGAUACUUUGCUUAGUUCGCUUUUUGUUUUUAAUUUUUUUGGGGCUAACGUUUUGCUUAUUUUGCUUUUAAAAUUCUAUUCGCGUUGCUGUGGAAUAUUGUUUCUCCUUCGAUUUUCUGUUUUUGUUGUUAUCGGAUUUGAUGAUGGUUUAUAUGUACGAAGAUUAUGUAAUAAAGUGCUUUUGUAAAAAUACUAAGGUAAUAUACAUUACACAUUUGUACUCAAUAAGAAAUCAAUUCAUUAAUAUAAGCAUUAAUACCCCUGGUUUAUUGUUAAUGAAAAUUAAAAAAGAAAAAAAAAAGUCUUUUUCUUUGGCCUUUAUUAUGGAUUUUAAGAGGAAAAAAAUUUAUCCCACUCCAAUUCAUGAAGAUAUUCUCUUUUCUGUCAUAAAGAUCCAUUGCAGUUGGUGAAUUCAAAUAUUCAGUAACUGAUGAAAUUGUAUUUAUAAAUUCAUACUAAUAGCAAUUGAAGAUUAUAAUUAAUUUUGUAAUAUGAUCUAGCCCUCGUGUGUUUAAUUAGCACUCAAAAACCACUUUACAUAAAUGAGGUUUCAACAGCUGAGAAAGAGAUAGCCAUUAUACAUUACACAUUUGCACUUAAUAAGAAAUCAAUUCAUUAAUAUAGCCAUUAAUACGCCUGGUUUAUUGUUAAUGAAAAUUAAAAGAGAAAAAAAAAGGUCUUUUUCUUUGGCCUUUAUUAUGCAUUUUAAGAGGAAAAAAAUUUAUCCCACUCCAAUUCAUGAAGAUAUUCUCGUUUCUGUCAUAUUGAUGUGUUAAUAUGAAGAUCCAUUGCAGUUGGUGAAUUCAAAUAUUCAGUAACUGAUGAAAUGGUAUUUAUUUAUAAAUUCAUACUAAUAGCGAUUGAAGAUUAUAAUUAAUUUUGUAAUAUGGUCAAGCCCUCGUGUGUUUAAUUAGCACUCAAAAACCGCAUUACAAUAGGCAUUAAAAGAACAUUAUAACGUCAUUGCUGAUGAGUUCUGGUGAAGAUAUUAAGUUAAGGCCACAAAAAUCGAAAUGUACGUAGCUUCGUUUGUUUUUUGUUUUUGAUUUUUUUUGGGGGGCAAAUGCUUGGCUUCGUUUGCUUUUUCGUUUUUGAUAUUUUAUUGGCUUUAUUGUGUGGCAUGUUCUUGUUUUCUUUUGAUUUUCUGUUUUGGUUGUUAUGGGAUUUGAUGACGAUGUACAUGUACAAAGAUUAUGUAAUAAAAUGCUUUUGAUAAAUUGUGGAACAAAAGAAGAACACUAACGAACUAAUUAAUUACUAAUAAGAACAUUAACAAUUUUUGCCGAAGUCUGAUGAAGAGAAAUAUUACACAUAAGUAACGGUACCGCGGAAGGAAAAAAUAAAAGAAACUAAAGUUUAUUUCAACAGCUAAGAAUGAAAUAGGCAUAAGAAAUUAACCCAUCAAUUAAUUAAUUAAUACAGUCCCCUGCUACUAAAUAAUGCGAGCCCCUUACUGUACUUAACAUUUUUCUUUUUAAUAAUUUAAAACAGUUUUCAACUGAGAUUUGAAUUUUAAAACUACAUACACAAAUACACCUGAUUUUAAAGAAAAAAAAUUUCUAAUAAUAAAAUAUUUUACAUAUAUAACCAUAUGGCGAAAAAAUAAAUAUAAGAAACUGAAGUUUCAACAACUGAGAAUGAGAUAGGCAUAAGAAAUUAAUUCAUUAAUUAAUUAAUAGAGUCCUCCUUUGCUAAGCUAAAUAAUGCGAGCCCAUUGUUCUUUUUAUUUCGAAAACCCAUUAAUCACCAACACAUAAUACACGCCCAACUUUUUUUUUAAAAAAAACCUAAUAAUAAAAUAUUUCAGUCGUCCUCUGUUGAGUCGUCCUCUGUUGAGUCGUCAUAAAAAACCCAUUUACCAGCUAUGACAGCAAGAGGAAUAUGGGUUAACAAGUCCCAAUAUUGUCCUCCAUCCUUUCUGCACUUCUUUUCUAUCAACGGACAAUCCACGAUUCUUAAUUGCAAAAGUGAGGAAGGCAGGCCCUUCUCCGGAAAGUAUUUGAGCUUGGGACAAUGAUAGAGACCCAAGUGAGUGAGGUUUUGAAGAUCAACAAUUGAAGAAGAUAGGCGUUCCAGAUUUGGAAAAUUGUAAAUCCACAGAGAUGUUAGAGAGGCAGGAAGAGGAAGCGCGGUCCCUAAUCUUUUGUCCUCUAGUGGAAAUGACACCAUGUCGUCAUCGCAUCCUAUGAUUUCAAGAUGUCGCAGACAGGAGAAUCUGUGAAAUCCCCGGCCCCGCUCAAUCAUUGACUUCCAAAUCUCCAUAUUACCCUCAAUCCAAAGUGAAUGAAGGUUGAUGGGAAGGCCAUCUUCUUCUUCAAGGCUUGGAAGCUCACCUCCUUUUCCUAUUGUUAAUUGUUGAAGAGAGGUCAGAUUGUGCAAUCCCUUGGGUAAGGCCUCUAGUCUCUUACAAUCAAGUAUCGUCAGCCUCGUGAGUUUCGCACAAGGGAAUGCCCCUUGGGGAAAGGACACUAGAUUUCCACAAUACGCUAUGCUAAUCUCUUGAAGCUGGCGGAGAUUAUGUAAACCACUCGGUAAAAUUUUCAGAUUUCCACAAUUAGAAAUGUCGAUUGUUUCAAGAGAUGUGUUGUUGUCCAACCUUUCUGCUAUUGACUCCAGCUUUGAACAUCCGCGAACAGAAAGGGACUUAAGAGACGGAGGUAGAUUGCCAACUUCAAGGGACUCAAGCGUGGCAGGUAACUCAUUUUUUGAAAAUAUACAUGUCAGUGAUGGACAGCUGUUAAUACGCAACUGCUCAAGAAGAGAUGAGGUGUACCUUCUAUUGCUGCUGCUGCUGCUACACUGGAUGCCCUCUUCCACUGUCAAAGUCCUUAUAUUACUGCAAUUGUUAAUCACCAACUGCUUAAGGCUCGGUGGUAGCUGGACUCCAGCAAUAUAUGUCAACGAAUGGCAAAAGCAAAUCUCCAAGAUCUCGAGAGAUGAAUUGGUGUCGCACAUCCAUGCCUCUGGUAAUGAUUUCAGUGCAUCACAUUCCCUAAUCUCAAUUGUCUUCAACUUGGAAGGCAGAGCAACCUCAGGAAAGGAAACAAGGGAACUGCACUUGUAGAUUUCUAUCUCUCUCAAGGAACUGAGACUGAGAGAUGAUUGUGGCAGCUUCACAAGGCCUUCGCAAUAUCUCAAUCUUAGAUAUUCGAGUCUGCAUGACAACUCGCAGAGCUGCUGUUGUUGGCCUUUCUCUUCCUCCGCCACCAAGGAUUGAAGUUUGGGACACCGUCUAAUCGUCAGUCUUCUGAGAGAGCAAAUGUCUUGCAGUAAUUCGUUAUGACUCUUCCAUAUAUAUGUCUGCUCUUUCAUUUCAUUUAUCUUCAAUUCUUCCAAUUUUGGUAGUCGCGGCUUUAAUGGCCCUGCGAGAAACACUUGAUUUGAUCUAUCUCUACAAACCACUGAAUUCUGUGAGCCGAGAUGAUCAGUUGCACUUCUCCACACAACCUUUUUACAUCCACCACUCUGUAAUUUGCAAAGAGCUGGAAGACUCGAAACUGAAACUGACAAUUCUUCACAUCCUUUAAUAACAAGCUUCUCCAAUGCAGGAAGGCGUUCUGGAAAUGUUCCUUGCAGCUUAGAACAUCUUAAAAUGUGAAGCUCUCUCAAUUUAGGAAACCGUUCAACUCCCUGACUGGAUCCAUGAGGAAUCCAGUCUUCCCAUCCUUGCAUGUCUUCAAAAUGAAGAGUCUCCAAGCAUGGAAAAGGAAUUGGAGUAUCAUUCCCAUAGAACUCUGAACCCAACCUCUUUACACUAGUCAUUCCACAUACUGCAAGAUGCUUUAGAGAGGGUAGUUGCCCGACUGACGGCAGGGUAGGACACAUGCCACAAUAUUCAAAUUUUAAGGUCACCAACUUUGAGAAUGAGGAAUCUCCGAACCAAGUUGGAAAUUUUGCACCUCUAUAGCCGCUGAUACAAAAUUGUUCCAAAUUUUUAUUGGGUUCUAGCAUGUCAAGCACGUCCUUUUCAAUUUCCGCCUCCCUUGAAGACGAGCCAUCGGUACUGAGUGUCCAUCGAAGCAAUAAUUCUCUAAGAUUCUUCUUUCCAUCCAAUUGAGCCUCCUUUGCAUCACCAACGUCUUUUACAUUCUCCAAUUUUGAAAUGUUAAGUGUCCCAUGAAGGUGCGUCAACAACUUUAGCUCUCGUAACCCGGAACCACUGCCUUUUCCCACAACAAAAUUACACAACGUCUGAAGACUAGUCAACCUACCAAUUCCUACUGGCAUUUCCUCCAACGACUUCGUAUUUGAAUUCUUAAGAUGAUGCAAUUUGGCGAGGUUUCCCAUGUCUGCACACAACUUCUUCAGCCGAUCACAAUCUUCCAACAAAAGACUAUGCAAAUUGUAAAGCUUGUUGACUGAUUCAGGCAGAGUUCUAAUCUCAGUUGUAGACAGGUUAAGGUACCUUAAAUACCUCAAAUCACCAAUUGAAUCCGGCAGCUCAGGGAUGCAGUAUCCACGCAAAGAGAAGACCCUCAAGCGUCGGAGUUUGAGCAACUUAGGAAGAAUGCUAGGAGCCAAGAAGCCAGGCGAACUUUUUGUCAACAUUACUGGUAAAAAAGUUCUCAAAUGCUGGAUAUCAUACAAGUCCC